rnacentral:lncRNA from 1 species
UUGUUUUGUGUGUGGAAAACCCGGGCAUUAUGCUAGGGAGUGUAGGUACUGAAAGGACGAAAAAGGGGUUGUGGUGAAUGCAAUUGAUGAAGAGAUCAUUGCAACACUAAGCGAUGUGUGCGUUGUCCAAGGAAAGGUGCAAGGAUGGUGGUAUGAUACUUGUGCCACAGUUCAUGUUACCUAUGACAAAUCUCUUUUCAAGACCUUUGAAGAUGCAAAGGGAGAUCAAGAGGUUCAAAUGGGCAAUGAAGGAAGAUCCAAGGUGCUUGGCAAGGGCACUAUUGAAGUUGCUUUUAUCUCUGGCAAAAAGGUUACCCUUAUAAAUGUAUUGUAUGUCCCCGAUAUGAAUAAAAUUUUGGUUAGUGGGGAUUUGCUUGGCAAACCGGGUAUCAAAGCGGUGUUUGAAUCCGGUAAGCUAAUUUUAUCCAAAUCGGGGAACGUUGUGGGAAAGGGGUAUUCUUGUGAUGGGAUGAUCAAACUUUGUACCAAUGACAAUAUCAUUAAAAUGGCUUCUACUUCCGCUUAUAUGUGUGAUUCAAAUUCUUUAUUUUUGUGGCAUAAUAGGCUUGCACAUGUUGGUUUAAGCACUAUUAAAAGGAUUGUGAAAUGUGGUUUGAUUGCUUGUGAUACCAAGAAAUUUGAAAAGUGUGAAAUAUGUGUUAAAUCANNNNNNNNNNNNNNNNNNNNNNNNNNNNNNNNNNNNNNNNNNNNNNNNNNNNNNNNNNNNNNNNNNNNNNNNNNNNNNNNNNNNNNNNNNNNNNNNNNNNNNNNNNNNNNNNNNNNNNNNNNNNNNNNNNNNNNNNNNNNNNNNNNNNNNNNNNNNNNNNNNNNNNNNNNNNNNNNNNNNNNNNNNNNNNNNNNNNNNNNNNNNNNNNNNNNNNNNNNNNNNNNNNNNNNNNNNNNNNNNNNNNNNNNNNNNNNNNNNNNNNNNNNNNNNNNNNNNNNNNNNNNNNNNNNNNNNNNNNNNNNNNNNNNNNNNNNNNNNNNNNNNNNNNNNNNNNNNNNNNNNNNNNNNNNNNNNNNNNNNNNNNNNNNNNNNNNNNNNNNNNNNNNNNNNNNNNNNNNNNNNNNNNNNNNNNNNNNNNNNNNNNNNNNNNNNNNNNNNNNNNNNNNNNNNNNNNNNNNNNNNNNNNNNNNNNNNNNNNNNNNNNNNNNNNNNNNNNNNNNNNNNNNNNNNNNNNNNNNNNNNNNNNNNNNNNNNNNNNNNNNNNNNNNNNNNNNNNNNNNNNNNNNNNNNNNNNNNNNNNNNNNNNNNNNNNNNNNNNNNNNNNNNNNNNNNNNNNNNNNNNNNNNNNNNNNNNNNNNNNNNNNNNNNNNNNNNNNNNNNNNNNNNNNNNNNNNNNNNNNNNNNNNNNNNNNNNNNNNNNNNNNNNNNNNNNNNNNNNNNNNNNNNNNNNNNNNNNNNNNNNNNNNNNNNNNNNNNNNNNNNNNNNNNNNNNNNNNNNNNNNNNNNNNNNNNNNNNNNNNNNNNNNNNNNNNNNNNNNNNNNNNNNNNNNNNNNNNNNNNNNNNNNNNNNNNNNNNNNNNNNNNNNNNNNNNNNNNNNNNNNNNNNNNNNNNNNNNNNNNNNNNNNNNNNNNNNNNNNNNNNNNNNNNNNNNNNNNNNNNNNNNNNNNNNNNNNNNNNNNNNNNNNNNNNNNNNNNNNNNNNNNNNNNNNNNNNNNNNNNNNNNNNNNNNNNNNNNNNNNNNNNNNNNNNNNNNNNNNNNNNNNNNNNNNNNNNNNNNNNNNNNNNNNNNNNNNNNNNNNNNNNNNNNNNNNNNNNNNNNNNNNNNNNNNNNNNNNNNNNNNNNNNNNNNNNNNNNNNNNNNNNNNNNNNNNNNNNNNNNNNNNNNNNNNNNNNNNNNNNNNNNNNNNNNNNNNNNNNNNNNNNAUUCUUGAAUGGGGAUCUCAAUGAGGAGGUCUACAUGGAACAACCGGAAGGUUUUGUUCUACUGGGGAAUGAAAACAAAGUGUGUAAGCUUGUCAAAUCAUUAUAUGGUUUAAAACAAGCUCCCAAACAAUGGCACGAAAAAUUUGAUCAUGCUAUUCUUUCGGAUGGAUUUAGACACAACAAUGUGGACAAGUGCUUAUAUUCUAAGACUUGUGAUGACUAUAUGGUCAUAGUGUGUCUAUAUGUGGAUGACAUGUUAAUCUUGAGUGAGGACAUGAAAGGAAUAAUAGAAACGAAAAGGUUUCCAUCCUCAACCUUCAAGAUGAAAGAUCUUGGAGAAGUUGAUACUAUAUUGGGUAUCAAAGUGAAAAGAAAUAGUGGGGGUUAUGCUUUGAACCAAACCCACUAUAUUGAGAAAGUAGUUAGCAAAUUUAGUCAUCUCAAGAUUAAAGAUGCUAAUACUCCAUUUGAUUCAAGUAUAAAACUUGAAAAGAAUGAUGGUAGAUUGGUGGCUCAACUUGAGUAUGCAAGUGCAAUUGGAAGUCUUAUGUAUGUUGCUCAGUGUACUAGGGCUGACAUUUCAUUUGCAGUUAGUAAACUAAGUAGGUUUAUUAGCAAUCCAAGUGUGGAACAUUGGAAAGCUAUUGGUAGAGUUCUUGGUUACCUAAAGAAUACCAAAGAACUAAGCCUCCAAUAUUCAAAGUUUCCUGCUAUAAUUGAAGGGUAUUCAGAUGCAAGCUGGAUAUCGAGUGUGGGAGAUAAUUUAUCUACCAUAGGUUGGGUGUUUACACUUGGUGGUGGGGCUGUCUCUUGGGGAUCCAAGAAACAGACUUGUAUAUCACACUCAACCAUGGAGGCAGAGUUUAUAGCUCUAGCUGCAACUGGAAAAGAAGCUGAGUGGCUUAGGGAUCUCAUGAUGGACAUCCCUUUUACUGCAAAUAAUAUGUCAACAGUGUCGAUACAUUGUGACAGUCAAGCCACUCUAGCUCGUGCGUACAGUGGAGUGUACAAUGGGAAGUCUAGACAUAUAAGCAUUAGACAUGAAUAUGUAAGACAAUUGAUUCAAAAUGGAAUCAUCUCAAUCUCAUUUGUGAGGUCAAGUGGAAACUUGACGGAUCCUUUUACUAAACCUCUUACAAGAGAUUUAGUAAGGAUAACAUUUAGAUGGAUGAGACUAAAACUCCUUAAAUAAAACUCACCAAUGAUGGUAACCCAACUUAAUACUACGAAAUGACUAGUCUUAAGUUCAAUGGGUAAAAACAAGUCAUUGAUAAGUGGGUAGUGGCAGCAUUAGAACAUGUGAGUUCCAUUUGUGAGGAUUAAUGCUGGUUGUUACCAUUGGAGGGUUAAGGUUAAAGCUUUUAAUGAAAUUAAGUCUAUGUGUGACAAGCAUCUUAAAGGUAACAAGGAUGCUGGAAGAAUUUCACCUAUGUGAACUUAGGGGUGGUGCCGCCUCUCAUGAGAGUUGGAGUUUCUUUCAAGAAAGUUCAUGAAUGGAUUGAGCACAUGGCCAUAAAAGUGCUAAGCAAGAAAAUAAUGGGCACUCGUGUGUUUAGUGGAAGUGUGUGUGUUGUUACCGGUUUCGUUACAAGGAAUAACUGGUUCAAUGCUACAAGCAACCUGGGAUUUCAACGGAGCUUUGUGACAAUUACACUAAGGUAAAAUUCAAAUCGAAAGAUAUUUUAUUUUAUGCAUUUUCACUGUUAAGGUUAUAAGGAUUGAUGUUUAUUUUUAACCAAGUGGGGGAUUGUUAUAUUUAUAUAAAUAUAGAUAUAUAUUGUUGGUUAAAAAUAAAGUGUAAGAAGAGUUACACUUUUGAAAAAUAACUUUUGAAAAUAAAGUGUAAGAAGGGUUACACUUUUAAUGUGUGAAUUAAACACAUGAUUAAGUUUUGAAAUGUCACAAAACUUGAAAGGUUGAGGAAGACAAUGAGUCUUCUCAUCUUUGUAACUUUAUAAACUUAAGAGGUUAAGUGUAAGAGAGUUACACAUUUGAGAUUAAAUCAUGUUUAAUGUGUGAAUUAAACAUAUGAUUUAAUUUUGAAUGUUACAAAGAUGAAGAGAUUGAGGAAGACAAUGGGUUUUUCUCAUCCUUGUAACCUUUUUAUAACCCUAAGAGUGCUUUAUAUGAAUUUUCUUCUUUUUGAAAUCUUAUGCAGAAAAGUGAAAAGGCUUGAUCAAUCCCAAGACUAUUUCCAUUAGUUCCCUAAAGAUUUCUAGAGGUGGGAGGAAAUAGAGUCUUUGGACAAAGUUCCAAGAACUUGUUUGAGCCUUUCUUGUGUUCUUNNNNNNNNNNNNNNNNNNNNNNNNNNNNNNNNNNNNNNNNNNNNNNNNNNNNNNNNNNNNNNNNNNNNNNNNNNNNNNNNNNNNNNNNNNNNNNNNNNNNNNNNNNNNNNNNNNNNNNNNNNNNNNNNNNNNNNNNNNNNNNNNNNNNNNNNNNNNNNNNNNNNNNNNNNNNNNNNNNNNNNNNNNNNNNNNNNNNNNNNNNNNNNNNNNNNNNNNNNNNNNNNNNNNNNNNNNNNNNNNNNNNNNNNNNNNNNNNNNNNNNNNNNNNNNNNNNNNNNNNNNNNNNNNNNNNNNNNNNNNNNNNNNNNNNNNNNNNNNNNNNNNNNNNNNNNNNNNNNNNNNNNNNNGGUAUCACAUGUAUGCUUUGAAUGGUUCUUGGGUCCCGCUCUUACCACCAGAAAUCCUUGGAUUACCUGGUGUUGGCUAUCCUUGGAUUAUAAAAUAUCUCAUUUUUAUAAUAUAUUUUUAUUAUAAAAUUGAGUAAAUAAAAUAAAAAAUGAUUAAAAAUAUGAUAAAAUUAAAAAUAUAAAAAUAAAAUAUUUAUUUUUCAUUAUCAAUUUAUCAAUUUUUAAAAAAUAUUUCUCUCUUUUCUUUAUUUGAAUGCAUCUUCAUUAUCAAUUUAUCAAUUUUUAAAAAUAUUUCACUCUUUUCAUUAUUCGAAUGCAUCUCUUUCUAUAUCUAAUUGAUUUCUCAAGAGGAUUAAAGAAAUGUACAAAUGCGAAAUAUAGCUAGUGGUAAAAACUUCGUUCUUAAUACAAGCUCAUUGAUAUUCAAAACAUUAAAAUUAAAAAUAAGAUUAUUUUAUAGUCUCUAGCUUAAAUAUAACAUUUGUAUGUACACAUCUUCUUUUUAAUAUCUUAAUUUUUUUCUCAUAAUCUAUUAUCUUAAUUUCUUUUCCUCGCUUAACUUCUCUCUUUUAUUAUUUUUUAAUUUAAUUUUUCUAGUACUAAUGUUUUUAUUAGUUUUCUUUCAAUGUUAACCAAUUUUAAAAGUUUUACUUUAUGAAAGAGUGAUAAUGAGUUAUAUAAAUUAUUCGAGUUAAAGAUUUAAAUUACAUUCCUACUAAAUUUUAAUUUGUUUGUAAUUUUUUUUAAAAAAUCUAAAUAGAGAAAAAAAUGUUGAAGAAAGAAAAGAUAAACAAAAGAUACGAAUUAAUAGAGUGGUGAAAUUUUAUAUUUUAUUUUAUAUUUUCAUAUGGGAAUUUAAUAGUUUGUUUUUGUUAUUAGUUUUAAUCUUAUUUUUAAUAUUUCUUUAACAAUAACUAAUAAAAAAAUUAUUUAAUUUUAUAAUGGAAAGAGAUAAAAAGAUGUAUUUUCGUAAGAAGCAUUAGAUGGUUAAAGUAUGUAUCAAAUUAUUGUGUUAUUCCAAGAUUAAGGAUGUCAAGUUUUCAUUCUUUUUUGUUGAAUGACUUGUAAACCCUCCAUUUUGUCAUCCUAGCACAUGUCUUAUCAGGUAUUUGUUCGAUACUUUACAACAAUUCCCUAGUGAUUACUACCCAAAAAGUGUUAUUUUACACCUUUAAUGCAUUAUGUUUUAAGCACUUUUGUGUAGUAGUUCUCCAUCUUUAGUCCAAUUGGCAUGUUAAGGACCUAGCAAUGUCUUCUAAUCAUAUUUGUGGCUAGUUUUAAUGUUUUGACAGCUUUUUGGAUCAUUAAGACAAGUCAAGCAAAGGAGAGAAGCAAAGAGAAGCAAAGUGAAAAAAAUCAAGAUGUAGCAGCUGCAGUCUUCUUUCACACUUUUGGAGCACUUCCCGAAGUCCAUUUUUUACAUGCUAUAUACCAUUUCAAAGCUCUGGAAGUCAAGAAUCCAACGCUUCAAACCGUGUAUGAUUUGGAGCUGAAAUGAGGAAGAUAUGGCCUUCGGAAGCCAACUGCUCCAGGUUAUGCGAAAAUUUCGCAUUCCACNNNNNNNNNNNNNNNNNNNNNNNNNNNNNNNNNNNNNNNNNNNNNNNNNNNNNNNNNNNNNNNNNNNNNNNNNNNNNNNNNNNNNNNNNNNNNNNNNNNNCAAUUGGACUAAAGAUGGAGAACUACUACACAAAAGUGCUUAAAACAUAAUGCAUUAAAGGUGUAAAAUAGCACUUUUUGGGUAGUAAUCACUCCCCCCAACUGACACAUUGCUAGUCCCUGAGCAAUGAAGGAAAGAAAAAUAAAGAAAAAUAGAUAAUAUAAUAAUUUACAAAAUCAUGCUGAUCACUCCAAAAAAUAACCAAGUGGCAUGAUUGGAUCAAACUCUCUUGUGAAUAGUCAAGGAUAUAAAACUCAAUCAUCAACAAGAGUCAUCAAAUAACUUACCUAUCACAACAUUCAAAAAGCGGGCAUUAUGCAAAUUUGAGUAUCAAAAUAAUUUCCACUCCCAAAGGACCAACUCUUAAUCUUCCACAAAAAUCUAAGUGUUAAGAUGCUUAGUUUCCAGUUAUAGUGUGUCAAACUAUAUUCUCCCCCCAACUAAGGUUUUUCUCUAACUUUAGCAACACUAACUCAUAUAUAGAAGGCUAAGAACGCACCUCUUUUUUUUUUUUUUUUUAAGUCAUAAAUAUACUCCACCCAUGUAACGAGCAGUGAGGUCAGUGGCUCCCAACCAUUGAAGGCUUAGGGCACCAGGUUUUAAAGAUUUUCACCAUAUACCCAUCGGACCUUGCUCGGGUUUCAAAGCAAGUGAAGCAAAAAAAUUUUCAUAAGACACAUUGGCCUUUUAUAAGGUGUCCCAACACUAAUAGAAUGAGGUCAAUGGCACCAAGUCAAAAAUUUCCUAAGUUUAGGGGGUGAAAAAGUUUUCCAUCUUAUAACUGGAAUCUAAUGUGUUCAGUGUGUGAAAAGAUUAGAGUGGAAGACUUAAGAUUGAAAUCAAAAGGAGCUUCAACAAUUUAUCAACUUUAAUAAGCAUAAUACAAACUCUAAGACUAUGGCAAUAAGAUAAGAAUUUAAUUUCUCCUAUUUAUUUUUGAGAAUUUAUCUUUAAGAAAACAAGGAGAGUUUGCAAAAAAUUUGUUAGCAAAAUAACUUAACCAAAAAAAAAAAAAAAAUUCAACAAAUUACUUCCUCAACUCUCCCCCCAACUAGGAUGAACAUUGUUCCCAAUGUUCUAAAAGAAAAUGGUAAUAAAAGGGAGGAAGUGAUACCUCCUGAUAGUAAGGUACUCUGAAUAGAGAGGAGAAACCACAUGUUGCAUAAGAAAAGAAAAAUCAUAAGAAUAAUGAUUAGAGGAAAUAAAAAAGAAUAGCUAAAAUACACAAAAAGGAAGAUGUCUAUAUAAACUGAGAGAGUACAAUAUACAAGACAAACAUGGAAUAUGUCCAAUCCCAGUAUAAAAGUGGUCCAAAAUACAUAAGACAUCCAAAAAACAUAGAAUAUAGAUACAAAAAGGGGAAAGGAGUGAUCGUAUGAUCAAGUAGUAGGCUCCUCUGGUGGAUAGGAGGGGUCCUCUGCUAGAACUGAGGAAGGCACCGCUACAGGUGGAGCUGGUGGCACAAGACCGAGGUGCUGCUGAAUCUCACGGAGAAUGAGAGUCUGCUGGUCCUGCUGAAUCUGGAAGUGGUCCAUGCGCUCCAUAAUGGCCGUCUGAGUAGUGGUCAGAGUCUGAAAAGAAGCGAGCAAGGCACGGUACUCUGAACCAGGGAUAGUGAUGGGCGGCUCUGCGGUAGGAGGAAUAGUAGGUGGGGCAUCAGAUGAUGCUGCCUCUGGUACAGGCUCCGAGGGAGCUGAAGUGGAUGGAGCAGGAGGGACUUCUUUUGGCUCAGGAAGUUCUGGGGAAUGCUGAUGGAGCGAUAGCUGAGUCCAUUGGUCAAGAGAGAAGCUCUCUCGACAAUGGCAGCGGGGCUCAGCCUGAGGGUCUGCAGGAAAACCCAUAUGUGCCAAAACAUGGCAUAGCAGCCGAGGGAAAAGUAACUGAAUGGAGGCUGCCCUCGUAAGACGCCGCUUAUGCACCUUCUCCUCAAAAUGGAGGAGAGCGGCCAUAAUCAAAUGAUGAGGACCAAAGUAGUAGCCCUCAAAGAUACGAAAUAAUGCCUCUAAAAUGGCCCCUCGCCUCUGUACGGUAUGCUGAAGAGGAAAAAGGUUGGUGCGAAGCACCACAUCAACUAGGAGCAUCCCUGGGGGAAGCUCCCUCCUGAAAAUGGUCCUCUGGGAAGAUGUCCCUCGAGAUAGGCUACGAACCAUGUCCCACUCAGAAAGUGGAGCCCAACGUCUAAAUGCAGUGGGAUCAGCUGGUGCAUAAGGGAUAUGGAAAGCCUCGGCAAUCUGUCGAGCCCCCAAAAUACCCUGGCGUCCAUCAAUGGUAAAAAGUAUCGAGGCUGGUACCGGGACGCCACAAGUAGUCAUAGACUGGUAAAAGUCUAAAACUACUCGAGGAUAAAAGAACUGGGGUGGAGUCAUAAAGGGUACAAGAUGGUACCUCUCAAGUAGGAUGUAUGAAUCCUGCAAGUCAGUCUGCUGGCGCAAAAUAGUGUGCUCAAAAUAUGCCUCGACAUGAAAUGCUUUGGACCGGCAAUCUGAGUUGCCCUCAAUAGGCGAGCUGGGUCUAGGGCAUCUGGUGGAUGGCGGCUAAGACUGUGAAUCCCGAGGUGCUUUAGAGGACUCUCCUGGCUUUGAAGUCUUGGCUUUCUUUGUAGGAGGACCCCGAGGUGGAAUCUGAGUAGGGGCCACAGGUGUGGCAGAUGCUCUCCUCGUAUGGUAUCUGCUCUGAGAGGCAGAAUCAACUAAAUGUGGCGGCGCAUCUAGUGGGGUCCGCACAGGGGCGGCUCUCUCACUGCUCUAGGGAGCUGAGGUAUGUCCUCCUCGGGUCUUAGGCAUAAUGAAGUAAUGAAAUGAGGCUCACAGGCUUUGGAUUGGGGAGGGCAGAGAUGGAAAAAGUGAAAAAUUGGCACAAGGUAGGGGUUAUGCGAAAAUUUCGCAAAUGGGGGGGGGGGGGGGGGGGGGNNNNNNNNNNNNNNNNNNNNNNNNNNNNNNNNNNNNNNNNNNNNNNNNNNNNNNNNNNNNNNNNNNNNNNNNNNNNNNNNNNNNNNNNNNNNNNNNNNNNCCCGCAAGUCAGUCUGCUGACGCAACAUAGUGUGCUCAAAAUAUGCCUCGGCAUGAAAUGAUUAGGACCGGCAAUCUGAGUUGCCCUCAAUAGCGAGCUGGGUCUAGAGCGUCUGGUGGAUGGCGGCUGAGACUGUGAAUCCCGAGGUGCUCUAGAGGACUCUCCUGGCUUUGAAGUCUUGGCUUUCUUUGUAGGAGGACCCCGAAGUGGAAUCUGAGUAGGGGCCACAGGUGUGGCAGAUGCUCUCCUCGUAUGGUAUCUGCUCUGAGAGGCAGAAUCAGCUAAAUGUGGCGGCGCAUCUAGUGGGGCCCGCAUAGGGGCGGCUCUCUCACUGCUCUGGGGAGCUGAAGUAUGUCCUCCUCGGGUCUUAGGCAUAAUGAAGUAAUGAAAUGAGGCUCACAGGCUUUGGAUUGGGGAGGGCAGAGAUGGAAAAAGUGAAAAAUUGGCACAAGGUAGGGGUUAUGCGAAAAUUUCGCAUAUAGGGGGGGGGGGGGGUUAUGCGAAUUUCGCAUAACACAUGAUGGAAUGCGAAAAUUUCGCAUAUGCACUAUUCACACGCCCACUUGAAGUUUUGAAGCUCAUUCAAAUUGUGGAAAUUUUUGGCUUUUGAGGGUGGGAUAUGCUGGCUAAGGUAAGAAAAGAAUUUUUCAUGGUGAAUAGGCUUGGAAAUUGGAGCUUUUUCACGAAGAAAUUUUGAAAAUUGGAGCUCCUCUACCCGGCGGCCAUGGGUUCUCUUUGAAGAAAACGUGGCUUGAAUGCUUAGCUUGAGGUUUUGAAUUUGUGAAUACAAGGCUGAAAUUGGUUGAGGGCUAGAUUUAGAGUGUUGAGUGAGGAAUUGGGAGGUUUUUGAUGGUGGAAAGAGCUGAAAAUUGAAGGGGUGGACGGUGAUGAAUAGUGACUGCCGCGGCUAUGAGGUGGAGUUAUGGAGAUGGGCUGCCAUGGUGGUGUUGAGAGUGGGGAAUGAUGAAGAAAAGAAACUUAAGGAAGGGAUUUGGUGAUUGGAAGAGAGGUGCUAUGAGAAAUGAAGAAGAAAUUGAGCAUGGGAAGAGGAGAACACGGUCUUUAAAGAGGAAAUGCAAAUUUCGCAUUACCCUUAUGUUAUGCAAAAAUUUCGCAUUCCUGUGAGUACCCAGACAGAGAGCAUGGUUUUGCAAAUUUGUCUCAAAAACGAAUUCGCAUAUGGUUCGCAUUCCUGUGAAAUUCGCAUAAGGGAUUUUGGGAAGGGACCGAGAGCAUAUUUUUUUUUGAAAUUGCCACAAAAGCAUUUUCGCAUAAGGGGUGUGUUAUGCGAAAAUUUCGCAUAAGGGGUGUGUUAUGCGAAAAUUUCGCAUAACAGGAAAUGUUGUGCGAAAAUGGCUGAAACUUGGUUUUUUCUCCCCUGUUUUGCCUUACUUUCACCAUGACUUCAUUCCUCAAGCUUUCCCACCUGAAUGUUAACCCAAAAAACCAAUUAAAAACACAUUAGAACGGCAUUAAAGUCAAAAAUAAAAAUCAAAACAUGGAAAAACACAAGAGAAAAAAAAAACUAGAUUAAAUUAAAAUCAACUUAAAAGAAAACAAAAAGAGGAUGAACUCUUUAGUCUUUGAAGAGACUAAGUUCAACCAUAAACCAAGUAUUUUCAUGUUGGAUGUGGAUCAAGGAGGAUGAAUUCCUCCUUGUCUCGGGAAAAUGAUUCUAUAUAAGGCUUAAGACGAUGCCCAUUCACUUUGAAAGUUCGAGUGCUAUUGAAGUUGAGUAGUUCCACUACUCCAUUUGAUUGCACAUCAUGAAUUAUGAAAGGACCCGUCCAUCUUGAUUUCAAUUUUCCCGGAAAAAGAUGAAGCUUAGAGUCAUAAAGCAAGACUCUUUGUCCCUUGGCAAAAUUCUUUUGAUUUACCAAUUGAUCAUGCCAUUUCUUCAACCUCUCUUUUGCAAUUUUUGAAUUGAGGUAAGCAUCAUUCCUCAUUUCCUCCAAUUCAUUCAAAUCCAAACAUCUCUUCAACCCGGCUCUUGUCAAAUCCAUGUUGAGCUUCUUGAUUGCCCACCAUGCUUUAUAUUCAAUCUCCACUGGAAGGUGACACGCUUUGCCAUAAACAAGGCGAUAAGGAGACAUUCCAAGAAUGGUCUUGUAAGCGGUCCUAUAAGCCCAUAAGGAAUCUAGGAGCUUAAUAGACCAAUCCUUCCUAUUCACAUUCACCACCUUCAUCAGUAUAUUCUUGAUUUCCCGGUUGGCUAACUCAACUUGGCCACUUGUUUGAGGGUGAUAAGGUGUAGCUACCUUGUGCUUAACCCCAUACUUAGCUAGAAGAGUCUCAAAAGGUUUAUUGCAAAAGUGGGUUCCUCCAUCACUGAUAAUGGCCUUAGGCACUCCAAAUCUUGCAAAGAUGUUGUCCUUGAGGAAUCUAAGAACCACCUUAUGAUCAUUGCUCCUACAUGGGAUUGCUUCUACCCACUUAGAGACAUAAUCCACUCCCACCAAAAUGUAGGAAUGUCCAAACGACAUUGGAAAUGGUCCCAUGAAGUCUAUCCCCCAAACAUCAAAGACAUCCACUAUCAAGAUGGGAUUCAAGGGCAUCAUAUUUCGGCGUGUUAGCUUACCAAGCCUUUGACACCGAUCACAUCCCUUGCACAUAGAGUGGGCAUCCUUGAAAAGAGAGGGCCACCAAAAACCUGAUUGGAUCACUUUCAUUGCUGUUUUCUGGGAGGCAAAAUGACCUCCACAUGCAUUAUCAUGGCAAUGGGAAAGAAUUCCUGAUUGCUCUUGUUCAGGAACACAUUUCCUUAUGAUUUGAUCCGCACAAUAUUUGAAGAGAAAAGGCUCCUCCCAAUAAUAGGCAUGGAUCUUAGCAAAGAAAUGCCUCUUGUCUUGGGCACUCCACUCACUUGGUACUUCUCCAGUAACCAAGAAAUUUGCAAUGUGAGAAUACCAUGGAGCUACCUCUAUUGACAUGAGAGACUCCUCAGGGAAGUCAUCAUUGAUAGGCAGACCAUGUGAGUCAUGUGAUAUCACAAGUCUUGACAAGUGGUCAGCUACCACAUUUUCUACCCCCUUUUUAUCCCGGAUUUGGAGAUUGAAUUCUUGGAGCAAAAGGAUCCAUCUUAUCAAUCUUGCCUUGGCAUCUUGCUUGGUUAGCAAGUACUUCAAAGCGGAAUGGUCAGUGAACACCACUAUAGAGGACCCUACCAAAUAAGCACAAAACUUAUCCAAGGCAAAAACUACUGCCAACAACUCCUUCUCAGUAGUUGUGUAGUUCCUUUGAGCCUCGUUCAAAGUUUUGCUAGCAUAAUAAAUUACAUAGGGCUUUCCAUCUUCUCUUUGCCCUAAGACAGCCCCCAUAGCAAGGUCACUUGCAUCACACAUUACCUCAAAAGGUAACUUCCAAUUUGGGGCUCUCACUAUUGGUGCAGUUGUGAGGAAUUGCUUCAGUUCCUCAAAACUCUUCUGACACUUCUCAUCCCACACAAACUUGGCAUCUUUUACCAAGAGUUCACAAAGAGGCUUUGAGAUUUUUGAGAAAUCCUUAAUGAACCUCCUAUAGAACCCGGCAUGUCCAAGGAAUUGCCUAAUUCCCUUAACAUUUGUGGGAGGUGGCAACUUAACAAUAAGCUCCACCUUAGCCUUAUCUACCUCAAUGCCAUUUUUGGAGAUGAUAUGUCCUAAGACAAUCCCUUUUUGUACCAUAAAAUGGCACUUCUCCCAAUUUAGCACUAGGUCUUUCUCGAUACAUCUAUGGAGAACAGCUUCUAAAUGCAACAAACACUCCUCAUAAGAACUUCCAUAAACAGUGAUGUCAUCCAUGAAGACUUCCAUGAUGCGCUCCACCAUAUCACUGAAGAUGCUCAGCAUACAUCUUUGGAAAGUUGCAGGAGCAUUGCAUAGACCAAAGGGCAUUCUCCUAUACGCAAAAGUACCAAAGGGGCAAGUGAAGGUUGUCUUUUCUUGAUCUUCCAAAUCAAUCUCUAUUUGGAAGUACCCCGAGUACCCAUCUAGAAAACAGUAGAAAGGAUGUCCUGAGACUCUCUCAAGGACUUGGUCCAUGAAAGGCAAUGGGAAAUGGUCCUUCCUAGUCACUGAAUUCAACAUCCUGUAGUCUAUACACACCCUCCAUCCUGAGGUAGGACGUGUAGAGACUUCCUCCCCUUUCUCAUUCUGGACCACAGUGAUUCCAGAUUUCUUUGGGACUACUUGGGUGGGGCUCACCCACAAACUGUCUGAAAUGGGAUAUAUGAUCCCAGCUUGGAGUAGCUUCAGAACUUCACCCCUCACCACCUCUUGCAUGUGAGGAUUCAACCUUCUCUGGGGCUGCCUCACUGGUUUUGCAUCAUCCUCCAUAUAAAUAUGGUGGGUGCACACCAAAGGGCUAAUCCCUUUCAGAUCAGAAAUUUGUCAUCCAAUGGCUUUCUUGCAUUUCCUGAGGACUCCCAAAAGAUUAUCCUCUUGAUCACUAGUAAGAGUUGAAGAAACCACCACUGGACAUUUCUCAUUUUCCUCCAAAUAUGCAUAUUUCAAAUCAACAGGAAGCGGCUUCAAAACAAGCUUUGGAGGGCCAUCCACAGUUGCUUCUUGUGAGUCUUCCUGGUUGAACAGUGGUAAGAUCUCUUCCCGUCUCCUCCAAGGAGACAUGAUAGGUAGAACAUCAGAGGGUUCAGGUAACCCUUCUUCAAACAUUUCAAGGCUUUCAUUCAAGCUCUCUUGUAAAUUCUUGUCACAAUGCUCUUCAACCAAGGUGUUGAUCAAGCACACCUCCUCCAAUCCUUCCUCUUCUUCUGGGUGAAGAUGCCUCUUGCAUAGGUGGAAUAUGUUUAAUUCCAAGGUCAUAUUCCCAAAUGUGAGCUGCAUCACCCCAUUUCUACAAUUGAUGAUGGCAUUGGAGGUAGCUAGGAAAGGUCUCCCAAGGAUAAUUGGUACAUAGUUUGCUUCCUUCACUGUGGGAUCAGUAUCAAGCACAACAAAAUCCACAGGAUAGUAGAAUUUGUCCACUUGAACUAGAACAUCCUCUAUCACCCCCCUUGGGAUUUUGACUGACCUGUCAGCUAAGGAGAGAGUGAUGGCUGUGGGCUUCAAUCCUCCAAGUCCCAGUUGCUUGUACACAGAGUAUGGGAGCAAAUUCACACUUGCCCCCAAGUCUAGUAAAGCUUUCUCCACAUGUGUCCCUCCAAUGUUGACUGAAAUGGUGGGGCAUCCCGGAUCUUUAUACUUAACUGGAGACUUACUCUGAAUGAUAGCACUUACUUGCUCAGUGAGGAAUGCAUUCUUUGUCACAUGUAACCCUCUCUUGACCGUGCAUAAGUCCUUUAGAAACUUUGCAUAUGUGGGGACUUGCUUGAUCAUAUCAAGUAAGGGUAUAUUCACCUUCACUUGUCUCAAGACUUCAAGAAUUUCUGAUGAAUUCUUGAUUUCCUUCUUUCCAUGUAAAGCUUGAGGAAAAGGGGGAAGCAUAUGUUUCUUCAUCAUAUCCUCUUUAAUCACUAUCCUUGGCUCUUCUUCAAUGCUUGAUUUGGAUGCAUUUUUCUUCCCACUCUUCUCUUCUUGGUUAUUGCUCUCUUUGACCAAGGUUUUCUUUGACAUGAGUUCUUCAUCUUGCUUCACCUUAGGCAGGGGUUGAUCAACCUCUUUUCCACUCCUUAAAGUGAUCACAGCUUUAACCUCCCUCAACUUUGAAGACUCCCCCUCUUGGGUUUCAACUUCAUGAACACCCUUGGGAUUUUGGCUUGGUUGAUGAUUCGACUCAUGGUAGCUUAGCUUUAAAGGCGUAUCAACAAAAUUUAUACCUUGAAUACUAUUACUAAAGUAGUCAAGCUACUAUAGCAUAGUGGUUCUAGGAUCGUUCACUGGGAAGGGUUUUCGCAAACACAAGUGAUAUUCAAAUUAGGAAAAUAGGUGAUUUUCUUAUGGAUGUUAGCUUUAAAAGAAGAUGUAAAUGUUUUAGAAAGAUUUAAACUAAUCUAAGCUAACAUUAAAGACUAAAAUGAAAGGGUGUAAAAACAAGUUUCUCAAAGAUAGGAUAGCUAUGCUCUGGCUCUUAUGCAAAUUGGAAAUCUCAGGAUAGACUUCUCGCGUUGGGGUUGCAACUAUGGUGAUGCUUGCUUCCCGAACCGGUAUGGAUUUAGCAAAUCAAGUUUUAAUCCUUUAAAAUGGCAAAACAGAUGGUAGUGAAUUUCAUCAAUGGUUAUUCACCUUAGACUUCCUUUGAAUGGCUCGUAAGAGAUAACUAAUGGUCUAAAGCCAAAAGCUUACCAAAUAUUGGCAACUCAAAGUCAUUCCAGGUGAUAAACUCACCUUUCAAUGGCCAUUGAAAUUGGUUCUAACGGAUUAAUGCAAAACUUGGAAUUGAAAACCUCACCUUCCAAUAGCUCGUAGGAGAUAACUAAUGGAUAGAAAUCCAAAAGCUUAUCAAGUAUUGGCCGUUGGAAGUUGUCCAAAGGAAAUAAAAACCCAACUUUGCAUUAAUGAACCUUUAAUGAAAAACGACUACCUUACCUUCCGAGUGCGAGAAAUUUCCAUGGGAUUGCAUCCAAGUCAUCACAUAACAUCCAUACUUUGAGAAACUAAAAGUUCUAGCCAAUCAUCCUUUGAGGAAAAACCCUCAGAGGCUGUUUGGCUACUAAGAAAAUAGAAACGGGAGAGCUCUGUAAAAAUUCUAUAUAUUGAUCGAUAUAAAUUACAACGGAUGCAAGGAAAUAUAUAUAGAGAAGUUUUUCCAAUCCUUCCUAGCUAAGAAAUCUUAUGAUUCGUGGAUUACAAGGAGAAUAAUGGAAAUUUAUACAAAAAUAUCUAAAAGAAAAGAUCUCGUGUGGAGUCGGCAGAAACAGGGGAAAAUUCGCACGUUGGAGUUCCAAUUUCGCACGUUGAUUUGAGGUGUGCGAAAUUCUCGCACAAUGGACUGAGGAAUUCGCACCUUGAACAGUGGUGUGCGAAAUUGUCCCUCAGCUUGAUGCAGUUGUCUUCCGAAGGCCAUAUUUUUCUCAAUUCAGCUCCAAAUCAUACAUGGUUUGAACCGUUGGAUUCUUGACUUUCUGAGCUUUGAAAUGGUAUAUAGCAUGUAGAAAAUGGACUUCGGUAAGUGCUCCAAAAGUGCCAAAGAAGACUGUAGCUGCUGUCCUCUGUUUUCCUCUUUGCUUCUUUUAGCUUCUCUUUGCUUUUCUCCUUUUGUUGGCUUGCUUUGGUGUAGCUAAAACCUUGCUUUAACUUGUCCAAGUAGUUCCUCCAUCAUUUGGCAUGCUUGAAUUGAUUCAUAAGCUGAUAUAAACAUGUAAACUUGCCACAAAAUGGUUAAAACCAAUUACUAAGGACCUUAAUGAAUUAAUUGGGUUAAAUGAAUAUGAUUACUACUCAAAGGUGCUUAAAAACAUUAUAAUUAGGUCUACAAAAUAGCACUUUUUGGUAGUAAUCACACCCCCCAACCGACUCAUUGCUAGUCCCUUAGCAAUGGAGGAGAUAAAAACUAAGUAAACUAUAAUAAUAUACCUAAAAGGGAUCAUGCAAAUCACUCCAAAAAAUGCUUAAGUGGCAUGAUUGAUCAAACUCUCACAUGGAACAUGAAAGAAAUAAAACUCAAACUUCAAUAGGAGCUAUCAAAUAAAUUGCCUAGUCACAAUUCAUAAAGAGUAGGCAUUAUGCAAAUUUAGGCUUCAAAAUAAUUUCCACUCCCAAAGGUCUAAUCCUUACUCUUCCACAAAAAUCUAUGUGUUAUUUAUUAGUUUCCGGAUAUAGUAUGUCAAACUAAUCUCUCCCCUCAACCUAGUUCUUUUCAAAGCUUAGCAAACUAAUCAACCUCCAAUAGGCUAAGAACGCACCUCUUUUCUUUCACAAUUUUUUCUUGUAGGAGUGUAAAGCUUAAAGGCCUUCUUUUCUAAAUUGUCCAUGUAACGGGGGUCCAUCGAUGACUCCCAACCAAUCAAGGUUUAGGGCAUCAAGCUUUAAGGAUUUUUCAACCACUAACUCCUCGGAUUUCACCCCGGACUUUUGAGAAUGAAUUUUUAAUACCCAAGCACCUACAAUAUGUUAAACUCCACCUAUUCACCCAUGUAACGAGCAUUGAGGUCGGUGACUCCCAACCAUUGAAGGCUUAGGGCACCAGGUUUUAAAGAUUUUCACCAUAUACCCCUCAGACCUUGCUCGGGUUUCAAGGCAAGUAAAACAUUUUUCUUUUUCUUUCUUUUUCUUUCUUUUUCCAAAGGCUCAUUGGCCUUUUAUAAGGUGUCUCAACACUUAUUAAAAUGAGGUCAAAGGUACCAAGUCUAAAUUUUCCUAAGUCAAGGGGGAAAUAGUUUUUCAUCUUAUAAUCGGAACCUAUUGUGCACGGUGUGUGAUAAGCUUAAAGUGGAAGAAAUAAGGUUGAAAUCAAUAGAAGUUUCAACAAUUCAUCAACUUUAGUAAGCAUAAUACAAACUUUAAGACUAUGGCAAUAAGAUAAGAAUUUAAUUUCUCCCAUUUCAUUUUGAGAAUUUUUCUUUAAUAACCAUGGAGAGUAGAAUAAAAACUUAAAAAUUUUUAAAAUUAAGCAAAAAGCAACUAAAUUACCAAAAUAACUUAGCAUUAAUAACAAAACUUCCUUCCUCAACUCUCCCCCCAACCAAGCUGAACAUUGUCCUCAAUGUGACAAAAGCGAUUGAAAAAUAGGGAGGAAGUGGUACCUCCUGAGUGACAUGGAGUCUGAGUCAUGUAGGAGAAACCACAUGUUUCAAAGAAAACAUAAGAGUUAGUGAGUAGAGGAAAUAGAAAAAUGUCAAGUUUAAACAAAAAUGAUGUCCAUAAUAUAAGACAUCAAAACAUGGAAUUAUGUAUACUAAUAUAAUAAGUAAAUACAAAAAAUAAAGAGAUGAUCAAGUAAUAGAAGGGUCCUGUGGAGCUGAUGCAUUUGUGGUGGCCUUCUGAGUGGGUUGGAUCAGGACUUUAGCCUCUAUUCUGGUAUUCUCCUUGGAUGGCAUAGUCUUCUCAACUGGAGCUCUCAGUUGGAGCUAUGAGCUUUGAUGGUUUUAGGAGGUAAGAAAUGGAAUGAGAGGCUUGGUGUGUGAUCCCAAGGUGCAUGGGGGUAUUUUCUUCUCUAAUGCAUGUUCUGGAGGUUUCAAAUAGAGAGGGAAGGGCGGAAUUUGGAUGGUCACACGUUUAAAAACUCUUUUUGGAAGUCAAAAUGGCUUUUAGGAAUGAAAAACAGAGUCUUGGGUGUUUAAAAAUGGGUUUAAAAGAUAGUUGGUCAUUUCCGCAUUUUGGAUUUCAAGGUGCGAAAUUUUCGCACCUUGGAAAGGAUUUUUCGCACUUUGGAUUUCAAGGUGCGAAAUUCCCGCUCAGCUUUGUGUAGUCUGUCUUCAAACGGCCAUAACUUCUUCGUUUCAAAUCCAAAUCAUACACCGUUUGAAUCACUGGAUUCCUGACUUCCCAAGCUUCAAAAUGAUAUAUAGUAUGAAUAAUUUGAGCUCCAGGAAGUGCUCCAAAAACGUGUCUAACAGUAGUGAAAUUUGCUGCGGCUGCACCAUUUCCGUUCAGCUUUGCAUAGUUGUCUUCAAACGGCCAUAACUUCUUCGUUUCAAAUCCAAAUCAUACACCGUUUGAAGCACUAGAUUCCUGACUUCCUAAGCUUUAAAAUGAUAUAUGGCAUACAUAAUUUGACCUCCAGGAAUUGCUCUAAAAACGUGUCCAACAGUAGCAAAAUUUUCGCACCUUAAAAUGAGAAUUUCGCACCUUGAAUUGCAUCGUGCGAAAUUUCCAUACUUUGGACUGAGGAAUUCGCACCUUGUUUCGCACGGUGCGAAAAUGGGCUUGAGGUGUGCGAAAUGGCACUCGUGUGCCAGGAGAGUGUUUCGCACGGUGCGAAAAUUUUUCGCACCUUGGAUUGAGGUGUGCGAAAUUGAUGCACCUUGAACUGAGAUUUUCGCACCUUGGAAUGAAUUUCGCACCUUGAAUAGUGGUGUGCGAAAUUUUCGCACCUUGUUUCGUACGGUGUGAAAAUUGGCUUGAGGUGUGCGAAAUGGCACUCGUGUGCCAGGAGGUGUUUCGCACGGUGCGAAAAUUUUCGCACCUUGGAUUGAGGUGUGCGAAAUUCCCGCUCAGCUCGGUCCAGUUUUCUUGCAAUGACCAUAACUUUUUCGUUUCAACUCCGAUUUGGACACCGUUUAAAGCGUUGGUCUCCUGACUUCCCGAGCUUCGAAACGGUAUAUAGUAUGUAUAAAAUGGACUCUAGAAAUUGCUCCAAAAUAUGUCCCAAAGUGGCAAUAGAACCAAUGGCCAGAAUUCUCUCUUCUCUUCCUUUUCUUUCAUCAUUUUUGCAUUUCCUCCUACAAUGAUCAUCCAAAAACUUAUGUUAAAUAAAAAAUAAUUAAAAUUAAAGCAUUGAAAUCAAAAUUAAAGCAAGUAAUAAAGCAAAAAGAGAUGGACUAGCUAGUCUUUAGAAAGACUAAGUCCAUCAAAAAAAAAAAAAAAUGUUGUCCUGUUUCAGCUUGCCCGGAUCCCAUAUGAAGUUAGCAUCCUUCAUUAGAGAUUUGCAUUGUAUGAUGGCAAUGGAAACAAUUCCCUUUCUCUUUCCUUUAAUUUCCUCCCUCUUCUUUUUCUCUGUUUCAUGCUCUGUUUCAUGCUCUGUAUCAUGCUCUGUUUCAUGCUCUUGUUUGGAUGUGGCCAAAUCAACCUCUUUACCACUCUUUAGAGUGAUCACGACUUUAACAUCUCUCACUUGUGAAGAUUCUCUCUUAUGAGCCUUGAGAUUGGUGAGCCUUGAGAUUGAGUAUUGGAGAUUAUCUAUCUUUUGAGAUAGAUCAUUUUGCACUUCAUCCAUCCUUUUGUUCAAUGAACUCUCUACACUGUCAAUUCUUUGACUGAGAUGAGCAUUGACGGAUUUUUGAGCUAAAACAAAGUCUCCCACGACCUUGCUAAGAUUCACCAUAGCUUGUUCAAGGUUCGAAGCUUGCUGAGGUGCUUGAGUAGGUUGCUUGUACUGAGGUGGCUGUGGUUUCCAAGAGAAAUUUGGAUGGUCCCUCCAAUUGGAAUUGUAGGUGUUGCAAUCACCAAACAUUUCCCUCACGGCUGGAAUGGUAGGACACUCUUCCACCAAGUGCUCAUAACUCAUGAAGUUCAUGGCUUCCUCUAUUAUCUCGUAUUCAAUAUGGCAUGCACAACUAGCAAUUUGUGAAUUAAAAACAGAGAAAACAAAAGAAAAACAAUUCUAAAAAAAUUAAGACUAACUAAAACUAGCUGAAAGGUAAACUAAAACAUAAAUAAAGAAAAAGAACAAUUAAAAAGAGUUAGUAAAAGAAAAGAAAAAUCACCAAACUUGUGAUGAAGAUCACAAGUUACCCUUAAUGGUUGUUUCACUGUGCUUGUGGCACCUUCCCCGGCAACGGCGCCAUUUGAUUCGACUCAUGGUAGCUUAGCUUUAAAGGCGUAUCAACAAAAUUUAUACCUUGAAUACUAUUUACNNNNNNNNNNNNNNNNNNNNNNNNNNNNNNNNNNNNNNNNNNNNNNNNNNNNNNNNNNNNNNNNNNNNNNNNNNNNNNNNNNNNNNNNNNNNNNNNNNNNNNNNNNNNNNNNNNNNNNNNNNNNNNNNNNNNNNNNNNNNNNNNNNNNNNNNNNNNNNNNNNNNNNNNNNNNNNNNNNNNNNNNNNNNNNNNNNNNNNNNNNNNNNNNNNNNNNNNNNNNNNNNNNNNNNNNNNNNNNNNNNNNNNNNNNNNNNNNNNNNNNNNNNNNNNNNNNNNNNNNNNNNNNNNNNNNNNNNNNNNNNNNNNNNNNNNNNNNNNNNNNNNNNNNNNNNNNNNNNNNNNNNNNNNNNNNNNNNNNNNNNNNNNNNNNNNNNNNNNNNNNNNNNNNNNNNNNNNNNNNNNNNNNNNNNNNNNNNNNNNNNNNNNNNNNNNNNNNNNNNNNNNNNNNNNNNNNNNNNNNNNNNNNNNNNNNNNNNNNNNNNNNNNNNNNNNNNNNNNNNNNNNNNNNNNNNNNNNNNNNNNNNNNNNNNNNNNNNNNNNNNNNNNNNNNNNNNNNNNNNNNNNNNNNNNNNNNNNNNNNNNNNNNNNNNNNNNNNNNNNNNNNNNNNNNNNNNNNNNNNNNNNNNNNNNNNNNNNNNNNNNNNNNNNNNNNNNNNNNNNNNNNNNNNNNNNNNNNNNNNNNNNNNNNNNNNNNNNNNNNNNNNNNNNNNNNNNNNNNNNNNNNNNNNNNNNNNNNNNNNNNNNNNNNNNNNNNNNNNNNNNNNNNNNNNNNNNNNNNNNNNNNNNNNNNNNNNNNNNNNNNNNNNNNNNNNNNNNNNNNNNNNNNNNNNNNNNNNNNNNNNNNNNNNNNNNNNNNNNNNNNNNNNNNNNNNNNNNNNNNNNNNNNNNNNNNNNNNNNNNNNNNNNNNNNNNNNNNNNNNNNNNNNNNNNNNNNNNNNNNNNNNNNNNNNNNNNNNNNNNNNNNNNNNNNNNNNNNNNNNNNNNNNNNNNNNNNNNNNNNNNNNNNNNNNNNNNNNNNNNNNNNNNNNNNNNNNNNNNNNNNNNNNNNNNNNNNNNNNNNNNNNNNNNNNNNNNNNNNNNNNNNNNNNNNNNNNNNNNNNNNNNNNNNNNNNNNNNNNNNNNNNNNNNNNNNNNNNNNNNNNNNNNNNNNNNNNNNNNNNNNNNNNNNNNNNNNNNNNNNNNNCAGACACAUAACUUAAAAAGUCCAUGGCUUCUUCCGGAUUCUUGCUCAUAAAAUCUCCCCCACACAUGGUUUCAAGAAUUUGCUUCAUGGAAGAAGACAUUCCAUCAUAAAAAUAGCUCACCAAGAGCCAUGUAUCAAAGCCAUGAUGAGGACAAGCAUUGAUGGCCUCCAUAUACCUUUCCCAACAUUCAUGGAACUUCUCAUUUUCUUUAGCAGAAAAAUUUGAGAUUUGUCUCUUCAACCCAUUAGUCCUAUGGGUGGGGAAAAAUUUCUUCAAAAAUUCGGCCUGAAGAUCAACCCAACUCCUUAUGCUCCUUGGCCUUAAAGAAUUAAGCCAUAUUUUUGCCUUGUCCUUCAAAGUAAAAGGGAAUAGCUUGAGUCUCAUCAAGUCUAUUGAAGCUCCUCCCUCUCUAAAGGUAUUGCAAACCUCCUCAAACUCCUUGAUGUGGGCAUAUGGAUUCUCACUCUCCAUUCCAUGGAAAUUUGGUAGAAGGGGCACAAUAUGGGGUCUUAGAACCAACUGCUCAAGAGGAGGCAGGAUGCAUGAGGGUGCACUCAUCCUUGGUGGAUGCAUUCUAUCCCUCAUGGAUAGAUAUGCAUUAGGAUUACCCCCUUGACCUUGUUGAGAAUUCUGAUCCUCUGGUGGAGGGUCCAUGAUGUUAACACAAAUAUCCAACUAUGUGUCUUGAGGAUUCUCAAUCCUUACUAAUCUUCCCUCUUGGUCCCGAAUCCAAUAGGGCAUGCACAAGUUACUACUUACCUGAAAUAAAACAAAAACAAGAAAAACAAAAGAAACCUAGAAAAAAGUUAAUGUUAGAAAGAAAAUGAAAAUAAACCUAACAAAAAUAAAAUGAAAGGAAAUGAAGUUAGUGAAAAAGGAAUUCACCAAACUUGUGAUGGAAAUCACAAGUAGCCUCUAAAAGGUUGCAUCACUGUAUUGUGGCACCAUCCCCGGCAACGGCGCCAUUUUGAUUCGCGUGUAACUCCAAAUGGGUCAUUUAAUCAAAAACAUUUAUAAAACCUAUGACCUCAUACUAACAUAGCAAAGCUACUAUAGUAUAGUGGCUCUAGGGUCGAACUCUGGGAUGGGUUUUCAUUCUACCAGUGAUAUACUCAAAAUUAGAAAUUGUAUUUAAUGAUUUCCUUAAUCAAAAACUUAAAGUUUAAAAGAAAAUAAAAUUUGUUUUGAAAGUGUUUGAAACUAAACUAACAUAAACUAAUUAAAAAUGGAAGAAAGAAAGUCUCCCGGAGCUAAGGGUUGCUAGGAUCAAGUUCAGAAUAGAAAGUGGAAAAUUCCGGAUUUUUCUCCUCGCAUUGGGGAUUUAACCUAUAGUUAUUUCCCGAACCGGUAUAGGUUUGACAAUGAAGAUUUAAUCCAUAAAAGGUCAAUAGAAAUGGUAGUCAAGGUCCAUUAAUGGCUUAAGACACUAUGGGUCUUCACCUUGAAUCACCUAGUGGCCCAUUACUACUCGCGUAGCCUAUCUUUUCUAAGCCACCUCGAGGACUUUGGUUGAGGGGUUCAUUUAAUCCCAUUGUGACUCUUGGCAGCCCUAAUUUAGACUUAGUCUCACUUAGCCACCUUUGGCCCAUUAGGCAUCACCCUAAGCUCAUUUAGACAUUUUAGGCCCACUUAGGCACCUUAGGUCCAUUAAGCACUACUCUAGGUCCACUUAGAUCAACUUUUAGGCAUUUUUUGCAUAGAUGCAUGGCCUGCAUGGCUCUUUAUAUAUAUUAUUUAUUUGAUAUCAUUGAAUGCAUUUAAAUUAAAAUGGAUGAUAAUUUUAAUAUUAAUAUAUUUUAAAAUUAGACAUGUUAUCAUUGUAAAAUACUAUAUAAUGCAAUUUGUUAGCUUAAGGGUUCUCCUAAUUAGGUUUUGAUGAUAGCAAACUAUGGUUAAGUAAUUAAUUUGUUUGAAUUAUAAAAAAUUUAAUGUAUUAAUUCAAAAAUUCAUCAAAGGACCUAAUGGAUGCAAGAUCGAGACUUUUGGAAAACCUUUAAUCAUAGGAAACAUAUGUAAGAUGAAUGCAUAAGUGCACUUAUGAUUUACAUACCAUUUCAUGCAUUUUUUAAAAACUCAAUUUAUGCUUUAAAGUUAUAGUUCUAUCAAAAUCCGAGAUCUAUCAAAUGAACCUUAGGCAAAACGUUUCAAAAUUGGCAUAUUAAUUUACCUAAUGACUUUGUCUAAGUGUUAUAAGAGAAAAGAAUAGAAAAAUGAUGAACCGGUCGAGGCAUUGGCCAAACCGACUCAACCGGUCAAGGUAUCGGUCGACCCGUUCCCUCUUCCUGGUCGAGGUUCAGUCGAGGAGUGCAAAAACAUUAUUUCUCUUCCAGUAGCCUUUCCUUCUUAGUCGAGGUCCGAUAGAGAGUAAUGGUCACCUACCAAACAUUAAAUGCUCCAAUAAUUAGUGAACCAGUCAACCCCUAGCUAGACUGAUUGAGGCUCAUUUUUGGUUUUCUUUGCUCCUGAGGUUAGAAACCUAUAAAUAGAGAGCUCCACUUCAUUUAUGAGUAAAAGACACUUACAUUUAUUUGUCCACCUACUUGUUCUUGCCUUAAAAGCUCUCAUUCCUUUAUUGGUGCAUUAAAUCUUCAUUUGCAUACUCUUUGGUAUACCUUUGUAAUUCAUCCUACCAUUGAAUUGUAUUUGAGUUAUUGUUGAGUUAGGUUGAGAGAUUCAUAUAUGUUAAUUGAGUGUUAAAGCCUUAAAGUGAGUUGAAACUCGAAGAGAUUGUAUAAGAGUCCAUUGGAAUUGGAAUCCAAGCAUAAAGGUGAUUAGAAGCUUGGUUGAAGUUUUAAGUACAUAUGUGAUUAUCAAUAUUUUCAUCAUUAAAUGCAAUUGACAAAUUUAUCAAAAUAAAAGAUUUAAUUGGGUAAAAGGAUGAAAUAAUCUCAUAUUUAUGAAUUUAAUCGCUCUCUGUAGACCCCCCAUUUGGGGCCAUUCGGCCAGCUGCUCAUUUUGCCACGUGGAAGAGCCUUGCUCCACCACGUGUCUUCUCUUGAGAGGCUGGUGCAACAUCAGAUGAUGCUUUUAGGAUGCCAAUGGAAGGUUGACAGGUGGCAUGAGGAUCUGCAGGCCGUUGUCUUGAGGAGCGUCUUCUGUUAUUAGCAGAGUAGUGGUGCAGGGGUAGAAGGUGGCUGCAGAGAUGGGUUGGAGGGGCAAAUCCGGGAGAGAAAAUGGAUAUGGUCCUUGAAGAGGAAGGUGGCAGGGAGCUUUACCAGGGGGCAGGAGUUUUUGUUUGGUGACUUUUGGGUAGAGAGAGGGACCACAGAGAGAGGGGGGACCACAGAGAGACGGGAGUAAGCUAAAGUGGAAUUUUAGGAGGGUGGUCUGGAAGGCUGCAGGGGGAGAUUUUCAGGAAAAAAGGUGCUUUGCUGCUGGAGGGAGAACGAAGGGAAAAAAGAGGAGUUGCAGAGAGAGCUAGAAAGGGAGAGAGGUUUCUAACUUGGGCAUCAAGCCAGAGGGGGGUCUCCAGAAGGUGGUUUUUUUCGGGAGAAGGAGAGGAGAUCCAGAAAGAGGAAGAGGGGAAGGAGGGCUCGGGUUUGAUCACUUCAUAUCUCAGGUUCUCCACUCUUAUCUGAUUUUAUUUUUAUCUCCAGUCAGACCAUGUUUCAUUCUGCUAUUUGAAUGUUCGUUUUAGCUAUCUGAUGUGUUAAAAUUGCUUCUCAGCUUCUAUUUGCUUGGUCUUCGUUGUCCCUUAUAUGAGUUGCAUUGGGAUUAUGCUAUUUGUUUAAGCGUUAAUAUCUUUUAAAAACCCCCACCAGUCUUAAACUCUCAUUGAUCUUCACGGAAGAGAGUCAAAUUUGUCCAUAUUACUUUCUUCUUCGCAUGCUCUGUUUUCUUUCACUGUGUUGCAUGCCUCCGAUAUUUUUAAAGUGAGUAUCAUGUUUGGGUUGGUUGCCUGCAUUGGGAGGUUCUUGAAGGAGUUCAGUGGCAAAGACUCUGAGGACUCAUGUGUCCUGCCAUCCAUUCGAUGAGUUACAGUUCAUCUAGCCAGCAAAGUGCCGUAGCCAUCACCUUGCAAAAGCCUCCAUUGUGUCAUGUUUGAGAGCCUAUCUCGGUGUUUGAGUUGAGGUUCUAAAUGUAUGGGUUGAAAUUUAGUUUAGAAGUUGUUUGGGCAGGAUCUCAGGUUUAAUAGACCAGUGAUUGCAGUCACGUGGAAAGAAACUUAGCUGUUGGUGAAGGUUUGUUGGAGAAAACACCGGCAGAAAUGAGUGUCUUUCCGUCUAAUCCGGCUGAUUAUGAAUAUGGUAAGGAAAGAUGAGCAGAGAAAAGUGAGGGUAUGGCAUGAUGGGACGUGGGUAGACCACCCUAGGUUCAUCCUGGCCUGCAUGGAAGUCUCCAGCAAAAACAUGGGUUGUGUGGUGAAGCAGACCCAAUACCCCCACACCUCCGAGUUUAUGUCCAUCAUGCAUAUGCUUUUCCAUCUCAUCAUCCCACCGUUUUCCUAACCACCAGCACCCGUGUACAGGACCAGCACUCUUUACACCCUUUAUCAUUCCUCACAGUUCUUUAUUUUACACUCUCUCAUACCCCAUGCCCAUACCCAUUUGAACUAUCACCCUUCUCUCUCUACACCACCAUGCACCUAUAUCAUUCCUCUCACUUAUUCAUCACGCCCAUUACUGCAGUUGGCUCUAUCACUGGACCUACUUUCCUUCAUCACCUCUCACCACCCUUUGUACCAUUCUUUCAUCACCUGUUUGCUCCCUAUCCUCUCGUGUAUGUGGAGCUUCAAGCAUGCAUGGACAUCCACAUUCCUCAUCAACUUCCUCUCAUCCUUCACCACAUAUGCUCAUCACCCUUCAAACCCUACACCUCCAUUCACCCAUGCCUCUUCCAUCAUAUCCUCUUCGUAGCCAUGCCUCAUACCUCCAUGCACGCACCCAUUCUUCAUCCCGCCACCUUCUCUCCCUCUACACCACAUGCCCACCAUGCAUGCUGUUCUUUCAUUGAUCCACAUCGCCUCAUAUCUCUAAUCCAAUGUAUGCACCCAUACCACCAAUCCCAUGCAUGCAUCCAUGGCCCUCAAGCCCAUGGCUUCGUACCCAUAUCCAUCCAUCUUACACCACUACACCCGCGGCUAUAGCUCAUCCACCUAUAUAAUCCCAUAUCACCCAUGCCCCCAUGCAUUGACAUACUACUCACCCAUCUUUUUCCUCACCUUUCAUUACAUCAUACCCAUAUUCCCGCACCACCACCCUAUCUACCCAUUUUCCAUUAUCUCCACCACCCCUUCAUCUUAAACCCAUCUGAGUAAAGAUUCCGGGUUUCAUCUUCAGGCAUUAGUGGCAGUAUCACCUCUGAUUUCUUCCGACAGAAAACCCGACCUUCCUCUCCCUAGUCGGCAUGGUUUUUGGGUUCACACGCUAAAAAGAGGAUGAUGAAGGGGCUGCUAUCAUGUCAUGCUAGAGGUAUCCAUUUGAAAUUUGUCAAGGUUUUGAGCGUACAGUCACUACUAAGUUGCAAGCAACCCUUAUAUCGCCCCAGGAAUCUGAAGGCAACGAUGCAGUCGAGGGCAGUGAGGGUGGAAAUAAAGUGUCUUAUGUGCCUAGAGAGAAUCAGGGUAUCCACAAAGGUAUGAAGCCAUUUGGGCAAAGGAACCGGAGCUUCAUGGAGAUGAUACAGUCAGCUUCGGCUAAAGGAACCCAGAAUUUGGGGAAAGAGAAUAGUAGUACCGGCUUGAAGAUUUGGAACAGGAAGAAGGCUUUGGGCAGAAGAGGAAGAUGACGAUUUUGAGAUGGAAAAGAAUUGACUUCGGAGAAGCAAGAAGCAAUGGAUUCACAGGAAGCAACAAAUACUACUAAGUCAAACAUUUUAAACCCAUAUGAUGAGGGAAUGGGAUCACGGGAAGAUGGAAACAUGAACCCGAGACUGAAAAGGUUGUUUGUGGCAGUCCAGGUGAAUCGGCUAUUGAAUCAGAUGAUAUAAAGAAGGAGAUGACUGAAGGGAAACGGGUUCCUUCGAAUAUUACUAAAUUUGAUCAUGAAUGUUUGGGAAAGACCGCUGACAAUCAAGCAUAUUAAGGGGAUCCAUAUAAAGAAUUGUGGGUUUCCUUCGUUGACCGAGUUGGUCUUAGUCACAGAUAUUCUCAUCCAUGGCUGCUACACCUCUCUCAGAUUCCUCAAAGUUUCAGCCUCAGCAAUCUGAAGGUGACAGGGUAUUUUGAUGUACCAAUUAAUGCGAGCUGGUCACUCACUCAGAGUCUCGAGAUUGCGGGUAAGUUUCUGGAAAAGGUAAUUGAAGAGGAAGCUUGUGCAUAUAUGGACGGAAUUGGACUCUGUUGCAAGGAAAUUCAAUGAGGACGUGUACGUUAAGUUCCUGGGGCUUGGAGAAUUUGGAAACUAAAAGUUGUGCAGAGAUGACACCCCCCCAUUUGCCAGCAUAUUGAGACAAGAGGCACUAAGUCAAACAAGGAAUUGGAAAGUCUUUUAUUAAAGCCCAAGUCAAGGACCAUUGACAAUUAUUUGAUAUUCCGAGAAGCUCGGGAUAGGUCCUUCCCUCAUGAUCUUGAAUUGGUAUCUGACAGUGGCAUCAGUCUUCAACCCCGAGGUACUCAUACCCUGGACCCACUCCUCAAGCUUCUUAGCUGCAUGGCCACCUUUGGCAUGCAAUUUUUGACCACUUGUCAUUGCUCCAUUUUUUUUUCUCAUUUGAUUUUAAAAGCAUAAUUUUCCCAAAACCCAAUUUUGUAAAUAAUUUCUCCAACCCAUAUUUGUUUCCAAAUGAUUUCUCCAUUUCAAGUUGUUUCAAAAUAAUUUCAAAUCAUCAAAUUUUUCCAUCCUUAGAAUUUCUGGAUACCAAAAUCCCAUUUUCAAUAAAAUUUGGUUGCCAUUUUCCUUCCGGCAAGCCACUUUUGCAUUUUUCUUUGUUUUUAAAAUGUUUUAAAAUAAGCAAGAAUAAAAUUCCGUGAUUCUCAAGUGAUGAGAUUUAUGGAAUUGAUUCGUGCAAAAUAAACGGGCUUUGGUGGGGGCCCCACAUAUGUGAUUUCAUGAUUGAUUUACUGAUUGAUUGAUUCAUUAGCUAUAUGUGAUUGAUUUAUUCUGUUCCUUGAUAUACACAUUAUCCUUCUGUGUUUGUUCACUAACCCUGUUUCUAAUAGCGCAUUGAAGAUCGUUGCCCAGGUACACAUCUGUCCUUAUUCUGGUCUUGCUAUAUGCAUGUUUUGAUACUUAUAUGUGCAUGAUUGAUUUGAGUAUUUAUUGACUUCCUCAUCAUUGCCAUGUUAGCUCCAUUCUAUUAGUAGAGACCCGACUUUAGGGACUUAGAGGGGUGCUACGGUCUUUACCGUACCUUCCCGAUAAGUAACCUGACCCCCAAACCCAAUCCGGUUUUUCACAGACCGCCUUUUUCAAAAUAAGGAGUCACGCUUAGGGUUUUUCUUUCUUAUUUUGUUUACCCUUUAAAAAUAAAACAAAAAUAAGUGGCGACUCCAAGUCAUUUUCAAAUAAUCAAUAAAAAUCAAUUUUUCAAAUAAAAAUCGAGUUUCGCCAUCGAGUGGGAAACGCCUUCGAGCGAUCGAAAAUGCGGGAUCCACACUCUCAUAUUGUUUUGAAGAGUAACUUAUUUUUGAUAUAAAUGCUCUUAAUUAUUUCAAGUAUUUACAUAUAUGUUUUAAAAGAAAAAGUUAUUGUUAUAUAUAUAUAUAUAUAUAUAUAUAAUUAAGGAUAUUUUUGUUAAAAUAAGGCCAACAAACAAUAAAGAAUUAGAUUUCUAAAAUUGGGUUUUCAAUAACUUUUUAAUUAAAUAACCCAAAACAAAAUCAUAAACUUUAUGAUUUUUAUUAAUUAAAUUAAUGCAUUAUUUUCCUUUUUCCAUUUUUAUAAAAGCAUUUAUUUUGUAGAUUCUAGCAAAAUAUAUAUAUAUAUAUAAAUGAUUUUAUCCAUUAUCCACCAAACAAUACCUUGUAUUGCCUUUCCUUAGUUUCUAUUUUUGAAAUUAUUCCAUUUAUGUUUUAAGAAAAUUAACAAAAUUUAAAAACAAAAUACUAAAUUCCCUAUAUAAUUAAUUAAUUAAAUUAAUUUCUUAUUUUUCUUUUAUCUUUUCCAUCUUGAUCAAAUAUUUUUUAGUCCAAAUUUUAAGAAAAAAAUUAUAACCAAUAAAAGGAUAAAAUAGAUCGUGUUUCAUUUUUGUUGUGUGAAUUUGUGAAUAAAUGAGUUUUUAGCAGAUCUCUUCAGUUCUGUUUGGAAAACUUUGAUUUUUUUUUCUUUUUUUUUUUCCCUCAUAAGGGAGGGCUUUUUUAAAAAAAAAAAAAAAAAAAGUAUUUAUGCGUUUUGGUGAAUUUGAUGGGUAAUCUUAUUUGUCCCUAUGCCUUUUAGUGGUGGAAGUUAUACAUAUAUGUCAUUAGUUCCUUCUAAUAUUGAAUUGCUUUGUGUAUUACAUGUUAUAGCGUGGCUAAAGGGUGUUUUUAUUUUUAUUUUUUUAUAAUUUUUCUUUUUUUAUUGAGAUUUUGUGUAAGCUUCUAGGGAAGCUUCUCUUUCUUGGCAAAAUGCACUGAACCCUUUUUGUACAAAAAUGGGGGAAAAAAAAAAGAGAAGACCGAAGACAAAGAAAAGAAAGAAAAUGAAGAAAAAGAAUAUUGUUGUCUGUGCAAGGUAUAGAACACCUCUGUUAUCUUUUAUAUCACGGUUCUAAAAAAGCUGAGGUAUCAUUGUGAAUGUGGAUUGCAUAUCAUAUUUUAGGAACAUGAUCGUGUCUUCAUUUAUGGGGAUUUUUGAGCCUCUGAGAAGAGUAAAAAAGAUUAAAGUACUUGUCGCUUGCUUAUUUUAAUUUGGGAUUUUCUGGGAGAUUCUGUAGAAACAGUGCUUUUUUUAGAAAAAACUUUUUUUUUUUUUUUUUUCUGAAUCCAUUGUGCUAAAAUGGAGUUAAAAUUAUGUAGUAAUAUACUAAUUUGUAUCCCAUCUCUAAUGGGUAGAGUGGGAGGAUUAUAUUUUAAUUUGUGUAUGGACUAUACCUUUCCCUUGGUGGUAGCAAAUCAUUAUUUAGUCUAAAAAUAUUGUUAAGUGUUUUGCUUUCCAUUUAUAUUCUUUUGCUUUUAUCAUUGGAUUGAUUAUUGAUUUCAAUCCAAGCAUUUUAUAUGUAUAAUGAAACCUCUUCAUCAGUUGCUAUAAUUUUAAAAAUAUUGUGGUUUCUCAUACAAUAGGGCGCUUUAAGUUUGUAUCUCUUACUAUUUUGUCUCUUAGAUCACAUAGAAAAUGGUGAAGGCUGUUGCUGUUCUUAACAGUAAUGAGGGUGUCUGUGGAACUAUCUACUUCGCUGAAGAAGGAGAUGGUAAUCAAGAAAUCUACCAAGUUUCUCUGGAUAAGUAAUGAAAUUUAGAUUGCUAUAUUUGCCUAUAAAUUCAUUAUUUUUUUCUCAAUUCUUUAGGUUCGACUACAGUGACUGGGAGUCUUUCUGGCCUUAAGCCUGGACUUCAUGGCUUCCAUGUGCAUGCCCUUGGGGACACAACAAAUGGUUGCAUGUCAACUGGUAUUGUCUAAUUAUUGGUUACUUUAUUUUUUACAUCCUUUGCCAUUGGGUUAGACUUACACUCUUUAGAUUUCCUGCAUGUUUCUUUUUAGCUUAAGUAUUUAGGUUACUUAUUUAUUUAUUAUUUACAGGACCUCAUUUCAAUCCUGCUGGAAAAGAGCAUGGUGCUCCUGAAGACGAGAAUCGUCAUGCUGGUGAUUUAGGAAAUGUCAUUGUUGGUGAGGAUGGUAUGUACUAUGUACUUCAUUGUAAUUAACUAUUACUAGAAUACCAUUAGAAGCAUUAUUAUUGUUUGCCCGGCAUUGCUACUUUUUAGGCAAUCAUUUUUCUUAGAUCCUUGUAUAGAUAUCAAUCUAUGUGAUAUGAAUGGAAUAUCUGGAUUGUAUAUCUAGUUCUGUUAUGUUAUUUGAACUUUCUUAGCCAUUAAGGUGUUUUCAUUUGAUUGUGUGCUUUUCAGGUACUGUUAAUUUCAAAAUUGUUGACUUUUUUUUACCUCUUUGUCUUCUUUUUCUUUUUAUUCUUUUUACCAGCUAGGUUGAAAUUUGGUUCUUGUUAUCUAAAAAAUGUAUUUGUCUCUGUUUAAAGAUUCCUCUCACUGGAUCAAACUCCAUUGUUGGAAGGGCUGUUGUUGUCCAUGCUGAUCCUGAUGAUCUUGGAAAGGGUAAGCUGUAAAACUUCUAUCUAUGAAGCUUUUUUUUCAGGUGUUUCCAUUUUGUGCUACUGUUAUUCUAUGCCCUAUGGAUUACUAAUGGAUAAGAAUGAACAGUCCAGUCCUAGCUUAUGACAAAUGUUAAUUUAUAUUUUGCUGGAACAUUAUUAAGUUCCAUCUUACAAAGUUUGGACAAACGUAUGUAUACUUAUUCCAUCAUUUUGUGCACAGUAAUUAUUUUUAUUCUUAUGAUGGGUGCUAUGCAGGAUGACUAUUUUUAUUAAUCUGAUACAAGCUGUGCAAGAUGAAUUUUAGAGAAAAGAAAUGCUUUGAAAAUAGAAUCAGUUGUGUUUUACAAUUAUGCCUUUGUUGAGUCAAUAAGGAGGCAUUUGAAGUUACCUCAUUUUUACAAGGAAGUACUAAUAUACUACACUAAAUCGGGGGAUUCUAAGUUAAAUAUUAGAAACCCACAGGGAGAUUUUUGAAAUAUCGCUGAGAUCCAAGUCAUCCGACACCCAGCCUGCCUUAAAAAUCAAGCUGAAAAAUUCAGUUUAUCCAUUGCAUGGUUGACAUCUGUGUGAGAACUUAAAUAUCCAUCUCAUCCUCGCUUAACAUUGUUAACGAAGUUCAUGUUUGGAUUAGGGGUAAAAUGGGCCUUACUUUUAUUAGAACUGAAAGCUUCUUCACAAAAUGGAAGUAGGUUUUGUUGACAUCACAGAUUUUAUGUGAUGUGAGUGAUUGCAAAAGAGGGGUUCUAAGAGUUAUGGUUUAAAGUUAUUCUGACUCCCUUUUGGGCUUCUGCUAUGAUCUCCAGAAGCCACAUAUGCUAGCUGCUGGAGCAUUAUUAAGUUUUUCGGGCCCUGGUAUCGAGGUUGAUUUGUUCCUUGAUAUAUGCUUGCCAAUCACCAGUACCAUUUGGUUAGAAGAGAAUACUUGGCUGUUUAGUCUGUUUUUAUUGUUUGGAAAAAAAAACUCCGAAAAUGGCCCAAGUGGGAAUGGCUUGACUUUGUUAGAAUAUGGACGGAUGUGUUCCUAUUUUUCUUAUUUUUAUUCUUAUUUUACCUUUGAGCAUAUCUUGGCUUUCUGAGCAUGCAAUAACAGUUUCUUUUCUAUAUUUUUUCAGGGGGACAUGAGCUCAGCAAAAGCACGGGAAAUGCUGGUGGCAGAGUAGCCUGUGGUAAGCAUAUUUCUUUUCUUUUCUUUUCCUUUCCUUUGUAGUGAGAGGGGGGGCUUUGGUUGGUACAUGAAAAUCAAAUCAUGCAUUUGGUUUUUUUUUUUCAUGUAAUUUGAAAUGAAAUAAGAUAAAUCACUUUGUUUCUUAUGCAAUUUUUGAGAUACUAUAAUCAUUUCAAGUAUGAGUGAGUGCUUUCCAGUAUUUAGUUUUUUUUAUUCUCUUUUUUUCCUCCCCACCAUAGCAGACUGAAUUUCUUUUCCAAAUUAUUAUGGGGAUAAAACGGAAUGAUUGCACUAUUAUUUGUUCUUUAAAUGCACUUGUAAGAUAAAUUUUGUCUAUAAUGUUAUUUGGGAUCAUCAAAAGAUGCAUAUGGGUUCUCUAUUAGACUUCUACAUAUCUUAGGUUUUUAUCUUAUUCAUUUGUCCCUAAAGUUGUGUGUUCGUUUACCUCUUUGUAGGAGUUAUCGGAUUGCAAGGCUAAAAAACUAGCUCUACCGACGCUCAUGGUAAACACAUGUAGUUGAAGACAUUUGUUUUGUCAUGCAUGAGAGAUCCCUAGACAAGACUCAAAAACUUGAAAGAAUAAAGGGAAGAAGGUUGUCCUUUAUGGUGUGAUGUAUGAUGUUAUGAUCUUAAAUCUUUUGUGUUAUUUCCCAGUUAUAUCUAAAACUUCCUCUGGUUUUGGAUCUGGUAAGGAAUGGAUAAAAUAAAUUAAGAUAGACAAAGAUUCAAUAUGCAUUGACAUUAAGAAUGAAAGUUUGGAUGGUGUGUAUCAAAUAGGGAAUAAAACUAUGAAUAUGAAGGUCUAAUGUGUUCGGAGUGGGAUAGCGAACCAUAGCUAUGUGGUAGGACCUUGGUUACUAGCCCCUCUAAUCAACCUCUACAUAUUUAGACUUAAGUGGUAUCAUCUAAAUGUGUCUAGGGAUAUGUUGUUCUAUAUUAUUCCUGAGUUUAAAAAUUUGUGAUUUUGGAGUGGCUUGGAACCACUUGAGGGUGGGUGAGGUUGGGUGGGGUUUUUUUUUCCCCUUUUUUGUUUUUUUCUAGCCUUGUGUAGGGCUGUUCAGUAUACUCCCUGUAUACGUGUGGCUUUUUAGCCUUUUCUAAUAUAUUUGGUUGUUUAUCUAUCAAAAAAAAAAAAAAAUUGUGAUUUUGGAUGGCGAUAGCAUUGAGAUUGCUUGAUAGUCAUUGCUUGAUAGUCUUCUGUUCAACGUUGUUUUUUAGUUAUUUAUUAUAUAUAUAUAUAUAUAUAUAUAUAUAUAUAUAUAUGUAUGUAUAAUUUUGAUCUUCAUAGAAAUGUGAAAUUGAUAACCAUCUCUCUCUGGAAGGGAAUCCCAUGUUAUGUUGCGUUGGCAUGGACAUAGGCAUACAACAUAGGCUAGUGAAUGUGUGUCGGUUUUAGGUAUGAGGUGUGAAACAUGAGCUGAUUGUGGAUGUUGGCAUUGCAUGAACUUCAUGGUUUAGGGAUUCAUAUUCUUAAUAAAAUAUCUCAUUUUUAUAAUAUAUUUUUAUUAUAAAAUUGAGUAAAUAAAAUAAAAAAUGAUUAAAAAUAUGAUAAAAUAAAAAAUAUAAACAUGAAAUAUUUAUUUUUCAUUAUCAAUUUAUCAAGUUUUUAAAAAUAUUUCCCUAUUUCCCUCUUUUCUUUAUCCGAAUGCGACUCUUUCUAUAUCUAAUUGAUUUCUUAAGAAGAUUAAACAAGUGUGAAAUAUAGCUAGUGGUGAAAACCUUGAUCUUAAUAAAAGCUCAUUAAUAGUCAAAACAUUAAAAUUUAAAAAUAAGAUUAUUUUAGUCUCCAACUUAAAUAUAACAUUUGUUUGUAGACAUCUUUCUAAUAUCUUCACUUUUUUUCUCACAAUCUAUUAUCUUAAUUUCAAUUCUUUGGUUAACUUCUCUCUUUUAUUAUUUUUUAAUUUAAUUUUUUAAUAUUAAUGUUUUUAUUGGUUUUCUUUCAAUGUUAAUCAAUUUAAAAAGUUUUAUAUGGUAUCCCUCUAACAUAAUGGUAGUACCAAAUCAUUCCUAAAUUUGAGAACAUGAUUUAUAAUGCUAAAGCCUAAUAAUAAUUAUGGUGUCAUCUAAAGCCUAAACCAUUUGAUGAUCAAAUUGACAUCAUGUUAGUCUUAUUCAUUUAUUUAUUUUUCAAGUAGGCUUUUGAUUGCGCUUGAAAGGCUUGGAGGGUUGCCUUAAAAUUUUGUGUAAUUAGAGAUCAUAAUUGAGUAAAUUGCAAGUGAACUUGAUUUUCCUAACAAUCAAUAACCAACCAAACAAAAGUAGAUCGAUUGUUGCACAAUGAACAUACAAGUGAAAAAGUCGUGUUAUCUAAGGUUGAUUAUCCAAGAACAUUUUAACCAAUUAGACUCAUUUAAUACAUGAAGAGAUUUCUACUCUAAUGAUUAUCCUCAUAAGACAUUCUUGAAUAUAUUUGACUAAACUCAUAUGUUAAGCCAAACUCUGAACAUCCUAUCAAAUGAUAUUAUGAAUCCUUUAUUUACUAUUAGAUUUUAUUUAACGAAUUUCACGAUGUCAUAUUUUACCUUUGAAAACAAUAUUUCAUAAUUUAAGACAUGAUUAAAAAUUUACUCAAACAAUAUACAUAAAUUUAGCAAAUAACAAAACUUCCUUUAUCAUAUGUAUUUUAUAAUUUAUGAAAUGUGACUCACGCAAUACAAGAAGUCGAAUACUAAUAAAUUAAAACUUUUAUCAUUGUGCAAGACCACACACUUAACAAACAAUUUUAUUAGGGAUAUAACAAUGAACAAAACAAAAUGCAUAUGAAAAUUUAACAUGUGCUUGAAUAAAUAAAUUCUAUCAAAUGAAGGAAAUGAUUAAAGGAAACAUCAUUGACAAUUUCUCAAACAUCAUUAAUAAUUUCUCUUUCAAAGGCUGCAUUUGUACUUCAUCUCAAAUAGAGCAGAAAAUAAAGGAAAUCCAAUGUACCUAAAAAAAAUGAUAAGAACAAAAGAAAAUGAUAUCAUUUAAAUAUAAAUAACGUAAAAAUUAGCAAUAGUAUUUAUAAAAUAUAUUAUGAAGAACCAAAACAUAUUCUUAGUUAUGGUCCACCUCCAUCCUAUUAAUAUUUAAUAUUUUUUAAAAUUAAAAUUUCUUUAAUCUUGUUUUUCAAUUCCUUUAUAUUUGUUUAUUAUUCAUUUGUAUAUUAUUUGAAAACAAUUUUUUUUAUUAAUUUAAGAAAUUUAUUAUUACAUGUUAAUAGUAAACAUACAAAAUAUUAUUCUUUAUUUGAUAUUCAUCUUGAAAGGUAUACUUAUCAUAGAUUUAUAUUAUAUCAUUUGCAUACUAUACUAAUUUGAAUUAGCCAAGGUUUUUUUCAUUAUAAAAAGGUGUAUUAUUUAGUUAAAUUAGAUGAAAAUAAAGGAAGUUAAUUAUUAUGAAUGUAAAAGGAUAGAAUAUUUACAAUUUUUUUAAUCUAUUAAAAAUAAAUCCUAUAAUUUUUUUUAAUGAGGGUGAUUUGACUGUAUUUUGAAAGAAUGAUAGUUAAUCUCUUAUAUGAAAUAUAUUUAAAAUUAAAUUUUGAAUUAAUUUAAUAAUUUGUUAUUAAAAAUUGAUAUAAUCUUCAUACUUUUUUAUUUUUAUAGAAUAUUUCUAUCAAUAAUUUAAAUAAAAAAAUAGUAUAAGAAGAAAUAAAAAGUAUGGGAGAGAAAAAUAAAAAGUAUGGGAAAAAACUAACCUUCUCACAAAAGAGUAUUGCAUCUUCCGCAGGUCUUCCAUACUACAAUCAAUGAUAUGUAGUUCUUGAAGGUUUUGAAUAUUCAUGAGUGUCAUAAGAGAGGAAAUAUGUUUCAUCCUAUCAUUCCCAUCUUCAAUCCAUCUUAGCCUAGGCAAGUUCUUCAAUUUCAAGGUUUCUAACUUUGAGAGGAUCUCAACAUUUCCAUCAAUUUCUUGAAGAACAAUCACAUGCUCUAGGAGUUCACAAUCUUGCUCAUCUAUCUUUUUAAAAUUCUGGAAGUUGUGUAUCAAAAGAGCUGGGACAAGAUUGAGUAGACAUGGACAUUCCUACACCCUUAAGAUCCGUAGAUUGAAGAAAGAUUCAACUUGGGCACAUCAUAGAGUAUCAACUUCUCUAUCUUAGGGAAUGAAACCUAUAACAUGAUACAUGACAUCAUCAAUUGGAAAGUUAUAAUAAAUAUAAAUAUAUUUCUUAAAUAUAAUUCAUCAGCUUAAGAUUAUUCACAUGUUUACUUUAAUUAUAUUUAUAAAAAAAAUGAAAGGAUGAGGGAUUCUCAUGCGGAUGUCACAAAUUAUUUUUACUCAUAUAAAUAAUUUCUUAUUUUAAAUCAUAUACAUUCUUUUAUUUUUCUCUCAUUAAUAAAUUCUUGUGAAUGCCUUUUUUAAAUUUCCUUUUUCUUUUAAAAGAUUUUGAUGAUUUCACUCUUAAAUUUAUUUUGUAUAUAUUCCUAUUAACUUGACUUUUUUUUCUUAUUUAAAGUAAAAUUAUACUUAUAAUUUUUCGUUAUUUAAAUACUCAUUCCUAUUAAUAUUUAAUGUGUUUAAAAUUAAAAUUUCUUUUAACCUUAUUAGUUUUUCAACUCCUUCAUGUUUUAUAUAUUAUUUUUAUUUAUUAUUAUUAUUAAAAGUGAAAUGUUCAAAUAAUUUUAACAUGGUGGAGUUUGGAAAGUGCUUGUGGGCCUACCCUAGUUUUUCUUUUGACUUAUAUCAAUAUAAAGUGGUGCAAAAAAUAAUAAUAAUAAUAAUAAUAAUAAUAAUAAAACCAAUGAAAUUGGCUAAUAAGCUUUAACAUACCUUAUGACUGAAAAAUGAGUUUUCCGACCUUGCAUUUGUACUCAAAGAUGUGGAAGAUGUUGUUUCUAACUCGGAACUGAAGUUGAUGAGCUGUGGUAGUCCCUUGAGUAUCAAGGAUCGCAAUUUUGGGAAUAGUUGCAAGUUGGUCCCAGCAUGUCCAUCUUCUUUUAUUUCUGACUCCCUUUCAUAUGCGAUUAUUUGUUGCAUGGCUUUGCAGUAUUCUAUUGUCAUUUCUUCAAGUUGGGAAAGGCCUCUAGCCGUGGAGAGCAAAAGGAGAAAUUUCAAUUUAGGACAAAAAAGCACUUUUAGAGUUUUUAAGUUACCAAAAGACCCUAUUGGAAUUGGGCCAUGCCAUACUUCUUCCAAAUUUUUCAGAGACCUAAGAAUCAAUGACUCCAAUAGAGGAAAGGCACCAUGUUGCAGAAACCAUUGAUUCUUUGAAUCCAUGAUGUAUUGAAUCUCAGGACUAUAACCAACUUCGAGAUGCUUUAGUUCAAGGAAACUCUCCCUAUCUGAUGGGUGAAGAACAUAUUUAGUACCACUUAAUUUCAUGAACUUUAGUUCUUCACUUCUCUCCAACAACUUGCUCAUUCCAUCCCCCAAAUGUAAGCUUCUAUUGACUUUCUCGAGGUUCAAUGCUCUUUUGGUUCUCAACCUCCACCGAGUACCUAUAGAUAUCGCAUAUCUUGUCAAGUUCUCAAAUAGAAUGUCUUUUGGGAGCAACUUGGCAUCUGGUAUAUAUAUCUCUAAAGUUGUCAAAUGAGACAAAUGAUUUAGCUCGGAUAAGCAAGCAUUGCUUUCACCUUCAGUUACCCAUUGAGUAAAGCUAGAUUUCAUGUACAAACAUUCUAAUUGAGACAAACUUGAUAAGAUAUUUCGUGGAAUUACUUCAAGCUUCUCACAAUCAUUCAAAUCCAACAGCCUUAGAUUGGUCAAUCGCGACAUUUCAUUAGGCAAUUGUUGGAUUGUAGAACCCAUCAAGCUAAGAACUUCUAGUUUUGUUAGCUUUCCAAUUAGAGCAAUGUCUUCCAACUUGCACCCAUCUAGACGCAAUGUUUGGAGAUUUGUAAGGGAAUCAAGUGAUGAAGGUAGCGUUGUAAAAUGCGUUUUGGGCAAAUCUAAAACUUCGAGUUUUUUCAUCCCUUUGAAAAAUGUGUUCGGGAUAUUCAAGGAAGGAUUGUUGUUAUGCAAUUGGAAAAAUUGAAGGUCCGGACAUACCAACCCUUGAGGAAGCUCAUGCACAGCUUUGCAAUGCAAAGAGAUGAAAGCGCACCUUUUGGAUUCAUCAGUCUCUGACCAUUCUUCCAAUCCAACAUCUUCUCUGACUACAAAUGGAUGAGGAUCCUUGGAUGCAAUUGCUCUGGCAACUUCACGAACAACACUAUGCAUCCUCACAAACUUGUUAUCAGCAUCCAUGAAAAGCGAACUUGAAGCUCUUUCUUCAUCAAACUUGUUUCUAUCUUCAUGACUGUCAAGUAACAAGCCUGAGGCUUUGAGGAAAUCCACCAAUGCAAGUAGCCUAUUUCUUGCUUGCUCCAAUGAGUCGAUGCGAUCAAACAAAUCCAGACCCAUACCAUAUCGUAACAAGAGAUCCAAUGAAAUAUCACCAUAGUCCAGCAUCCCACAAAGUAAGAACAAUGACUUAACGUCAUCACCCUUCAAAUGGGUGUAGCUCCACUCCAGACAUGAGUAAACCUUCUUAUCCACUGCUCUAAUGUUUGUUGGUGCACAACUCCUAAGUUGUUCCAAGGCAUUCUUCCAUACAACCAUGGUCUCAUCUUUUAAUGCCUCGGCAAUUAUUACAAUUGCAAUUGGUAGACCCUCACAUUCUUCAACUACUUGAAUGGCUAUGCGUCGCAGUUCAAGAUUCUCCUCCAUGGAAUCACCUGCUGUCUUCUUAAACAAACUCCAAGCUUCUUCUAGUGGUAAAUAUUCCACUGGAAAACAAAUUUGUGCGCCCAAGCCUUUGCAUAAUAGGUCUCUAUCUCUCGAAGCCAACACUAUUUUGCAUUGCGUCCAAAUAUCAUCUUUAGAAGGAAUUCCGACUUGCUCCAAAUCAACUUCCGUCCAAAUAUCAUCUAAGAUAAUAAGGAUCUUCUCUUCCUUCAGUAACUGCUUCAGUUCAUCCGCAUUGCGCUUCCAAGGUGGUAGGCCCAACGCUUCUGCAAUUUUUUGUCGAAGUGUUUCCAAGCCUGAAAUGGAGGAUAAAUCCACAUAGGCUUGUCUGGUGAACAACCGUUGUUGCUUAGCUUGUUGAGCCACUUGUUUCAGCAGUGUUGUUUUGCCCACACCGGCCAUGCCCCAUACUCCAAUCAAGUUGAUAUUGUGGUCUCUUAAGGCAUCCAUAAUAUCGUUCAGAGUGGAGGCUCUUGAUUCAAGGAAUGAAGCCUGUAGCAAAAACACAAGAUAAGGCAUCAAUUGGAAAGUUGUGAUGAUAGGAGGCAUAAACAUAUUUCUUAAAUAUAAUUCAAUUCAAUUCUGAAAUAGUCUCUCGCAUGUUCACUUCUAAUACAUUAUAAAAUUUUCAUUAGUGAAAGAAAAAGUAAUUAUCAUUAUAAACAUUUUCCCAAAAAAUCAAAUAACUAUUAUAAUAUUAAUAUCCUUUAUGAAAUACAAUUCAAAUGGGUUUCUUAACAAACAGUAAAUAAAGUAUGAAUAAUGAAAAAAAUUAAUAAAAAAAAAAUACAAAAUCACAAAGCUUUCAUGAUCAAUACAAAGAAAAAACUUUUAACUUUUCUUUUUAAAAAAUGUUACUUUUAUUUUGAUAUUAACAAAAAAAUAACACAUAAUUUUCUUUUAAAAAAAAGAGUAAAAGAGAAAAACUAUUCAUAUUAAAAAGGAUGUAUAUGUAAAAAAUAAUAUUCAAGAUUGUAUUUUUAUAUUUUAAAAAAUAAAUUUUAUUAUUUUAAAAGAAUAAUAAUUACUCUCCUUAUAAGGAAUAAAGUAUGAGUUACUCUUUUUAUUUUUAAAAAUAAAAAAUUACAAAAAAAUUCUUUUUGAAGGUUUUGUAAAAUAGAUGUUAACAACAAAACAACACAUUUUUUUUUUUCCAAAGAAAAAGAGUAAAAGAGGAAAAAAAAAAGUCCAAAUUAAAAAAAUGUACAUGUAGUAUUUCCACAUACUAUAUAUAUAUAUAGCUAUUUAUUAAUUUUAUAAUAUAUUUUCCACGUCUCCAUGCUCUCCUCUACUAUUCUCUAUAUGUAUUUUGCCAUUGAAUUUUUAAUUUUUUAAGAGGGAAAAUAUAUUCUGUUACUUCAUUUUGAAGAAUUGUUUUGUCUUUAAUGGAUUAUAUCCAUCAAUUGGAAAUUUGGGAUAGAACAUUUUGGGGAACUCCGGUAAAUCAAGCAUUAAAAAUCGCCUAAACAUAGAGAAUUUAUUGGGCCCCUCAUAAUACCCUUAUGUUCUUUUAUUAUUAUUUUCCGUUAAAACUAACAGAAAAGAGGGAUGACUAAAACAAGGUCAGGCAAACAGGCCAACUACAGUGCCAGCAAAGCAGUAGAAAAUGGAAAUAGGAUAUAUAGUUUUGGGAAGAGGUGACAUCUAGACAACUACUUGCUUUUUGUUUCAUACACACAUUUCAUAUAUUAAAAUUACCCAAUAUUUCCGAGUGAAAAUCUCUAGACUUGAUUUAUAACAAAAAAAAAAAUUUCAAAAUUAUUUUGACAUAACUGGGAUUAAAUAUUUGAUUUUUUUUUUUUUUCUAAGAAGUCGAAUAAUUUAAAUGGGGUUUCAUACAAAAAAUUAAAUAAAGUAUAAAUAAUUAAAAAUUAAUCAAAACAUGCAAAAUAAAAUAUAAAAUUACAAAACUUACAUAAUUGAUACAAAGAAAAAGUUCAUAACUUUGUUUUUAAAAAAAUAUUACAUUUAUUUUGAUGUUAACAACAAAAUAACACAUAAUAUUUAAAAAAAAAACAAGAGUAAAAGGAGAAAUGAGGUUCAAAUUAAAAAGGACGUAUAUAUAUAAUUUAUAUGCAAUAAAUAAUAUCUAGGAUUGUAUUUUUAUAUUUUUUAAAUGUUAAAAUAAAGAUAAUAAAGGUAAUUUGGUUGUUAUUUUAAAAGAAUGGUAGUUUAAUAUUUUAAGAAUGUCGUGUAUAACGGAAAAAAGAAAAAGAGAGAGACAACUAACCUUUUCAUUGAAGAGCACUUCAUCAUUAGUAGAAGUAUUGACACCUCUCAUGUCUUUCAUCCCACAAUCAAUGAUACGCAACUCUUUGAUAUUGUGAAAAUUCUUGAACAUUGAAGAAGACAAAAUUAAUUGAGGUAGUUUCUCAACCUUUAGGAAUUUUAACUUUGGGAGGAUCCCAAAAUCUAUCUCCUCCAAUUUUGGAAGACUUUUUAGAACUAUCUCCUCCAAAUUAGGAGAAAGUGAAACCUACAUAAAAAACACAAUAUAAUACAUGACAUCAUCAAUUGUAAAAUUAUAAUAAAUAUAAAAAUAUUGGGUCAAUAUUGGAAAAUAUAUUAUUUUACCUCAUUUUGAAGAAUUGUUCUAUCUUUAUUGAAUUAUAUCCAUCAAUUGGAGAAUUAUGAUAGAAUAUUUUGGGGAAACUCCAGUAAAUCAAGGAUUAAAAAUCACCUUAACAUAGAAAAUUUAUUGUGCCAGCAUAAUACCCUUAUAUUUUUUUUAUUAUUUUUUUCUAUUAAAAAUAACAGAAAAGAGGGACGACCAGAACAAGGUUAGGGUGAGAGGCCAAGUGCAGUGCCAACAUGGAAAUAGGGUAUUUACUAUUUAGUUUUGGGAAGAGGUGACAUCUAAGACAACUGGUUCCUUUCUGUUUCAUCUAGCAUAUGCACAUUACAUAUAUUAAAACUACCCAAUAUUUUCGGGUGAAAAUCUCUCGACUUGAUUUAUAAAAAAAAAAAUUUUCAAAAUUAUUUUUACGUAACUAGCUUUAAAAUAUUUGAAAUUUUUUUAUUAUUUUCUUUUAUUUUUAAAUAUAAAAGGAUUAAAAUUUAGUUUAUUUAACAUAAAAGGAUUGGUGAUUAAAACUAAUAUUUCUAAUAUCUUAUUUGAUGACAAUUUUUUUAUUUUAUAAAAAUUAAAAUACUAUUUAAGCAAAAAAAUUAUUUUGUAAAAUUAAAAUAACAUAUAAAUAAAUAAAUUAUCAAUAAUUACUUAACUUAUUAAUAUUAUUGACAAAACCUUUAUCUAAUAAAUGCAUAUAAGAAGAUUGAAUUAAACAUAACAGAGCAUGAUAAAUUUAAAUAAAAAAAUGUCAAAUCAUUUUAUUUUGAAAAUUUUUAUUAUUGUAAGAAGGUAGGAGAUGUACUUAAAAUAAAACAAAAUUUAAAUUUUAGAGCACAAUAAAAAAAAACAUAUAUUUUUUUUGGUUUUUUCAUUUGUUAGAUAUAAAGUAAUUUUUAUUGUAAACAAUUUUCCAAAAAAUCAAACAACUUGAGAAGACUUUCUAGAGCCAACUCUUCCAAAUUAGGAGAGAAUGAAAUCUAUAUGAGAAACACAAAAUACAAUACAUGGCAUCAUCAAUUGUAAAAGUAUAGUAAACAUAAAAAUAUUGGGUUAAUAUAAUUCAUUAACUCUCAAAUCAUAUACAAACUUUAAUAAUUUUCUUUUAAAAUUUAUUUUUCCUAUUAAAAAUUUCAAUAAUUUCAGUUUUAAAUCCAUUGCUAUAUUUAUUUCUAUUAACACUUAACCUUUUUUUUUUAUUUAAAUUAGAAUGAAAUUUACAAUGUUUCCUUUUUGUUAUGUUUUAUAUAUUAAUAUUUAAUGUUUUUAAAAUUAAAAAUUCCCUUUUUAACUUUAUUCUUGUUUUCAACUCCUUUAUAUUUUAUUUUUUAUUCACUAAUUCUUUUUUUUUUUGAAACUAAAUAAUAAAAUUAUUAACUUUGAUGGUUAUUUUAAGUCAAGAUUAAUUAGUCUUCUUAUAUGAAAUAAAAUAUGUUUUGCUAUUUUUUAUUUUUAUCUAACAUCUUAACCCAAUUUUUCCAAAAGUUAUUAAUUUUAACUCUUCUAAAAUUUAAAUAAAAUAUUAUUAUUUGAAUUAAAUUUUUACUAGUUCUCUUUUCUAAUUCAUUGCAAUAUUUCUUUCAAUUAGUAACUAUUUUUUUUCCUUUCUAAAUUAAAAUAAUAACUACCAUUUUUCCUUAUUUUUAUAUUAUUUCUAUUAACAUUUAUCCUUUUUAAAUUAAUUUUUCACUUUAAAAUUUUGUUUUUUUUCAACUCAUUUGUAAUUUACUUAUUAUUCACAAUUUUUAUUAUUUAAAAUUAAAUUAAUAAAAUUAUUGUUCAAGAUUAAUGUAUUCUUCUCAUACUUUCUUUUUAAAAAUAUUUUUAUAAUAUAUCUCCCUAAAUAUUUCAAGUAGUAUAAGAAAAAACAAAAAAUAUGGGAAAAAACUAACCUUAGACAAAAGACAUCCAUGUAGUUCCUCUAACUUCAAGAUUUUUAACUCGGGGAGGAUCCCAACAUCCAUCUCUAUCAAAUUGGGAAGGUUUUUUAGAACCAACUCCUCUAAAUUAGGAGAGAAUGAAACCUACAUGAAAAACACAAUAUAUGAUACAUGAUAUCAUCAAUUGUAAAAAUGUGAUAAACUCAAAAAUAAUAGAUCAAUAUAAUUCAUUUACUCUCAAAUCAUAUGCAAAUUUUAAUAAUUUCCUUUUCAAAUUUAUUUUUUCUAUUAAAAAUUUCAAUAAUUUCACUUUUAAAUUUAUUGUUAUAUUUAUUUCUUCUAACAAUUUAACUUUUUUUAUUUAAAUUAAAAUGAAAUUUACUAUGUUUCCUUUUUAUUAUGUUUUUUUAUAUUAAUACUUAAUGUUUUUAAAAUUAAAAAUUCCUCUUUUAACUUUAUUCUUGUUUUCAAUUCCUUUAUUUUUUUUAUUUAUGAUCCAUUAGUUAUUCUUUUUACAAUAUAAUGGAGUAAGCGCAUUGAAUUUUUAAUUUUUUUGAAAGAGAAAAUAUAUUCUUUUAGCUCAUUUUGAAGAAUGGUUUCAUCUUUAACGAAUUAUAUCCAUCGAUAGAAUAUUUAGGGGAAACUCUAGUAAAUCAAGGAUUACAAAUCGCCUAAACAUAGAGAAGUUAUUGGGCCUGCCUAAUACCCUUAAUUUUUUUUAUAUAUAUUAUUUUCUGUUAAAACUAACAGAAAAAAGGAAUGACUAGGACAAGAUCAGGCGAGAGGCCCAAAAAAUCAAACAAUUGUUAUAAAAUUAAUAUCUUUCAAUAAAUAUAAUUUAAAUGGGGUUUAUACAAAACAUUAAAUAAAGUAUAAAUAUUUAAAAAAUUAAUCAAAACAGACAAAACAAAAUAUAAAAUUACAAAACUUACAUCAUUGAUACAAAGAAAAAGUUUAGAACUUUGUCUUUUGAAAAAUAUUACGUUUAUUUUGAUGUUAGCAACAAAAUAACACAAGUUUUUCAAAAAAAAUAAAAAGAAAAACAAGAGUAAAGGAGAAAUGACAUCCAAAUUAAAAAGGAUGUAUAUAUAUAUAAUUUCUAUGUAAUAAACAAUACCUAGGAUUGUAUUUUUAUUUUUUUUAAAUGUUAAAAUAAGGAUAAUAAAGAUAAUUUGAAUGUUAUUUUAAAAGAAUGGUAGUUUAAGAUUUAACCUUUUCAUUGGAGAACACUACAUCAUUACUAGGAGUAUUGACAUCUUCCCCGUCUUCCAUCCCACAAUCAAUGAUAUGUAGCUUUUGGAGAUUGUGAAAAUUCUUGAACAUGGAAGCAACCGUAAGUCUUAGCCUGGGUAGUUUCUCUAACUUCAGAAUUUUUAACUUUAAGAAGAUCCCAAUAUCCAUCUCCUUCAACUUGGAAAGUCUUUCUAAAACCAACUCCUCCAAAUUAGGAGAGAAUGAAACCUACAUGAGAAACACAAUAUAUAAUACAUGAUAUCAUCAAUUGUAAAAAUAUGAUAAACACAAAAAUAAUAGGUCAAUAUAAUUCAUUCACUCUAAAUCAUAUGAAAAUUUUAAUAAUUUCCUUUUCAAAUUUAUUUUUUCUAUUAAAAAUUUCAAUAAUUUCACUUUUAAAUUCAUUGUUAUAUUUAUUUCUACUAACAAUUUAACUUUUUUUUUAUAUUAUUUAAAUUAGAAUGAAAUUUACUAUGUUUUCCUUUUUAUUAUGUUUUUUUAUAUUAAUACUUAAUGUUUUUAAAAUUAAAAAUUCCUUUUUUAACUUUAUUCUUGUUUCAAGUCCUUUAUAUUUUAUUUUAGAUCCACUAGUUAUGUUUCUAUUUUUUGAAACUAAAUAAUAAAAUUAUUAACUUUGAUGGUUAUUUUAAAAUCAAGAUUAAUUAGUCUCCUUAUAUGAAAUAAAAUAUGUUUUAAUUAGUCUCCUUGUAUCAAAUAAAAUAUAUUUUACUCUUUUGAUUUUCAAAAGUAAAAAGUUAGUCAUAAAUUUGAAAAUAUUUUAAUCAUCUAACAUCUUACCCCAAUUUUCCCAAAUCUUAUUAAUUUUAACUAUUCUAAAAUUUAAAUAAAAUAUUAUUAUCUGAAUUAAAUUUUCACUAAUUCUCCUUUCUAAUUCAUUGCAAUAUUUCUUUCAAUUAGUACCUAAUUUUUAUCCUUUCUAAAUUAAAAUAAUAACUACCAUUUUUCCUUAUUUCCAUAUUAUUUCUAUUAACAUUUAUCCUUUUUAAAUUAAUUUUUCAUUUUUCAUUUUAUUUUUUUCAACUCAUUUGUAAUUUACUUUUUAUUCCCAAUUUUUAUUAUUUAAAAUUAAAUUUUAAAUUAAUUUAAUAAAAUUAUUAUUAAAGAUCAAUGUACUCUUUUUCAUAUUUUUAAAAAAAAUUAUUUUUAUCAUAUAUCUCCCUAAAUAUUUCAAGUAGUAUAAGGAAAAAUAAAAAGAAAUCAGAAAAAACUAACNNNNNNNNNNNNNNNNNNNNNNNNNNNNNNNNNNNNNNNNNNNNNNNNNNNNNNNNNNNNNNNNNNNNNNNNNNNNNNNNNNNNNNNNNNNNNNNNNNNNNNNNNNNNNNAAAAAUAAAUGAUAAAAUUAUUAUUAAUGAUUAAUGUAAAUAUAAAGUUAAUAAUAUUAUCAACUCUCACCAUUAUUUUAAAAUGAAGAUUAAUUAGUUUCCUUAUAUAAAAUAAAAUAUAUUCUACGGUUUUUUAUUUUUCAAAAGUAAAAAAUUAGUCAUAAAAUUUAAAAUAUUUUAAUCAUCUAACAUCUUACCCUAUUUUUUCCAAAUAUAAUUCAUUUUAAAUAUUCUAAUAUUUAAAUAAAAUAUUAUUAUUUGAAUAAAAUUUUCACUAAUUCUCAUUUCCAAUUCAUUGCAACUUUUAUUCCAAUUACACCUAAUUUUUUCCUUUCUAAAUUAAAAUAAUACCAACCAUUUUUUUCUUAUUCUUAUAUUAUUUAUAUUAACAUUUACUAUUAAAAUUAAAAUUUCACUUUAAAUUUUUUUUUUUUCGGCUCCUUUAUAAUUCACUUACUAUUCACCAUUUUUAUUAAAAUUAAUUUAAUGAUAAACUAAAAUUGAUUUAAUUUAAUUAUAAUUUUGUGAUAAAAAAAUAUAGAGAAUUAGUUGUUGAAGAAACCAAAUAAAAUAAAUUUCUCCCUUUUUUCAUUUCAUUAUAAUAAAUAAUUGUAAAGAAAAAAAUAUUAAAAAAUGAAGAUCCAUUUUUUAAUUUUAUUUUCAUUAUUUUCCCUCCAAAAUAUUAUUUUCAAUUUCCUUAUAAAGCUUUUAAAACAUAUAACUACCAAUUUUUUCCUAAAAGCCUCACCUUAAUUUAGGCCCUCACGGAAAUAUACACAUAAUUUAUAUCCAACAUAUGAAUGAGAAAGCAAACAUGUAAAUUGUGGAGAAAUGACUCAAACCUAUGACCUCCUACCAAACUAAGUUUUGAUACCAAGUUGAACUACUAAUUAGAUGUUUUUUGAAUAAAUUAAAAAGAAAAACCUUUUUAACAUACUAAAAUUACCCAUAAUGGAAAUAUCUUAUGGAUGAAAUUUACAAUUUAAUUAAAAAAAUUCAAAUUUAUGUUUUCAAUAAUAAAAAAAUAAAAAAAAUCUUAAAUUUUGAAAAAAAAAAUUGUAAAAUUAAUAAAAACAAACAAAUCAUCAAAGAACUAAGUAAUUUUAUCCUUGCAUAGGAGAAAAAGAUUAUUUAAAAAAGAAUUUUAAAAUAUCAUUAAAAAAUAUUAUAACCUAAAAAAAAAAAAAAAAUUGGGUAAUAGGGUUGGUCAAAGGCCUAGCCUUUCCCUCAUCUUCCUUCUUAUCUAGAUCUUCAAUUAUAAUAUACCUACAAAACACUUACCCCUUAUUUUUAAUCUAAAAGAGCUUCAGAUUUUCUCUAUAUAUUUUUUUCACUUAUAAUCUUAUUUUCAAUGACAUUCUUCAUUUUAAUAUAAACAAAAAUAAAACUUUAACAAAUUUUUUCUUACUCAUCUUUCCAAUUGAGAUAAUCAACCAAAAAUAUGUCCCAACAAUGUAUUAAAAAAAUUAUAAUGAGUAUUCAAAGUUUAUAACAUUCUCUUCAAUGGAGGUUGUCUAUUGUUAUCAUAAAUGUUAGACCUCCUUUUUCUUUUCUUCAAGAACUUAUGGGAGUUUUCAAAAUAUGAAAUUUCAUUCUUAAAAAAAUAGAAGAUAUUUUUAUUAAGAGUAAUUCUAACAUUUAAAAAAAUGGGAGAGCAUUUUUAUAUAUAUAAUUAAUUUAGAGAGAAUUUUAAUUUGAUAAGUUGUAAAAUAAUCCGUUCAUGCUCUUCUAGACAUAAUUUGCCCUUCUGUUAGAGAUAUCAUUUAUUAUUUUUAUAUUAUUUGAAAUUAAAUUUUAAUGUAAUUUAAGAAAUUUAUUAUUAAAUCUUAAUACUAAAUAUAUAAAAUAUUAUUCUUUUUUAGCAUUCAUCUUAAAAGUUAUAUUUAUUAUAAACUUAUGCUAUAUCACUUAAAAACCAUACUAAUUUGAUCAUAAAUAUCUAUAUCAUUCACAAACCACACUAAUUUAAUCAUAACAUUAAUUCGAUCAUAUAUAGUAUUAUGUAUUAUUUAUAAUUUUAUCAUUCUUUAAAGUUAUAUCCUAAAUUUUCAUAUUUUAAUUUUUUUUACCAAUAUUUUCAUUAAUAUGAAUAUUUUAAUCAAUAUUUCAAGUUUUUUUUCUUUAUAAAAAAGGUGUACUAUUUAGUUCAAUUACAUAAAAAAAAGGUUAAUUAUUAAGAGAAAGAGAUAGAAAUAAAUAAAUAAACAAAAUGGAGAUUCAUUUUUGUCUUCAUUUUGCAUCUAAAAAUAAUUAAAUUCAAUUUUCNAUAUUAUAGAUAUUCUCAUACUAAAUUACUUUUAUUUAUAUCUAAUCAUAUAUUACUCUAUAUUAAAUCAUAUACACUUCUGAGUUAUUUCUUAUAAAUAAAUUCUACUAAAUACUUUAUAAAAUUUAUUUUUUCAAUUAAAAAUUCCUCUAAUUUUCCUUUGCAAUUCCUUGCAAUAUUUAUUCCAACUAGCACCAAUUUUUUCCUUUUAAAUUAAAUAAUACUUACCAUGUUUCCUUAUUUUAUAUUAUUUCUAUUCAUAUUUAUUGCUUUUAAAAUUCACAUUUUGGUAUUAUGUUUAUUCUUUUUUCAACUCUUUUAUAAUUUAAUUAUUAUUCACCAUAUUUUAUUAUCUAAAAUUAAAUUUUAAAUUAAUUUGAUAAAUCUAUUAUUAAAGAUUAAUAUAAUGUUCUCAUAAUUUUUUAUUAUUUUAAUGGAAUAUCUUUUUCAAUAUUUCCCAAAAUAGUAUAAGGAAAAAUAAAAAAAUAUGAGAGAAAACGAACCUUUCCAUCAAAGAGCACUACAUCUUCCUUAGGAGUACUGAUAUGUUCCUCAUCUUCAACUUUGUACCCACAAUAUUUGAUGUAUAGGAAUUUAAGGUUCUGAAAAGCCGUGGAAGAAAAGAAAAGACACCUCACGCUAUCAUUUUUGUCCUCAUCCUCAUUGCAUACGACACGCCUCAACUUAGGUAGUUCAUUUAACUUUAAGGAUUCUAACCUUGGGAGAAUCCUAAUAUUUCCAUCAAGUCCUUGAAGAUCAAACACAUGUUUUAGGACUUCACAAUUAUCCACCUCUAAUUUUUUCAAAUUGUCGAAUCUCUGUAUCAAAUGAGAUGGAAUAAGAUUGAGUAGGCUUGGACAAUUGUAUACUUCUAGGAUUUGCAAAUUGUAAAAGGACUCAGGUGGAUGUUGGUGAUGCCAUAUCUCCCUCAAUUUGGGAAGAUAAUGAAGUAUCAACUUCUCCAAAUUAGGGAAUGAAACCUGAAAUAUAAUACAUGACAUCAUCAAUUAGAAAGUUGUGAUUAACAUGAAUAUGUUCCUUUCUUUAAAUAUAAUUCACCAUCUUCCAAAUAUUCACAUAUUCACUUGAGUUAUGUUUUAUGUUUUAAAAAUCUAAAACAAUCAAGGAGGACUAAAAAAAAUCAUGUGAAAAUCUUGGAAAAUUUCACAAAAAAUUAACUAGUUAUCAAUGGAGAAUAUAUUGGCUCCACUUCCCACAUAAUAUUAGUUAUUUAGUGACGUGUUUUUCGUUAUCUUUUUGUUAAAAGAACAUAGGGAUGACUACAAUGGUGGCGAAGGUGUACUAUUUAUAAAAAGGGUAUUUAUGAUAUACUAGUUGAUGAAAUAUGAAUAUUUUCAUCAAUUUUUCAAUUUUUUUUUCUUUAUAAAAAAGGUGUACUAUUUAGUUCAAUUACAUAAAAAAAAAUGUUAAUUAUUAAGAGAAAGAGAUAGAAAUAAAAUAAAUAAAUAAACAAAGUGGAGAUUCAUUUUUGUCUUCAUUUUGCAUCUAGAAAUAAUUAAAUCCAAUUUUCCCUUGAUUAAUUUUUUCUUAUCAAGCCUUUUCAAUUUAUUUAUAAAACUUAUAAAAUACUAACAAUUAAUAAUAUUUCAAGGUUUUUAUUUUACUAAAUUCUCCUUCUCAUCUUUAUGUUAUCUCCAUUUAACAAAAUUUUUAUAAAAAGUAUUUUCAGAAAAUCGGAAUCAAAAUAUUUGAAAAACAUGAUUACUUUUUUAUUUAUUAAAUUUAAAAAUAUUAAAAUCUUUUUUAUUUAAUGCAAAAAGACUUUUAUUAAAACUUAUAUUUACGGUGUUUUAUUUCAUAGUAAUUUUUUAUUUUAUAAAAAGUAAAAUACAUUUAUAUAAAUAUAUAAAUUAUCAAUUAUUAGUUGGCCUAUACAUAUAUGUAUAUAUAUAUAUACUCAUUAGUUAAAUAAAAAAUCAUUUUCUUUCUAAACAAUUUCCCUAAAAAUCAAGCAACUAGUACAUCAUAAAUACCUUUUAAGAAAUAUAAUUUAACUAAGGUUUUAGAAGUAAAUAAAUAAAAUACAAAAAAUUCAAAGUAAAUAUAAAAUUACAAAAUGUAUACCAUGAGUAAAAAGUUCUUGGAUUUGCUUUUUAAAAUUAGAGAAAUUACAUUAAUUUUAACCUAAAACUAAAAUAACACAUAAAUUAAAGAAAAGUAAAGGAGAAAGGACAUCUAAAUAAAUAAAAAAUAUAGGUACAUGCCUAUAUAACAAUAUUCACAAUUGUUUUAUUUUUAUUUUUUAAAAUUUUAUGAAAGAAGGGUAAUUAGUUUCCUUAUAUGAAGUAAAUUAUGUUCCACUAUUUUUAUUUUUCAACCAUAAAAAUUAAUAAUAAUUUUUCAAAUAUAUUAACCAUCUUACACAUUACCCAAGUUUUUUGAAAUAUUAUUUAUUUUAAAUAUUCUUAAAUUUAGAUAAAAUAUUAGGAGUCUAUAUUAUAGAUAUUCUCAUACUAAAUUACUUUUAUUUAUAUCUAAUUAUUUAUUACUCUAUAUUAAAUCAUACACACUUCUUAAUUAUUUCUUAUAAAUAAAUUCUACUAAAUACUUUAUAAAAUUUAUUUUUUUAAUUAAAAAUUCCUCUAAUUUUCAUUUGCAAUUCCUUGCAAUAUUUAUUCCAACUAGCCCCAAUUUUUUUCUUUUAAAUUAAAUAAUACUUACCAUGUUUCCUUAUUUUAUAUUAUUUCUAGUCAUAUUUAUUGCUUUUAAAAUUCACAUUUUGGUAUUAUGUUUAUUCUUUUUUCAACUCCUUUAUAAUUUAAUUAUUAUUCACCAUAUUUUAUUAUCUAAAAUUAAAUUUUAAAUUAAUUUGAUAAAUCUAUUAUUAAAGAUUAAUAUAAUGUUCUCAUAAUUUUUUAUUAUUUUAAUGGAAUAUCUUUUUCAAUAUUUCCCAAAAUAGUAUAAGGAAAAAUAAAAAAAUAUGGGAGAAAAUUAACCUUUCCAUCGAAGAGCACUACAUCUUCCAUAGGAGUAUUGAUAUGUCCCUCAUCUUCAACUUGGUUCCCACAAUUUGUGAUGGAUAGGAAUUUAAGGUUGUGAAAAGCCGUGGAAGAAGAGAAACGACACCUCACGCUAUCAUUCUUGUCAUCAUCCUCAUUGCAUACAACACGCCUCAACUUAGGUAGUGCCUCUAACCGUAAUGAUUCUAACCUUGGGAGAAUCCUAAUAUUUCCAUCAAGUCCUUGAAAAUCAAACACAUGUUUUAGGACUUCACAGUUAUCCACGACCAUCUCUUUCAAAUUGUCCAAACUCUGUAUCAAAUGAGAUGGAAUAAGAUUGAGUAGGCCUGGACAAUUGUAUACUUUUAGGAUUUGCAAAUUGUGGAAGGACACGAGUGGAAGUUGGUGAUGCCAUAUCUCCCUCAAUUUGGGAAGAUCAUGAAGUAUCAACUUCUCCAAAUUAGGGAAUGAAACCUGAAAUAUAAUACAUGACAUCAUCAAUUAGAAAGUUGUGAUUAACAUGAAUAUGUUACUUUCUUUAAAUAUAAUUCAUCAUCUUACAAAUAUUCACAUAUUCACUUUAGUUAUGUUUUAUGUUUUAAAAAUCUAAAACAAUCAAGGAGGACUAAAAAAAAUCAUGUGAAAAUCUUGGAAAAUUUCACAAAAAAUUGAUAAGUUAUCAAUGGAGAAUAUAUUGGCUCCACUUCCCACAUAAUAUUAGCUACUUAAUGGUGUGUUUUUCGUUAUCUUUUUGUUAAAAGAACAUAGGGAUGACUACAAUGGUGGCGAAAGUGCAACCAUGGAUUACAUAGAUUCUUAUACAACAAAUUAUUUUUAUUCAUAGCCAUCAUUUAUUAUUUUAAAUCAUAUGAACUCUUUAAUUUUUUUUUCCUAUUAAUAAAUUCUAAUGAUUUCAUUUUUUAAAUUUGGCCUUUUCUUUUAAAAAAUUGUAUUUCACUCUUAAAUUUAUUCCGGUAUGUUUUCCUAUUAACCUCAAGUUUUCCUUAUUAAUUUUUUUUCCUUAGUUUUAUAUUCAUUCCUAUUAGUAUUUAAUUAAUGUCUUUUAAAAUUAAAAUUCCUUUAACCUUAUUCAUUUUUCUACUCCUUUAUAUUUUUUUAUUAUUCAUUAUUUUUAUAUUAUUUGAAAUUAAAGUUUCAAAUCAUUUAAUAAAUUUAUUAUUAAAGACUAAUACUAAGUAUACAAAAUAUUAUUCCUUUUUUAGUAUUCAUCUUGAAAAUUAUACUUAUCAUAAACUUCUGUUAUAUCACUCACAAAUUAUGUUAAUUUAAUCAUACAUAUCUAUAUUAUUCUCAAAUUACACUAAUUCAAUUAUAAUAUUAAUGCAAUCAUAUGAUAUUUAUAUAUUAUUUAAAAUUUUAUAAUUUUCAAAGUUUUAUUCAUGUUUAACAAUAUUUCCAUAUUAAGAUUUUCAUCAAUAUUUGAUAAAAUGGAAUCACCAAAGCUUUUUGGUUAGAUAAAAAUAAAGUUAAUUAUUAAUGGAUUUUAUUACGUUAUAUUAAUUAUUAAAAAUAAGGGAACUAUUUAACAAAUUUCAAACCAAUGAGAAUUAGAUGUAUUUAGCCAAUAAUUUAGAAGAUGCAAGUGAAAUUAACCCUAAAUUUUAUAAAAAUAAAACAAUUAUUUUUUUCUCUUUUUCUUUCCUUUUUUUUAAUUUAUAUGUUAUUUUAUUGUUACCAUCAAAAUUAAAUUUGAGAACUUUUUAUUGAUAGUUUUUUCUUUGCAUUCAUGAUUUAUUUAUUUCAUAUUUCUUAAAAAGUAUUUAUUUUAUAAUGGUUGUUUGAAUUUUGGGAAAUUAUUUAGAAAUUAUUAUUAUCGUCGUCAUCAUCAUCAUCAUCAUCAUCAUUCACUUUAUUAUUUAUAAUAUUAAUAUUAAUAUUAAAAUAUUGAUAUAAAUAUUUUUUGUUUUCAAUAAUAAUAAUAAAAAUAUAAUACAAUAAUUAUAUUAUUAAAGGUGAUAAUUAAUAUUAAUACAAUUAUUGAUAACAUUUUACUAAUAAUAAUAAUAAUAAAUAAAUAAAAUAAAAUAUGUUAUUAAAAAUAAAUAAUAAUAGUAAUAUUAAAAAUAUAGAAAAUGAGGAAAGGAAAAAAUAAAGAAAAAGACAAACUAAUGGUAUUUUUGCCUUUUUACUCUUUAUGGAAUUUUUAACAAUUUACAAUUAUUUUCAUCUUCCUUCUCAAUUAUAUCACUUUCUCCGUCUUAAAGCUUAAUUAUCCUAAAUCAAUUUUUUAGAAGGAAAGUGAAGAUAAAAAUGAAUCACCAUUUUAUUUAUUUAUUUAUUUAAGUUUUCUUAAAUAGACAUACAUUUUCAUUUAUAAUCUUAUUUCAAUGACAUUUUUCAUUUUUAUACAAACAAAAAUUAAACUUUUAUAACCAAAUAUUUCUCCCAACAAUGUAUUAAAAAUUAUAAAAGAACUUAUGGAAGUCUUCAAAAUAUAAAAUUUUCAUUCUUAAAAAAAUAGAAAUAUUUUUAAGGCUAAUUUUGACAUUAAAAAAAAAAAGGAGAAAGUCUCUUUAUAUAUAUAUAUAUAUAUAUAUAUAUAUAUAUAUAUAUAUAUAUAUAUAUAUAUAUUAAUUUAGAGAGAAUUUUAUUUUGGUAAGUUUAUAAAAUUAAUUUAAAAAUAAAAAACACAAAUAGUAAUCCUUCCAUGCUUUUCUAAACAUAAUUUCCUCGGGAAUAUCAUUCAUUAUUUUUAUAUUAUUUCAAAUUAAAUUUUAAAAUAAUUUAAUAAAUCUGUUAUUAAAUAUUAAUACCAAAUAUACAAAAUAUUAUUCUUUUUAUAGUAUUCUUCUUGAAAGCCAUGCUUAUCAUUACUUAUGCUAUAUCAUUUACAAACCAUACUAAUUUGAUUUGAUCAUAUAUAUCUAUAUUAUUGACAAACCACACUAAUUUAAUCAUAACAUUAAUUCAAUCAUAAGUAUCCUUAUAUAUUAUUUAUUAUUUUAUCUGUUUUAUCUAAAAUUCUCAUAUUUUUGUGUAUUUUUACCAAUAAUUUCAUAAAUAUGGAUAUUUUCAUCAAUAUUUUAAUAAAAGAGAAUCACUAAGCUUUUUAUCUUUGUAAAAAAAUUGUACUAUUUAGUUCAAUUAGAUUUAAAAAAAAUAAAGUUAAUUAUUAAGGAAAAGAGAUAGAAUAUUUCUUAUUAUGUUAUAAUAAAUAAUUGUAAAAAACAAAAUCAAAUAAAUAAACAAAAUGAAGAUUCAUUUUUGUCUUUAUUUUCCUAUCUUUCCUUAUUAAUCCUUUCAAUUUAUUUAUAAAACUUAUAAAAUAUUACUACAAUUUUAAGAUUUUUUUAAUUCAAACUAGACUUUUUCCAAAUUUCAAGUGCAUCUUCAAAUAAAAUAAUUUACUAAAUUCUCUUCUCAUCCUUAUGUUAUCUCCAUUUAACAAACUUAUAAGGUGCAAUUAGAAAGUGCAUGUGGACCUUACCCAAUUUUUCUUUUGAUAUAUUUAUUAAAAAAAAGUAAUAUGAAAAAAAAAAAAACUAUGGAAAUUAGCUAUUAAUUAAACUUAAACAUACCUGAUAACUGAAAAAUGGCAUGUGGAUAUCAGGAUUGCCUUGGGAACACAUUCCUUGCGAUGCCGUUUCCAAAUUAGAGCCGAAGUAGUCAAAAUUCAUGAGCUCUGGUAGAUCCCUAAGUUUCAAAAAUUGUAAUUUAGGGAGCAGUUGCAAGUCGGUCCCAACAUGAUCAACUUCUUUUAUUUCGAACUCCCCUUCCCAUGUGAUUAUUUGUUGCAUGGCAUUGCAAUGUUUUAUUGUCAUUUCUUCCAGUUGGGAAAGGCCUCUGGAAAGUAAGAAGAGAAAUUUCAAUCCAUGACAUUCCUCCACAUGUAAAGUUUUUAAGUUAUCCAAAGACCUUGGGGGAAUUGGGCCACGACAUACUUCUUCCAAAUUACUCAACUCUAGGUCUUCAGUUUUCUUCAACAACUUUCCAAUUCCAUCCCUUAAAAGUAAAUCAACCUGUCUCAGCUUUAAUUGUUUUGAUGUUUUAUACUUUCUUUCCCAUGAAUAAAAACUGCCAUCAAAUAUUGCAUAUCUUGUCAAGUUCUCAAAGAACAUGUCUUCUUUUGGUAGCAACUCGACAGCUGGCACUUGUAUCUCUAUAGUUGUCAAAUGGCGCAAAUGAUUCAGCUCCGAUAAACAAGCAUUGCUUUCUCCAUCACUAACUCCUUCAGCUGCCCAUUGAGUAAAGCUCCGUUUCAUGCACAAACAUUCUAAUCGAGACAGGCUUGAUAAGAUAUUUCGUGGAAUUACAUCAAGCUCCCAACAAUCGUUCAAAUCCAACAACCUUAGAUUCGUCAACUGCCCCAUUUCACUAGGCAAUUGUUGAAUAUCGGAACCCACCAUGCUAAGAACUUGUAGUUUCUUUAGCUCUCCAAUUAGAGCUAUGUCUCCCAACUUGCACCUGUCUAGACGUAAUGUUCGAAGAUUUGGAAGGGAAUGAAGCGUUGAAGGUAGUGUUGUGAAAUGCAUUUCAGACAAGUCUAAAACUUUGAGUAGGUUCAUCCCUUCAAAAAAUGUGUGUGGGAUAUUCAAGGUAGGACUGAUGUUCUGCAAUAGUAAAAAUUGAAGUUCUGGACAUACCAACCUGUGAGGAAGCUCAUGCACAUCUUCGCAAUUUAAAGAGAUGUAUUUGGAUCCAUCAGUCUUUGACCAUUCUUCAUCAUGUUCUCUAACUACAAAUCGAUGAGGAUCCUUGGAUGCAAUAUUUCUGGCAACGUCACGAACAACAUCAUGCAUCCUGACAGACUUGUUAUCAGCAUCCAUGAAAAGCAACCUUGAGGCUCCUCCAAUACCGUUUCUAUGAUCUUCACCGUCGAGUAACAAGCUUGAGGCUUUGAGGGUUCUCACCAAUGUAACUAGUUUAUUUCUUGCUUUCUCCAAUGAGUUGAUGUGGUCAAACAAAUCCAAACCCAUCGCAUACUGUAACAAUUGAUGCAUUGAAAUAUCGCCAUAGCUCAACCAACCACAAAGUAAGAACAAUGACUUGACUUCAUCACCUUUCAAAUGGUCGUAGCUCCACUUCAGACAUCCGUAUACCUUGUCAUCCACUCCGCUGAUGUUUGUCGGUGCAGCACUCCUCAGUUCGUCCAAAGCAUUCUCCCAUAUGGCCACACAUUCACCUUUUAAUGCAUUUGCAAUUGUUACAAUUGCAAUUGGUAGACCCCCACAUUCGUUAACCACCUCAAUUGCUAUGUGUUGCAGUUUAUCCCCCUCCACAGAAUCACCUGCUGUCUUCUUAAAUAAAUUCCAAGCUUCUUUUUCUGGUAAAUGUUGAAGUGGAAAACAUUCUUUUGCGCCCAUGUCUUUGCGUAAUAGGUCUUCAUUUCUAGAAGCCAUCACUAUUUUGCAUCCUUUCUGGUCAUCUUUAGAAGGAAUUCCAACUUCCUCCAAACUAACUUCCUUCCAAAUGUCAUCUAAGAUGAUAAGGAUCUUCUCUUUCUGCAGUCUCUGCUUCAGUUCAGCUGCUCUUGUGGAUUCAUCCUUCCCCUUAAAUUCCAAGCCUAACAUGUCUGCAAUUUUUUGUUGAAUUUUAGCAAUUCCAUCUUGAAGUUUUUCCGAAUCUCGAGUCCAGGAUACAUCUACGUAGACUCGUGUGAUGAACAGCUUCUCAUCUUCAGCUAGUUGAGACACUUGUUUGACCAGCGUGGUUUUGCCCACACCGCCCAUGCCCCAUACCCCAAUCUUGUUGAUCUCAUCAGCUCUUAAUGCAUCCAUAACUUUGUUCACAGUCGAGGCUCUUGAUUCAAAAGGUUCAUAAUUUUUAAAGGUUACAUUCCGUAGAGGGACACAAUAUGCUACACCAUCGGGGAAUUUGCGGUCUUCUUGAACUUUAUCAAUAACCUGCGCCUUCUCGUAUGCUUCCCUGCUUAGCAGGUACCGUGACUUGAGAUUAGGACACCACCCAUUGAAACAGCUCUUGGUUCUUUUCUUUUCAUCUUCCAUGAAUUUCUUUGCCUCCCCUGUAUUCUUGUCUGCCCGAGUCAGCCAGUCUUGAACAAUAGGUCUGAUUUCAUCCCCUCUUCUAAUAGCUUCAUCAACAGUAAUCUGAAGGUCAUCCUUUGCAAGCCCCAACUCCUGAACCUUCUUGUUGAGAUCAUCCAUNNNNNNNNNNNNNNNNNNNNNNNNNNNNNNNNNNNNNNNNNNNNNNNNNNNNNNNNNNNNNNNNNNNNNNNNNNNNNNNNNNNNNNNNNNNNNNNNNNNNNNNNNNNNNNNNNNNNNNNNNNNNNNNNNNNNNNNNNNNNNNNNNNNNNNNNNNNNNNNNNNNNNNNNNNNNNNNNNNNNNNNNNNNNNNNNNNNNNNNNNNNNNNNNNNNNNNNNNNNNNNNNNNUUUUUUUUUGGUGUGUGUGUGGUUUUGUUAGGGAAAACAGAAGGGAAAUGAUGAAAAAAAACAGAAACAAAUGAAAGCAGGAGCAAAAGGAAACUAAAAUAAGAGAGUGGAAGAAAUGGAAGGAGCAGAGUAUUUGUUCCAAGCAGAGAGACGCUCACCAACAGAAUGAAAAGCAGAAUCAGUAGCGAAUAUGAGUGAAGGUAGAAAAAAUGUGUGACAAAACGAGAACAAAGGAAGUUGGUGUUUUGCAAGCAGAUCCUGAUGUGAGACCGAAUGUGAAGAGUAGAUUACCAAGCUAUGAAGACAGAUGGUGGUUUUUUUUUUUUUUGGGAAUUUGGUUAUGUUGGAAAACAGAUGGGAAGUGAGAAAAUAAGAGGAAAUUAAGAAGAGGCCCGAGGAAAUGAAAGGAGCAGAGUUUGGGUUCCAAACAGAGAGACGCUGAAGGAAUCAGAGGUGAAUGAGAGCUAAGUUAGGAAUGGAUGAUAAAAUGGAAAGAGGUAGUGAGUCGAAGAGAUGGGGAAAGACAAAAGGAUUAAGCAACAGCAACAAUGAAGAGAGUGGUAUUGCAAUUAGGUGUGGAAAGGAGCAGACUACUUUUUAAUUAAAGCAAAAUGGAAAUUGAAUGAGAUCGAGUGCAUUUUCAAACCAAGACAAAAAUAUGCAGCCCAAGGGCUUCACACGGAUCCCCUGUUGUUGUUAUUAUUAUUAUUAUUAUUAUUAUUAUGGGACCCAUGUAUAUGCAGUACAGAUUAACGUGAAUCAGUGAAAACAGCUGUAGCAAUGAAUGUGAGCUGUGAAUGACUGCAAAACUUAUUUGUAUGAUAUGGGACGCCUUUGGUUGGAUUUUUUACGAGGGUAGGAUAGUUUUAAAAAAUAUCUUUUGGUAGAAAAAUUAAUUUUAAAUUUAUAAAUAAGUAGAAAAAAAUUACGAUUAGUGACUUUAAAUUCCAGCGUGUGUCAUUCACCGGUUGCAUGUGACUAUAUUAUAACUCAUUCAAGUUUCAGUCUCCUUGGGUUGUUAAAUUAUUUCCAUUUUAAUAUCUUCUCUAACUAUAAAAAAUAAUUACAAUUUAUUUAUCAUACAUGUUUUAAGAUAUAAUAUAUGCGAAUCGUCCCACUUAGUUACUUAAAUUCAUUUUUGCCUUCAAGGUUUGGGCAUAUGAUCUAAUUUUAAUAUAAUAUUAUAAAAUGGAUAAAUCCCCAUACAAGCUUCAUUUAGAAAACAAACCUACAAAAACAAUUAUUAUUAUUUUAUAUUGUUUCAUCAAGUUUAUUAGUAUUUUAUAAAUAUUUUAAGAUAUUAAUAAUAAUAACCUAAAAUAUUACAUCAUAUAACUUAUAUCAAAUUGGAUAUGUAAUAAGUAUGUUAAAAAAAUAAAAAUUAGAUUGAACAACAUCUCAUAUUAAUUUUAAUUUUUCUUUUAAAAUAAGAAUAAGUGAUAUUAAAACUCUAUGAAAACUCUUUUAAUUUUUUUCUCUUUUUUAAAAGUUUUGAUGUCAAAAAGCUUAAAAUUAUUUCAUAAUUACUUUUUAAAUUUGAUAACAAAAAGUUAAGAAUGAAGGUAUAAAAUUUGUUUGAUAUCUAAUUUAAUAAAAAGGAAAUGCAUAAUCAUCGCUCAACUCACCCGUAUCCUGUUCUUAUCAAACCAACAAUGUGGGUGACAUCAAAUAUUUCAUAAAAAAUAAUUAAAAAUUUAUCAUUUUUUUUAUUUAUGAAAAUAACAAAACAAAUUAUAACCAUCAAAUAUAUUUAAUAUUUAUAAAAAUUAAAAGAAUAAAUAAAAUUAUUUAUUUAUAUUUUAAAUAUUAUAGAAAUAUUCCUUAUCCAUUAAUUCUAUUUAAUCAUAUUGCUUUAUAUCAACAUCUUUAAAAUUCAAUUAAUUAAUUAUGUAUUACUUUAAUAUAAUAUUUAUUUGAAAAUUUAUAUUUAUAUAAGUCUCAAUCAUUUAGAAGUGGAUCAGUUUUACCAAUAUUGUGUUAACCGAAAAUGCAUUUAAAUUUAUAGAGGCAAUAAUUUUUUUUUUAAAGUAAAUUAAGCAAAAUGUGAGAUUGACAAUAUAAAUUAAAGGUGUAAUAUUAAAUAAUAUAUAAUAUUAUUUAAUAUUUUAAAUAAUAAUAUAUAACAUCCCAAUGCCUGAAUUUUAAAAAAUAUAUAUUAUAUUAUUUAAACAUUUCUUCAAAAUUAAUUUCUCAUUUUUUAUUUUUUAAAUCAAAAUUUCAAAACUAAUUUCGUAAAUCAUAUUUGGUAAUGUAUUUUACUUUUUACUUUUAAAUUUGAUAAGAAAAAAUUGAAAAUAAAGGUAUAAAAUUUGUUUGAUAUCUAACAGGCCCUUAAUUUAUACAAAUACUUUUGUAAAUAAUUUAUUAUUAUUAUUAUUAUUAUUAUAAAUGGUUUUAAAGAGAAGCAUUCUAAUGAUUACAUGUUUGGCUUAAAAAUGAAUAUUUAAAUUAAAGCAAAAUAGAAAUUAAAUGAGAUUGAGUGUGAAAUGUAAACUGAGUCACAAGACCCAGUCAUAUCAUGCUUGCAUUUUCAAACAAUGACAAAAAUCUUCAGCCUUUGAUUCCUGUACACGAAUUCCCUUUUGCAAUACUGAAGAGGGCUUCCAUUAUUAACGUGAAUCAGUGAAAACAGCUGUAGCUGUAGCAAUGAAGAAAAUAGAAAAAAAUGAAACAUGAUGUGACCUCUGAAUGGAGACAUAAUUUGAGGGAUGUGGCUGUCAUUCCAUGUUCAAAACACCUCCAUGUGAUGUGACUCCCACAACCCAAUUCAUUAGUCAAAUGUUGAGAUAUAAAAAAAAAAUUAUAUCUUAAUUUUAAAGAUAUAAAUUAAAUCUAUUUAAAUAUAUAUAUAUAUAGAAUUUAUUAAUAUAUUCUAUUUAAAAAAAGAAAGAAAGAAAGAAAGAAAGAAAGCAACGUAUCAAGCUAUAAAAUUUGUUUCACUUCUAUUUUUUGUUUUUUUUAACUUUUAAAAUGGGAAAUUAUCACCUAAUUUACCUAUUUAUUUAUUUAUUUACUAAACCAAUAAUAAGGGUGUCUCAAUCUCAGCUAUAAUCAUAAAAAAAUUCAGAAAAAAUAGCAAAAUUUUAUUUGAUUUCCUUUUGAUGAAAAUGAAAAACAAAACUAUAACCACCAAUAAAUGAAUACAAAUACGUGGCAUGUAACUCACAUGAAAGUGGGCUGUCAGUUUUCAAUAACAAGGGCAAAUAUCUUUCCUUUACAUGAACCAUUCUUAUAUCUACAGAAAAGGGGCUCCCAUCCAUUAUUACUCUCAAUAAGGCACAUAUGAAAUCACAAGCAGCGAGAUUCUAAAUUCCAUGUCUGCAUUUGACUCCCACAACACAUUCAAGUUUUGGUCUCCUUUGGCUGCUAAAUUAUUUCCAUUGAUCAUUGAUCAUUGAUCAAGUCUUAAAGACUCUCAAAGUAUAAAAAAUUGUGAGGUUCAAAUAUAUGGGGACUUGGAUUCCUUAGGAGAUAUUAUCUAUUAUGGACCCGAUGAGCUCAAGUUGGUACUAACUUUAAUUGGUGAAAGCAACUACACAAAUAAAGAAAACAAAGAAUAAGAUAAAAGGUAUUAAAUCCAUGUCAAUAACUCGGGGUUUGAAAAUUCAAAGGUUUUGAACCUUUCGGCUUACUAAAAUUAUUACUUUUUAACAUCUUAGGUGAGUACAAAAGUGAUCAUUCAAAAAAUGUAUAUGAAUUAAUUGAUAGAAGCUAGUUAAUUAAAUUUAUUUUUAUAUACAAAAUAUGUUAUAUGAUGUAAUUUCAUUAUAACAUUAUAAAAUUAGUAAAGAUUCGGCUAAGCACAAUCUACACCAGGAAGAAUAAUAAAGUAAACAAAAAGUUCGUCCCAAAGAAAACCAAGAAUAGUGGAGAUUUUGCAUAUCCUAUCAUUAUAACCAAAAUAAAAUUACCAGUAUUUUUAAGUAUUAACACUAUCAUACAUUUCAUGACUCUACACAUUAAUAGAGAAUAAUAAUUGUGACUUAUUAUUUAAUCAAACUUAUUUGUAGUAUUAUGCAUAUAAAAAAUAUAUUAAUUUAGGAUUUUUUUUUUUGUAUUUUUAUAUUUUUUAAUAUUAAAAGAUUUUAAAUAAUUUCAAAAUUCAUGUGACUAAUAUAAAAAUAUUUUUCCAAGAAACAAUUUUGUUAAAACUAUUGUAAUACUUUUACGACUAUCAUUUUUAAAAAAAUUUUCCCAAUUUCCUAUAGUAGUUAAAAACCCAAGUUGUCCUUUCUAGAAUCAAAUCUCAAUAAGCCAUCAUCUCAGUACAUUCUCGUUGAUGCUUUGCCGAUGACACACCACUAAACUAAACAACAAUAUUUGAUUGAAUACUUACAUUUUAUCUCUAAUAUCCAGUAUCAAUUUGGAUAUGUAACAUAUUUUAUAUUGUGCUAAUAUUUAAUUUGUUAAAAGAUUAAAAAUUAAAGUGAAAAAGAUAUAGUUUAUCACAAUUUUAAUAUUUUUAAGGAAAAAUAUAUUACAUAAAAAGAUAUCAAGUCUCUUUUAUUUUUAAUAUUAUUUAGACAUCUCUUUACAGUUUACUUUUUUUAAAUGUAAUUUUAAAAAUAAUUUUAUAAUUCACGUUCUGAUAACCUAAUUUUUACUUUUUAAUUUUUAAAAUCUAAUAAAAAAUAAAAAUUAAAGAUAUAGAAUUUGUUUGAUUUCUAUUUUUUUUAUAAAAAAAAUUUAAAUCCCUCCUAUAAGAAUAAAAAAUUUCAUCCAUAAAUAAAAAAAAAUGAUUAUAUUAUUUUUCUUUUUUUAUUAGAUUAACAAACAUAUUUUACUUUUUAUUUUUUAAAAAUAAAAACAAAUUAUAAGCACCAAAUAUAUUUAAUAUUUACAAAAACAAAAAAUAUAAUUGACAGAUCGUGAAUAUUUUGUGUUUGAAAAAUUGUAGAAAUAAAAGUGUAUCCAAAUGAUAUCCUAUCUAUUAAUUCUAUUUAAUUUUAUUAAUUUGCAUUAAAUUUAUGAAAAUUCAAGCAAUUAAUUUUAUAUGACUUUAAUAAAAUAAUUCAAAAUUUUCUGCAAAAAAAAAAAGUAAUACUGUUCAAUUUAGAAGUGGAUACAUGUAAGAUCAUUAGUACUGCCCGUACUUAAAAAGUAGAGCAAAAUAUCAGACUUGGUGGUAUUCAAUGAGAUUGAGUACGAAAUGUAAACAGAGUAACAAGACCCUCUCAUGCUUGCAUUUUCAAACAAAGACAAAAAUCUUCAGCCUUGGAUUCGCUCUACACGAAUGCCCUUUUAUUAUUAUUAUUUAUUGUGUGGGACCCAUGUAUAUGCAGUGCAGACAAGGCCUUCCCGUUAUUAACCACACAAUCAGUGGAAACAGCUGUAGCAAUGAAGACGGAUAGAAAAAGAUGGAGACAUUUAUGAGAUAUGAUGUGACCUGUUAACGGAAACCUUGCGUUUAUCUCAGCGAUUCUAAAUUCCAUAGCCUGCCAUUUCCACCUGCGUUUGAGUCCCACAACACUUUAAUAUAAUAAUUAAAAAAUUUUCAAAAAAUUAGUACUUAAAAUGGAUUACCAUUCUUGAUUUAGCCCUUUGAUUUUCAUAUGUUUAUAUCUAUCAACGCUUUCUGCUAAGAAUGAAAGUGGACAAACAUUUUUGGAUACCAUUGAUCAUGUGUUUAGAUUCUCAAAAUCUAAAAAGUUGCAAGGUUUUAAUUUGGGUGUUAUUAUUUUGAUUUUUAUGCGUUUACAUCCAUCAACACUUUCAACUAAGAUCAUUGAUCAUCUAUUAAGACUCACGAACUCUAAAAAAUUGUAAGGUUUUGAUUUUGGGUGUUCUUACUAAGAUGGUAGUGCUUUUAAUUCCAAUGAAAACAAAUAUCUUGAAACGUGGAUUCCUCACAUGAGCUAUUAUUAUCCAAUGUGGAGCCCGCCCAUGUCCGUAAAGGAUGAGAUCCCAUUUGUAUCAAUUUAAUUGGUGAAAGCAAUUAGACCAAUGAAAAAAACAAAGAAAAUGAUAAAAGGUAUUAAAUAUGAUGUGAGUUGUGAAAUAGUGACGAUAUAUAUGUUUAUAUUAAAGGAAUACUUUUUCACAAAACGUUAAAUGUGGGGGGUGGGUAGAAGAUGAAGGAUGGCGAAAGGACAUGAGAGCUUACAACUAUACUUCAGUCAUUGAUAGAUGAUGCCCCUUCAAACAUGAGGGAGGAACAAUGUGAAGCUUGUCUCAAAUAUGUUGAAAGCAAGUGAUUGAGAGAGGUGAAGAAUUUCUCCAACUUCAAAUAUGUUAGAUCCAAUUAUAAGAAUAAAAAUUUUUAUCUAUAAAAUUAAAAAAAAAAAUCAUUAUAGUAUUUUUCCUUUUUUUAUUUAAUUAACAAACAUAUUUUACUUUUUAUUUUUUAAAAAUAAAAACAAAUUAUAAGCAUCAAACAUAUUUAAUAUUUACAAAAACCAAAAAUAUAAUUGAUAAAUCGUUUAUAUUUUUUGUUUUGAAAAAAUUGUGGAAAUAAAAGUGUAUCCAAAUGAUACCCAAUCUAUUAAUUCUAUUUGAUUUUAUUAAUUUGUAUUAAAUUAUGAAAAGUCAAUCAAUUAAUUUAUAUGACUUUAAUAUAAUAAUUUCAAAUUUUUGAGGAAUAAAAAAAGAAAGAAAAAAAAAGACAAAAGUAAUGCUUGUACAAGUUUGAAGUGGUAGAUGAGUGAUAUUUUUUUAUUUAAGAUUUAAAUUGAAAUUGUGUUAACCCCUACCUCAGAGUCUGAGAGGCUAAAACGUAAGGAAAAAAAAUGGGGAUAUCAUACCCCAGAGUCUCACCGAUAUUUUCAUGUAGUUUCAAUUUUCAAACACAGAAAAAAGUCUUCAGCGUGGGGUUCCUUUCCACGAAAGAGCAAUAAGUGAAAACGGGUGUAGUAAUGAAGAAAGUAGAAGAAAAAGGAGACAGAUAUGAAACAUGAUGUGACCUCUGAAUGGAAAGUAGAAACGGAUGGAGACAUAUAAUUGGAGGGAUGCGGUUGUCUUUUCCAAAUUCAAAUGCCCUGCAUGUGACUCCCACAACCCAUUCAAUAUUCAGACGCCUUUAGCUACUGAACUUAUUUCCCUUUUAUCUUCUUUAAUCACUACAAAUUUACUUAAUCAUAAUUCAUUAUACAUGUUUUAAAAAUAUAUACCAAUUCAAAUUACAUAUAAUUUUAAAAAAAAAUUAAAACAAUAUCAUCUUUUAUAUAAUAUAUUAGAACUUUUUAUAUGUUUAUAUUGAAAAGAUAAAGGUUUUAGAGUUGAGAUGUCAAAAAAAAUUUUAUAUCUUAAAUUUUUAAAGAUAUAAAAUAAAUCUAAUUUUUUAUAAAAUAUUGAUUUUGUGUAUAAAAUUUAUUAAUAUAUUCUAUUCUAACCAAAAAAAAAAAAAGAAACGUAUGGAAGUAUAAAAUUUGUUUCACUUCUUUUUUUUGUGGAAAAUUAUCACCCAAUUCACCCACGUUUUUAUUUACUAAGGCUAUGUUUGGUUCUCAGAAAAUUUGAGGGAAAAUGCAAGGGAAAGAAAAUACAAAGGAAAAAUAUAAAGAAAGAAAAAAUGAAGGAAAAUAAAAAAUGGAUUAAAAAUUGAUAAGUUAUUUUUAUUUUUUGCUUCAAACUUAUUUUAUUUAUUUUAACUCAUUAAUAUAAAGAUUAAAUAAUUUUAAAAUACAUAAAUUUUUAAUUAAUUUUAAUUAUAUUUAUUUAUUUUUAUUUUUUUCAUAGGACAAUCAAAUAUGAAAAAAUCAUUUUUCUUUGUAUUUUUUUUUUUUUACAUAGUAUUUUCCUUGGAACCAAACAUAACCUAAACCAAUAACAGGGUAUCUCACUCUCGCCUAUAAUCAUAAAAAAUAAUAAAUUAUUUCAUUUACAUGAACCAGUACGAAAAAGGCGCUCCCAUUAUUAGGCUCAAACAGUGAAAGAUACUUACUGUAGCAAUAAAUAAAAUAAAGAAAAAGACAGACACAUUCAAUGACUCUAAAUUCCUUUGUGCCAUUCACGACCUGCAUGUGACUCCCACAAGUCACUCAAGUUUCAGUCUCCUUUGGCUGCUUUAAUCUCUUCUUCUUUGACUAUAAAAAAUAAUCAUAAUUUAUUUAUCAUACAUGUUUUAAGAUAUAAUAUAUGUGAUAUGAUCUAACUUUUGCUAAAUUAUUUCCAUUUAAUCUCUUCUCCAACUAUAAAAAAUAAUCAUAAUUUAGUUAUCAUACAUGUUUUUAAAUUAUCAAAUAGGUGGGUGGGCAUUCACAAUGACGAUCACUUACUUAUCUCAUUAAAACAUGCUUUAAACAAAAAUCGUAAGAUCACUUACAUCAAAUUCUUAAAGUUCUUUAUGUUGUUCUUUAAUAAUCAUAAUUUAGACUUUUUUUUUGUCAACUUAAAAAUAAUGCUUAUACAAAUUAGAAGUCGAUUUAUUUCCAAACUUAUAACAUCAUUAGUAUUAGUAUUAUUAUUAUUAUUAUUAUUAUUUGAAAAAAAAACCAAAAUAGAUAGGUAGUUUUCCACAUCAUGACUGGCAAGUGUACAAAUAUUAAUUAUGGGAAUCACCCACUUAGUUACUAAUUCAUUUUUGCCUCGAGACAUCCCAUCUUAAUUUUAAUUUUUUUAAAUAAAAAUAUAUAACAUCUCAAUGCCUGAUUUAAAAAAAAAAUAUAAUAUUAUUUAAACAUUUCUCAUUGUUUAUUUUUUAAAUAAAAAAAUUAAAACUAAUUUCGUAAAACAUGUUUGGUAAUGUAUUUUACUUUUUACUUUUAAAUUUGAUAACAAAAAAUUGAAAAUAAAGAUAUAAAAUUUGUUUGAUAUCUAACAAGCUCUUAAUUUAUACAAAUAUUUUUGUAAAUUUUUUAUUAUUAUUAUUAUUAUUAUAAAUGGUUUUAAAGAGAAUCAGUUUAAUGAUUACAUUUUUGGCUUAAAAAUGAAUAUGUAAAUUAAAUGAGAUUGAGUGUGAAAUCACUGAAAUGUAAACAGAGUCACGAGACUGAAGACCCUGCCAUAUCAUGCUUGCAUUUUCAAACAAAGACAAAAAUCUUCAGCCUUGAAUUCCUUACACGAAUUCCUUACAAUUAUUCUUGUUGUUGUGGAGGCCAUGUACCUGCAAUAUUGAAAAGGGCUUCCAUUAUUACCAUCAAUUAGUGAAAACAGCUGUAGCAAUGAAGAAAGUAGAAAAAUGAUGGAGACAUUUCUGAAAGAUGAUGUGACCUCUGAAUGGAGCCAUAUCAUUCCAUGUUCAAAUCACCUGCAUGUGACUCCCACAACACAUUCAAUACUCAGGCGCCUUUGCCUAUUGAACUUAUUUCCCUCCUAUCGUCUAUAAUGACUACAAAAGUACUUAAUCAUAAUUCAUUAUACAUAUUUUAAGAUAUAUAUGCGAAUUUAAAUGUAUACCUUUCCUAUUUUUUUUUUUAAGAACAAAAUAUUAAAAUAAUAUUAUCUUUAUAUAACGUAAUUCAGAAAAUACUUUAUAAAAUCACUUUCGUACUUUUAUUUUUAUUUAUCAAACCAACCAUAUAUAUUGUUCCACCGAUAAGAAUAAAAAAUUUGUUAAUAAAAAAAAAAAAUUAUAUCAUUUUUCCUUUUUUAUUUAAUUAAUAAAUAUAUUUUACUUUUUCUUUUUUAAAAUAAAAAAAAAUUAUAAGCACCAAAUAUAUUUAAUAUUUACCAAAAACGAAAAAUAUAAUUAACAAAUCGUGGAUAUUUUUUGUUUUGAAAAAUUGUAGAAAUAGAAGUGUAUCCCAAUAAUGCCCUAUCUAUUAAUUCUAUUUAAUUUUAUUAAUUUGUAUUAAAUUUAUAAAAAUUCAAGCAAUUAAUUUUAUAUGACUUUAAUAUAAUAAUUCAAAAUUUUCCUGUUCAUUUCCAAACCUAAAAGAUCAUUAGUAAUAUCUGUAGUUAAAAGUAAAACAAAAUAUGUCAUUUACGGUGUGAAGAUAUAAUGGUUGAUGAGUGGUAUUUUUGGAUAUAAGAUUUAAAUGGAAAUUAUGUUUAUCCCUAUCUCAAAUUCUUAGAAGCUAAAUAGUAGGGGGAAAAAUGGGUUAAAUUAUGUAAAAUUUAUAUCACUUUCCAUUUCUUAAAUUUUUUGGUAAAAUCUACAAAAAAAAUUUCAUUACUAAUCAUUUAAAAACUUUUGAUACAACUUAAAAUGAGAUGGUUGCAAUCUUUAAUUUUUUGUUAAAUAAUAUAUAAGUGUUGUACCUCUGUAUUCUUAAAUUUGCUUGUAUGUAAGUUCAUGGUUUAAAUUUUUCAUUAAUAAUUCUCCUAUCCUUAAUUUACAAUUAUGUCUACAAAGAAGAUGAAAUCUCAACCACAAUUCAUUUGAGAAUGAUUUUAACUACGUCUAAAAAGUGGACAAUGUUGAAAUUAUAAUCCAACUUGAAAUAAAAAAUCUCAAUCAUAAUUCAUUUGAGAAUGAUUUUAGUUAAAAAUACAUUUAGAGUGCAUUUAUGAAACAUUUGAUGGGCUUACAAUUUGAGGGAUGUGGCUGCCUUUUCCAUAUUCAAAUCACCUGCAUGCGGCUCCCACAACCCAUUCAAUAUUCAGACCCCUUUGCCCACUCUAAUCAUUUCCCUUUUCUCGUCUUUAAUGACCAAUCAUAAUUCAUUAUACAUGUUUUAAAAAAUAUAUAUGAAUUUAAAUGUACACCCUUCCUAUUUUUAUUUUUAAUAUAAAAAAUUAAAAUGGUAUUGUCUUUUGUAUGAUAUAUUAGAACUUUUUAGAUGUUUAUAUUAAAAAGAUAAAAAAAUUUACAAAAUUGAAAUAUAUAUAUAAAAAAAGAUAAUUUUUAAGAUAUAAAGUAAAUAUAAAUUCCAUUAUUACCCUCAAUAAGUGAAGCAACUGUAGCACUGAAGAAAAUAGAGAAGAAGACAUAGACAUAUGGAGUCACACUCAGCGAUUCUAAAUUUCUUGGUCUGCCAUAUUCCACACCUGCAUUUGACUCCCACAACACAUUAAGUUUCAGUCUCCUUUGGCUGCUAAAUUAUUUCCAUUCAUCAUUGAUCAUGUGUUCAUAGUCUCAAAGUCUAAAUAAUUAUGGGGUUCAAAUAUUUUGAGACUUGGAUUCCUUACCUGACAUAUUAUCCAUUGUGGAACCCAUGUCCACUAAGGAUGAGCUUCCAUUGGUGCUAACUUUAAUUGAUGAAAGUUGCUACACAAAUAAAGAAAAUAAAGAAUAAAAUAAAAGGUAUUAAUCAUGAUGUGAGUUGUGAGACCCAUGUCAAUGAGUCGGGGUUUGAAAAUUGAGAGGUUUUAGACCUUUUGGCUUACUAAAAUUAUUAUCUUUUAACAUCUUACGUGAGUACAAAAGUAAUCAUAUAUGGUUUAUUAUGCAUAUUCCAAAAAAUAUAUGUGAUUUAAUUGAUACAAGCUAGUUGAUUAAAUUUAUUUUUAUGUACAAAAUAUGUUAUAUGAUGUAAUUUUAUCAUAAUAUUAUAAAAUUGGUAAAGGCUCUACUAAGCACAAUCUACACCAUAAAGAAUAAUAAAGUAAACAAAAAAAAAAAAAAUCUAAAAGAAAACCAUAACUUACUUUCAAUUUAUUUAUAUUAAACCAACAAGGUUUCAUACUUAUAGACUGAUGAAAAAAUUCUUCAAAAAUCAUAAGAAAUAAUCAUAACAUAUUUUCUUUAUUUUUAUUUCAUAAUAAUAAAAAAAUAUUUUUAUUCUACAACUAGAAACCAAAUUGCUACUAUAAUGGCUAAUAGUCAUAAAAAUUAGAAAUACAAUUGAAAAAUAAUUUAUUUUUCAAUUUUUAAAAAUAGUAAAAACAAAAUUAUACACUGUUGACACAUUAAUUAAUCAUUUUAUUUUAAUAAGAUAUAACUAAUUAUUAAUUUAUAAUUUUAAUAGAAUAGUUAAAAAUUAUAAAUAUUAAUUCUUUUCUCAAUCACCACCAAAUAGAAGUAUUACCAAUUUUGUGUUAUUUCGUGCAUUUUCUACUGGACUUCACAUUUUUGUGCACAUAUUCCAUCAUUUUGUGUACAGUAAUUAUUUUUAUACUACAACAAAUGUAGGGUUUUGCCAAAAAUUAAUUUGUGAUUUAAAAAUAGUAUUUGUGGUAAAAAAAUUUAUUUGUGACAAGUUUGUUGCUAUAAAUCUGUGUGCUAUUAUUUUUAAGCAUAAAAGUUUAUUUUAUAACAAGAUAAAUAAUUUUUCCAAAAAAAUAGAAGAAAAGUGACAAAUUACCAUUUUCAACACAAUAAAAGCAUUGAUAAGUUUAACAACUGAUUUUCCAAUUCUCAAAUUGUGGAUAGUUGAAACUAGAUUUCAAUUCUUCAUGAAUCUCAAUUUUUAAUAAUUUGUACCAUUUAUUUUUUGUGAUGCAUAUUGGUUGUUAAUUAAUUUGUCUUUAUAAUUGGAAUAAACUGAACAUUAUAAAACAAUAUCAGAUGUAUUUUGAUUUCAUAAAAUAAAUGAAACAAAUUUUCUUAAUCAAUUAAACAAAUAAAAUAUGUAAAAUGCAACACCUAAAAAAGAUAAAAUAAAAUAAAUUUAAAACACAUACCAACCCGUUUGACAAAAAUUAGAACUCACAAAUAGUAGUAAAACAUAUAUUAUUAUUAGAUCCUUGACAUGAUCUAUUACACUUUCAAGGAGAGCUGCCUUGUCCAUCAACAGUAAGGAAAUAUUGAUCCUUUUCAAAUUCUAACAAAGAAUGUGUAGUAGGUUGUUUAACAUUUUUCAGGACUAACCAACCAAACUGUUUUUGACCACUGAUCCUCGAGAUAUUACCUGAAAAGAUGCAUAGACACAAAAAUUCCAGACAUCAGCUGAAUCAAGUAAUCCAGAAAAAAAGGGAUGAUUGAAAGUUUCAAAAAAUGCCAUCCCUUUUCACACUUGAUCUACUUUCAUGUGGUUGAGCAAGUGACAAUGGUGUUGGGCAUGGAUAUUGAAGACUUUGGGCUUUGUAGGUUUUAGCAAAAGUUUAAAUAUAGUAUGCAAAGUUACGAAGGAGAUAGAAAAAAGACUUGUGUACAUGACAUGGUAUUGAUUUUCAAUCUCAUCUCAGAAUAGAAUGAGAGUCCUCUCUUACCAGGGAAAAUACUCUGAAAAAUUCCACUUUUGCUGCCUGUAUUAGCCAAAAUAAAAUCAAGCUGAUGAGAGUUGAAUGGAAACAUGGAUUCAAACAACACAAGUAAUGAUUACCUGAUAUGCAUCUCCAUGCUCAUGGUCAUUAUUUGGCUUUUUCCGUACCUAGAGUGAUUAAAGUGAAUCAAUUGUCAGUUUAAGAUGAACUUGAAGCACCAUAACAUUUUGGUCACAUGCAAAGUUGUAGUCAUUUUCUCUUCAAUUACAAGAAACAAGUCAGAAAAAAAAAAAAAAAGAAUAAGUUAAUCCCCAAGUCUGAAUUCUCACCCUUCUCUAGAAAAACAAAGGAUAUGAAGACAAUGAGAAUUGAGACUCAUAGUUUGGUUGAUUCUGGUGGUACCGGGAGGUGUAAUGGCACCAGUUAAGGCCACCACACUGCCGCCUUCUUUCACUAUCUUCACUGCCUAAUUGAUGUAGAAAGGAAAAAGUUUUGUGUUCAUCCACCAUCAAUUCACUCUAUCAAGCAAGACCCAAACAGAUAUGGAGCAGGGGAAUUAAAUUUCAAUAAGUUAAAGUGGGAUAAGGGGCAUUUCAAAUAAAGGAUAAUAGUACAAUAAGUGACUCCUCAAAAUGAGCAAUAAAUACAAGAAUUUACCAACUGCAUCAUAAACUACAUCGAAUUUCUCUGCCAAAUCAGCUCCCAAGCUCUUCAUUAGCUCCAGUUUUCCUGUGCUUGAAGUAGCAGCGCGACUAUUGAGGUACCAAACACUUGUCUUGCAAUAAAAAAGGAGGAAAAAUGGAAUUAUUGUUUCUAUAUCAUACUCAUUUGCCUUAUCCAAAUUAUUUAGGGGGCAAUGGUAGCACAAGUUUUGUUUUGUUCACUCUACUGAGAGCCCCUAUCUCGAUUUUUAACAACUAAUAAAUGGAGGACCCCCAUCUAAUUGCGAAAGGAGGUUUAUAUUUUAGGUACAAAAGAUUUUUCUCCACUACAGGCCAUGAAUAGAUAACAUUUAAAAUGGAAAAUAUAUAAUUAGGAACUGAAAUUCAAAUGCCUAGAUGACAAGGCUUCCAACUCCACCAACACCGCCCAAAACAAGAAUAGAUUUACCAGCAGAAAAUCCAGUCCUUCUAAACCAUCAUAGGCUCUCUCAAUUGUAAGAGGAAGUCCAACAGCUUGAACAAAAUCCAGAUUCUUUGGCUUUAGAGCCAACAGUUUCUCUUCAAUAGUAGUGCAUUUUGCAAAUGAGCUAAACUGCUUAGGCUUGUCCAAUGUUUUCUCAUUUAUGUUUCCAUAUAACUCCGAAUAGAGUAAAUAGAAAGGAAUCAUGUAAAAUCCCUCAAGUAAAUGCAUAUUUCUUUCUUUAAAUUGAAUUUCAGAAUUCUUUAGAUUGGUUACCAAUAGUCCAUGCAAGAACACACCUUCUUCAAAGUGAUGAAAACGUUUCUGAUCUCUGAUGGCAAUGUUCCUUUUAGAAACCUUUGAAACAAGCUUAAUUGUAUAGUAUUUCAUGGGUGAUGUCUUAUUUGGUAUGAAGACUUUGUCAUGCUAAAAGAAAAUGGACAUGGAGGGUAACAAUUUUGAAGGGAUGAAGAGGUCAAAGAUUUGCAUAAUGUUUUUUAUUUCCUCUGAAAUUUCUUGUUCUCUUGUUCAGGAUUCUUUAUAGGGGUAGGGUAGUUUGUCUUUUCCAUAUUUCAUUAAUUGAGGUCAAGGGUGAUGAUUAAGCUUCUUUUGCUAAGCCUUUUUUGUUUUUUUUUUUUUCUUUUUGGGGGUAAAAUUUUCUCAAUUUCUUCUGCGUUUUCAAAUAUGUUUUAGAAGUAAAUUUUAUGGAUAAUAUUUUAUUUUAAUCAUUCUUUAUUAUAUAAUUAUUUUUUAAAAUAAUUCUCAUAAAAUAACAAAAAACAAAAAAUAAAAUAAAAUAUGUUAAAAACAAACAAGGACCUUCUGACCAUGGAUUCCUUGUUUGCUUCACUCCAUGCCUAACAAUUUCCUCUUUCUUAGUAUUUAUUCUUCAGUUUUACUGGUAUAAAUAAAUAGUUAGUUCCUUCAUCUAUAAAGGGUAGCUAGAGAACUGUUAUUACCAAUGAAUAAUGACACCAUAAUCACCUUCAUUUUGAACAUUUACAUACACCUUAUCGUCUCUAUGAAUCCGAAUGACCAGCCCUGGAAAGCUCUCAUUCACAGUCAGCAGCAUGCUCUUUGUGCUGCACAGCCUUGUGAAAUUGGACUUCUUCAGCUACAGGAGAUAAAAAAGAGAGGCAAUAUACAAUGUGACUAACAAAAAAGACCUCGGAUUCUGACAAAAGCAGGCAAGUGUGAAGGUAACACUACAACAAAGUCAUAGUAGUGGGCAUCUCCUUGGACCCAAGUGUUAAGGUAAUUUACUAGUAGCCUAAGAUAAUCAAAUAGCUAAAUUGAAAACCCAAAAUUAGUAUAUUAGAACAUUGUAGAUUGUGUUACAUAUCCAGGAAGAUUGAGCAAAUCGCUUUGGUAAAAAUCUAGUAUUCUAACAAGAAUGUGAAGCUAAAGACAUCUUAUUUAGUUGAAAAGAGGCCUUCCAAAGCAUAUUCAAUAGACAUGUAGUCACUUUCAUUAUUAGAACAAUUCAAUUAGUAGUUGUGUCAUUAAAAAUAUAUAUAUAUAUAUAUAUAGACACACACAUACACAAAAAAGGCCAUGUUAUGUGAGAAUCCACAUAUUGUGAGGAACAAAAGCUCACCAAAUUACUAAAGGAGAAAGCAUUGACAGAAGAAAAAUGGAUACAGGAGAGCUACUCACCAUAACUGUGAAUAAUGAAAUAUUCACUAGAAGUGCAGAUGGGGGUGUUUUAUUUUAUUUUAUUUUCCAUCAUACGGAUGGAUAACAUCAUAUGCAGGAAACAGGUCUAAAGAGAGCAUUGGGCAGCUCAGCAGAAACCACACUUGAUAAACUCAUUUGGAUAAAGUAUUAAUGAUAAAAAUCAUUUAAAUAAAGAGAAAUUUUGCCUUACUAAUUCCUUCAACAAUUUCUUUUCAUUUAAAUGCAUUGUCAUCAUAAUUUAUAAGAUGAAUGCAUUACUCCCAAAUUAACCCAUCUAAUUCUCAAUUCAUCAUAACUGAGGAAUGUUGCUUGAGCACCAGUUUUAUAAUUUAUCAUCCCAUAAAGCAACCAAAGGUUCAUGUUUGACUUCAGACCCAUCAAAGAGGAAAUAAAAAUUUCCAAUACCUAACAAGUCAAAAUAUGUGCAUAAAUACAUACAUUUUAAGCAUGUGAUGAAAUAGAUAAAACUAUUCCCCAAGAUUAACAUAAGAACGAUAUAAUAACAGAUGCAAAUAUAUUUAGAUCAAUUCAUGAUACGAAUAAAUAAGAGGCCUUAAUACAUACUUCUUAAGCCAUUGACAUUGGAUUUGUUAAGUUUUGCAGUGAUAAUCUCCUUGACAAACAACCGAAACAUAACCAAUCUAAACUCCACCUGCCAAGAUACCGUGAUUUUCAAUUCUCAUAUGAGCAGAAACAUUGGAAGAGUUGGACAUUCCAUAAAAAUUGAUCCAGCCUAUCAUCUUUUUCGACAGCAGAAUAUGUAGGCAUGCCACAAGUCGAGAUGGAUAAAGUAUGAAAACCAAAUUUUAGAUUUAACCAUACCGUAUAGGUUGAAGUACUAUUCCCAAGGAAGACAAAACCACAAGCUGUAGACCUGAUAUCAUUAACAAAGAUACACAACCCCAAAUUCGCAAUAACCUUCAUCAACACAUUCUUCUCGAUCCCUUAAAUGCUUUGAAAUCACAAUAACAAAAAACGCAAAGAUAAUGCUCAAUCUCCCGACCUUGUCUAAGAAGAGACUUUCAAGCUCUCCUUUGAUGGCUUCACUGAGAGGAAGGUCCAGAAGAUGAGGCGACAAUUGGAGUGUGUGCUCAAUCAAGCUAAGGAAGAACAUCUAAACCUAGAAAACGUAGAUUUCAAACCGAUAAUCAAUGGCAAAGGCUGAUUAUUAAAAGAAAUUGAACAAAUUAACAUACAAAAAGUAACAAAUUGUCUUCUCUAACUUGUUUUUGCAUCUGUAGGGCUCUUCAGUGAGCUUCUGGUUGAUCUAAGGCUUUAAUCUCCGACUGGUCACCGUUUUCAGCAAUAGGAAUAUUUCAAUUCCUGCCACGCCGGUGAGGUUUGCGAUUCGUCAACGAUGAGAGGAGAGACCGAAACCAAAGUUGGGGGGACCGUGGGAGAGCGAGAAGAGCUGAGUCUAAAACAGAAAAAUUAUUUCAAUAAUGUGAAAAAAAAAAUCAAAAUUGACAUAAUGAUUUUAGAAUUAAAAAUUAUUUUAUUUUUAUUGUUCCUAAACAAAAUUUGAUAUCAAAUUUCAUAUCAAUAUUUGGAAUUGUUGACUAUAAUUUGGGAAAAAAAAUAUUCAAUUCAUUUUUUUCAAAAAAAAAAAAAAAUUGUCAUCGCAUGCUCAAGACUUUAUAUAUAUAUUGUGUAAAAUUAAUAUUGAAUUAAUUAGGCUUAACUUGUAAUAUGGUAUAAUUAAAGACAAAAUCCAUGUCAAAGUCUUAUUAACAAUCAUUCGCCACCAAUAUAUGAUGUGAUUAAAUAUACUAUUUUGUGAUGAAUAGAAAUUUCAACUCUAACAAAAAUCCUUUUUGACAUUAAAAUAAAAUUUAUUAUAAAAAUCUACUUUUUUUUCCAUAAAAUUAUUUGUGCCUAAAAUUAUGGUAGCAAAAUAUGAAAUUUGUUGUAGUGUUAUUCUUGAUGGGUGCUAUGCAGGAUGACUAUUUUUAUUAAUAUGAUACAAGUUGUGCAAGAUGACUUUUAGAGGAAAAAAAAUUUGGGUGGACUCAGUUCAUGAAUGCAAAUCAUUUUUUUUAGUAUGUAUUAGAAAUCUUAGGUAUCAACCAAAAUUAUCUCCUAUAGAACGUGAAUCUUUCCUUGUAAUUACCAUUUACCUUACUUAACUUAAUCAUUUACCUUAUUUAGCUUAGCUAAUUUUGUACCUAUACAGAGGUAAUGUUUCUUACCAAGAUGAUAGAAUAAUAUACUCAUUUCACUAAAUUUAAUGGAUAACUGUUUGAUGGUGAAAUGCUUUGAAAAUUAGAAUCAGUUGUGUUUUACAAAUGCCUUUGUUUAGUCGAUAGGGAGUUAUUUGAAGUUACCUCAUUUUUUACAAGGAUGUGAAAAUUUUUGGAAUAUGGCUGAGAUCCGACACCCAGCCUGCCUUAAAAAUCAAACUGAAAAUUUUUAUUUUCUCCAUUGCAUGGUUGACAUCUAUGUGAGAAAUUUUUUUUAAUUUGUUUGUAAUAUAAAAAAAAAUCUAAAUAGAGAAAAAAUGUUGAAGAAAAAGAUAAACAAAAUAUACUAAUUAAUAGAGUGGUGAAUUUUUAUAUUUUAUUUUAUAUUUUCAUGUGGGAAUUUAAUAUUUUGUUUUUAAGUUAUUAAUUUUAAUUUUUUAUUUAACAAUAACUAAUAUAAUUUUUAUUUAAUUUUAGAAUGGAAAGAGAUAGGAAGUAUUUUCGUAAGAAACAUUAGAUGGUUAAAGUAUUUAAGUAUCAAAUUAUUGUGUUAUUCAAAUUUUUCAUUCUUUUUGGUUGAACGACUUUACUUUCAUAAUAAUGUUGUUUAGAACUUGAGUUUUAAAAUAGCAAACAUGAAAGUAGGUUCAUGAAUUUUUCACUUAAUGCAUGCAAAUUCGGGGUUACAAUUAGCACAACAUAUGGUAUCCCUCUAACAUAAUGGUAGUACCAAAUCAUUCCUAAAUUCGAGAACAUGAUUUACAAUGCUAAAGCCUGAUAGUAAUUAUGGUGUCAUCUAAAGCCUAAACCAUUUGAUGAUCAAAUUGACAUGUUGUUAGUUCUAUUUAUUUAUUUAUUUUUCAAGUAGGCUUUUGAUUACCCUUGAAAGGCUUGGAGGUUGCUUUAAAAUGUUGUCACUCUAGUUGCGUAAUUAGAGAUCAUACUUGAGUAAAUUGCAAGUGAACUUGAUUUUCCUAACAAUCAAUAACCAACCAAACAUAAGUAGAUCGAUUGUUGCACAAUGAACAUACAAGUGAAAAAGCCAUGUUAUCUAAGGUUGAUUAUCCAAGAACAUUCUAACCAAUUAGACUCAUUUAAUACAUGAAGAGAUUUCUACUCAAUGAUUAUCCUCAUAAGACAUUCUUAAAUAUAUUUGACUAAACUCAUAUGUCAAGCCAAACUCUGAACAUCCUAUCAAAGGAUAUUAUGAAUCCUUUAUUUACUAUUAGAUUUUAUUUAACGAAUUUUCAUGGUGUCAUAUUCCACAUUUGAAAGCAAUAUUUCAUAAUUUAAGACAUGAUUAAAAAUUUACUCAAACAAUAACAAAAAUUCCUUUAUCAUAUGUAUUUUAUAAUUUAUGAAAUGUCAACUCAUGCAAUACAAGAAGUCGAAUAUUAAUAAAUUAAAACUUUCAUCAUUAUGCAAGACCACACACCUAACAAACCAAUUUAUUAGGGAUAUAACAAUGAACAGAACAAAAUGCAUAUGAAAAUCUAGCAUGUGUUUGAAUAAAUAAACUCCUAUCAAAUGAAGGAAAUGAUUGAAGGAAACAUCAUUGACAAUUUCUCAAACAUCAUCAAUAAUUUCUCUUUCAAAGGCUGCAUCUGUACUUCAUCUCAAAUAGGGCAGAACAUGAAGUACAUCCAAUGUACCUAAAAAAAAAAUGAUAAGAACAAAAGAAAAUGAUACCAUUUAAAUAUAAAUAACGUAAAACUUAGCAAUAAUAUUUAUAGAAUAUAUUAUGAAGAAACAAAACAUAUUCUUCCUUUGGGAUAAAAAAAAAAAUGGAUGCCACCUCCAUCCUAUUAAUAUUUAAUAUUUUUUAAAAUUAAAUUUUUUUUUAAUCAUGUUUUUCAAUUCCUUUAUAUUUGAUUUAUUAUUCAUUUGUAUAUUAUUGAAAACAAUUUUUUUUUAUUAAUUUAAGAAAUUUAUUAUUACAUGUUAAUAGUAAACAUACAAAAUAUUAUUCUUUGUUUGAUAUUCAUCUUGAAAGUUAUACUUAUCAUAAAUUUAUAUUAUAUCAUUUGCAUACUAUACUAAUUUGAAUUAGCAAAGGUUUUUUUGCAUUAUAAAAAGGUGUUUUAUUUAGUUAAAUUAGAUCAAAAUAAAGGAAGUUAAUUAUUAUGAAUGUAAAAGGAUAGAAUAUUUACAAUUUUUUUUAAUCUAUUAGAAAUAAAUCCAAUAAUUUUUUUUAAUGAGGGUGAUUUGACUGUAUUUUGAAAGAAUGAUAGUUAUUCUCUUAUAUGAAACAUAUUUAAAAUUAAAUUUUAAAUUAAUUUAAUGUUUUGUUAUUAAAAAUUAAUAUAAUCUUCAUACUUUUUUAUUUUUAUAGAAUAUUUAUGUCAAUAAUUCCAAAAAAAAAAAAAAGUAUAAGAAGAAAUAAAAAGUAUGGGAGAGAAAAAAAAAGUAUAGAAAAAAACUAACCUUCUCACAAAAGAGUACUACAUCUUCCGCAGGUCUUCCAUACUACAAUUAGUUAUAUGUAGUUCUUGAAGGUUUUGAAUAUUCAUGAGUGUCAGAAGAGAGGAAAUAUGUUUCAUCCUGUCAUUCCCGUCUUCCAUCCAUCUCAACAUAGGCAAGUUUUGCAAUUUCAAGGUUUCUAACUUUGAGAGGAUCUCAACAUUUCCAUCAAUUUCUUGAAGAAUAAUCACAUGCUUUAAGAGUUAACAAUCUUGCACAUAUAUCUUGUUUAAAUUCUGGAAGCUGUGUAUCAAAUGAGCUGGGACAAGAUUGAGUAGACAUGGACAUUCCUACACCCUUAAGAUCUGUAGAUUGGAGAAUGAUUCAAAUGGAAGUUGAUGAUGCCAUAUAUCCUUCAACUUGGGCACAUGAUAGAGUGUCAACUUCUCUAACUUAGGGAAUGAAACCUAUAACAUGAUACAUGACAUCAUUAAUUGGAAAGUUAUAAUAAAUAUAAAUAUAUUUCUUAAAUAUAAUUCAUCAGCUUAGGAUUAUUCACAUGUUUACUUUAAUUAUAUUUAUAAAAAAAAUGAAAGGAUAAGGGAUUCUCAUGCGGAUGCCACAAAUUAUUUUUACUCAUAUAAAUAAUUUCUUAUUUUAAAUCAUAUACAUUCUUUUAUUUUUCUCUUAUUAAUAAAUUCUUGUGAAUGCCUUUUUUAAAUUUCCUUUUUCUUUUAAAAGAUUUUGAUGAUUUCACUCUUAAAUUUAUUUUGUAUUUAUUCCUAUUAACUUGACCUUUUUUUUCUUAUUUAAAGUAAAAUUAUACUUAUAGUUUUUCGUUAUUUAAAUACUCAUUCCUAUUAAUAUUUAAUGUGUUUAAAAUUAAAAUUUCUUUUAACCUUAUUAGUUUUUCAACUCCUUCAUGUUUUAUAUAUUAUUUGUUUUUUUUUUAUUAUUUAAAGUGAAAUGUUCAAAUAAUUUUAACAUGGUGGAGUUUGGAAAGUGCAUGUGGGCCUACCCUAGUUUUUCUUUUGACUUAUAUCGAUAUAAAGUGGUGCAAAAAAAAAAAAUAUAAUAAUAAUAAUAAUAAAACCAAUGAAAUUGGCUAAUAAGCUUUAACAUACCUUAUGACUGAAAAAUGAGUCUUCCGACCUUGCAUUUGUACUCAAAGAUGUGGAAGAUGUUGUUUCUAACUCGGAACUGAAGUUGAUGAGCUGUGGUAGUCCCUCGAGUUUCAAGGAUCGCAAUUUUGUGAAUAGUUGCAAGUUGGUCCCAGCAUGUCCAUCUUCUUUUAUUUUUGACUCCCUUUCAUAUGCGAUUAUUUGUUGCAUGGCAUCGCAAUAUGAUAUAAUCAUUUCUUCAAGUUGAGAAAGGCCUCUAGCCGUGGAAAGCAAGAGGAGAAAUUUCAAUUUAGGACAUAAAUUCACUUCUAGAGUUUUUAAGUUACCAAAAGACCCUAUUGGAAUUGGGCCAUGCCAUACUUCUUCGAAGUUUUUCAAAGUCUGAAGAAUCAAUGACUCCAAUAGAGGAAAGGCACCAUGUUGCAACAACUGUUGAUUCUUUGAAUCCAUGAUGUAUUGAAUCUCAGGACUAUAACCAACUUUGAGAUGCUUUAGUUCAAGGAAACUCUCCCUAUCUGAUGGGUGAAGAACAUAUUUAGUACCACUUAAUUGACUGAACUCUAGUUCUUCACUUCUCUCCAACAACUUGCUCAUUCCAUCCCCCAAAUGUAAGCUUCUAUUGACUUUCCAAAGCUUCAAUGCUCUUUUGGUUCUCAACCACCCCUGAGUACCUAUAAAUAUCCCAUAUCUUGUCAAGUUCUCAAAUAGAAUGUCUUUUGGUAGCAACUUGGCAUCUCGUAUAUAUGUCUCUAAAGUUGUCAAAUGAGACAAAUGAUUUAGCUCGGAUAAGCAAGCAUUGCUUUCACCUUCAGUUGCCCAUUGAGUAAAGCUAGAUUUCAUGUACAAACAUUCUAAUUGAGACAAACUUGAUAAGAUAUUUCGUGGAAUUACUUCAAGCUUCUCACAAUCAUUCAAAUCCAACAGCCUUAGAUUGGUCAAUCGCGACAUUUCAUUAGGCAAUUGUUGGAUUGUAGAACCCAUCAAGCUAAGAACUUCUAGUUUCGUUAGCUUUCCAAUUAGAGCAAUGUCUCCCAACUUGCACCCAUCCAGACGCAAUGUUCGGAGAUUUGCAAGGGAAUCAAGUGAUGAUGGUAGUGUUGUAAAAUGCAUACGGGACAAAUCCAAAACUUUGAGUUUUUUCAUCCCUUCGAAAAAUGUGUUCGGGAUAUUCAAGAGAGGAUUAUUGUUCUGCAAUAGAAAAAAUUGAAGUUCCGGCCAUACCAACUCUUGAGGAAGGUCAUGCACAGCUUUGCAAUGCAAAGAGAUGAAAGCGCACCUUUUGGAUUCAUCAGUCUCUGACCAUUCUUCCAAUCCAACAUCUUCUCUUACUACAAAUGGAUGAGGAUCCUUGGAUGCAAUUGCUCUGGCAACUUCACGAACAACACUCUGCAUCCUCACAAACUUGUUAUCAACAUCCAUGAAACUCGAACUUGAAGCUCUUUCUUCAUCAAACUUGUUUCUAUCUUCAUGACUGUCAAGUAACAAGCCUGAGGCUUUGAGGAUUUCCACCAAUGCAAGUAGUCUAUUUCUUGCUCGCUCCAAUGAGUCGAUGCGGUCAAACAAAUCCAGACCCAUACCAUAUCGUAACAAGAGAUCCAAUGAAAUAUCACCAUAGCUCAGCAUCCCACAAAGUAAGAACAAUGACUUAACGUCAUCACCCUUCAAAUGGGUGUAGCUCCACUCCAGACAUGAGUAAACCUUCUUAUCCACUGCUCUAAUGUUUGUUGGUGCACAACUCCUGAGUUGUUCCAAGGCAUUCUUCCAUACAGCCACGGUCUCAUCUUUUAAUGCCUUGGCAAUUGUUACAAUUGCAAUUGGUAGACCCUCACAUUCUUCAACUACUUGAAUGGCUAUGGGUCGCAGUUCAAGAUUCUCCUCCAUGGAAUCUCCUGCUGUCUUCUUAAACAAACUCCGAGCUUCUUCUAGUGGUAAAUAUUCCACUGGAAAACAAAUUUGUGCGCCCAUGCCUUUGCAUAAUAGGUCUCUAUCUCUCGAAGCCAACACUAUUUUGCAUUGCAUCCAAAUAUCAUCUUUAGAAGGAAUUCCGACUUGCUCCAAAUCAACUUCCGUCCAAAUAUCAUCUAAGAUAAUAAGGAUCUUCUCUUCCUUCAGUGCCUGCUUCAGUUUAUCCGCAUUGAGCUUCCAAAGUGGUAAGCCCAACGUUUUUGCAAUUCUUUGUCGAAGUUUAGCAAUUCCUUCUUGACGUUUAUCCGAGUCUCGAGUCCAGGAUACAUUCAUAUAAGCUUGUCUGGUGAACAACCGCUGUUGCUUAGCUUGUUGAGCCACUUGUUUCAGCAGUGUUGUUUUGCCCACACCGGCCAUGCCCCAUACUCCAAUCAAGUUGAUAUUGUCGGCUCUUAAGGCAUCCAUAAUUUUGUUCAAAGUGGAGGCUCUUGAUUCAAGGAAUGAAGCCUGUAGCAAAAACACAAUAUAAGGCAUCAAUUGGAAAGUUGUGAUGAUAGGCAUAAACAUAUUUCUUAAAUAUAAUUCAAUUCAAUUCAAUUCUGAAAUACUCUCUCGCAUGUUCACUUCUAAUACAUUAUAAAAUUUUCAUUAGUGAAAGAAAAAGUAAUUAUCAUUAUAAACAUUUUCCCAAAAAAUCAAAUAACUAUUAUAAUAUUAAUAUCCUUUAUGAAAUACAAUUCAAAUGGGUUUCCGAACAAACAGUAAAUAAAGUAUGAAUAAUAAAAAAAAUUAAUAAAAAAAAAUACAAAAUCACAAAGCUUUCAUGAUCAAUACAAAGAAAAAGCUUUUAACUUUUCUUUUAAAAAAAUGUUACGUUUAUUUUGAUAUUAACAAAAAAAUAACACAUAAUUUUCUUUUAAGAAAAAGAGUAAAAGAGAAAAACUAUUCAUAUUAAAAAGGAUGUAUAUGUAUAUGUAUAAUUUCCAUGUAAAAAAUAAUAUUCAAGAUUGUAUUUUUAUAUUUUAAAAAAUAAAUUUUAUUAUUUUAAAAGAAUAAUAAUUACUCUCCUUAUAAGGAAUAAAGUAUGACUUACUUUUUUUAUUUUUAAAAAUAAAAAAUUACAAAAAAAUUCUUUUUGAAGGUUUUGUAAAAUAGAUGUUAACAACAAAACUAACACAUUUUUUUUUUCCAAAGAAAAAGCGUAAAAGAGAAAAAAAAGGUCCAAAUUAAAAAAAAAAAUGUACAUGUAGUAUUUCCACAUACUAUAUAUAUAGCUAUUUAUUAAUUUUAUAAUAUAUUUUCCACGUCUCCAUGCUCUCCUGUACUAUUCUCUAUAUGUAUUUUGCCAUUGAAUUUUUAAUUUUUUAAGAGGGAAAAUAUAUUCUGUUACUUCAUUUUGAAGAAUUGUUUUGUCUUUAACGGAUUAUAUCCAUCAAUUGGAAAAUUGGGAUAGAACAUUUUGAGAAUUUAUUGGGCCUCAUAAUACCCUUAUGUUCUUUUAUUAUUAUUUUCCGUUAAAACUAACAGAAAAGAGGAAUGACUAAAACAAGGUCCGGCAAACAGGCCAACUACAGUGCCAGCAAAGCAGUAGAAAAUGGAAAUAGGGUAUGUAGUUUUGGGAAGAGGUGGCAUCUAGACAACUGCUUGCUUUUUGUUUCAUACACACAUUUCAUAUAUUAAAAUUACCCAAUAUUUCCGGGUGAAAAUCUAUAGACUUGAUUUAUAACAAAAAAAAUUUCAAAAUUAUUUUGACAUAACUGAAUUAAAUAUUUGAAAUUUUUUUAUUAUUUUCUUUUCUUUUUCAAUAGAAAAGGAUUAAAAUUUAUUUUAUUUAACAUAAAAAGACUCAUUAUUAAAACUAAUAUUUAUGAUCUCUUAUUUGAUGACAAUUUUUUUAUUUUAUAAAAAUUAAAAUACCAUUUAAGAAAAAAAAUUAUUUUGUAAAAUUAAAGUACCAUAUAAAUAAACAAAUUAUUAAUAAUUGAUUAACUUAUUGAUAUGAUUUAUAAAACCUUUAUAUACCAAAUGCAUAUAAGGAAAUUGAAUUAAACAUAGUAGAGCAUGAUAAAUUUAAAUAAAAAAUAAAAUCAUUUCAUUCUAAAAAAUUCUUAUUACCGUGUAGGAGAUGUACUUAAAAUAAAACAAAACUUAAAUUUUAGAGCACAUUAAAAAAAUAAAUAAAACAUAUAUUUUUUUUAGUUUUUUCAUUUGUUAAAUAAAAAGUACUUUUCAUUCUAAACAAUUUCCCAAAAAAUCAAACAACUAUUAUAAAAUUAAUAUCUUUCAAAAAAUAUAAUUUAAAUGGGGAUUCAUACAAAAAAUUAAAUAAAGUAUAAAUAAUUAAAAAUUAAUCAAAACAUACAAAAUAAAAUAUAAAAUUACAAAACUUACAUAAUUGAUACAAAGAAAAAGUUCAUAACUUUGUUUUUAAAAAAAUAUUACAUUUAUUUUGAUGUUAACAACAAAAUAACACAUAAUAUUUAAAAAAAAAACAAGAGUAAAAGGAGAAAUGAGGUUCAAAUUAAAAAGGAUGUAUAUAUAUAAUUUAUAUGCAAUAAAUAAUAUCUAGGAUUGUAUUUUUAUAUUUUUUAAAUGUUAAAAUAAAGAUAAUAAAGGUAAUUUGGUUGUUAUUUUAAAAGAAUGGUAGUUUAAUAUUUCAAGAAUGUCGUAGAACAGAAAAAAAGAAAAAGAGAGAGACAACUAACCUUUUCAUUGAAGAGCACUUCAUCAUUAGUAGAAGUAUUGACAUCUCUCAUGUCUUCCAUCCCACAAUCAAUGAUAUGUAACUCUUUGGGAUUGUGAAAAUUCUUGAACAUUGAAGAAGACAAAAUUAAUUGAGGUAGUUUCUCAAUCUUUAGGAUUUUUAACUUUGGGAGGAUCCCAAAAUCUAUCUCCUUCAAUUUUGGAAGACUUUUUAGAACUAUCUCCUCCAAAUUAGGAGAAAGUGAAACCUACAUAAGAAACACAAUAUAAUACAUGACAUCAUCAAUUGUAAAAUUGUAAUAAAUAUAAAAAUAUUGGGUCAAUAUUGGAAAAUAUAUUAUUUUACCUCAUUUUGAAGAAUUGUUCUAUCUUUAUUGAAUUAUAUCCAUCAAUUGGAGAAUUAUGAUAGAAUAUUUUGGGGAAACUCCAGUAAAUCAAGGAUUAAAAAUCGCCUUAACAUAGAGAAUUUAUUGUGCCAACAAAUACCCUUAUAUUUUUUUAUUAUUUUUUUUGUUAAAAAUAACAAAAAAGAGGGACGACCAGAACAAGGUUAGGGUGAGAGGCCAAGUGUAGUGCCAACAAAGCAGUAGAAAAUGGAAAUAGGGUAUUUACUAUUUAGUUUUGGGAAGAGGUGACAUCUAAGACAACUGUUUCCUUUUUGUUUCAUCUAGCAUAUGCACAUUACAUAUAUUAAAACUACCCAAUAUUUUCGGGUGAAAAUCUCUCGACUUGAUUUAUAAAAAUAAAAAAAAAAUUUCAAAAUUAUUUUUACGUAACUAGCUUUAAAAUAUUUGAAAAUUUUUUAUUAUUUUCUUUUAUUUUUAAAUAUAAAAUGAUCAAAAUUUAGUUUAUUUAACAUAAAAGGACUGGUGAUUAAAACUAAUAUUUCUAAUAUCUUAUUUGAUGACAAUUUUUUUAUUUUAUAAAAAUUAAAAUACUAUUUAAGCAAAAAAAUUAGUUUGUAAAAUUAAAAUAACAUAUAAAUAAAUAAAUUGUCAAUAAUUACUUAACUUAUUAAUAUUAUUGACAAAACCUUUAUCUAAUAAAUGCAUAUAAGAAGAUUGAAUUAAACAUCACAAAGCAUGAUAAAUUUAAAUAAAAAAAUAUCAAAUUAUUUUAUUUUGAAAAUUUUUAUUAUUGUAAGAAGGUAGGAGAUGUACUUAAAAUAAAAACAAAAUUUAAAUUUUAGAGCACAAUAAAAAAAUAUAUAUAUAUAUUUUGGUUUUUUCAUUUGUUAAAUAAAAAGUAAUUUUUAUUCUAAACAAUUUCCCAAAAAAUCAAACAACUUGAUAAGACUUUCUAGAGCUAACUCUUCCAAAUUAGGAGAGAAUGAAAUCUAUAUUGUAAAAGUAUAGUAAACAUAAAAAUAUUGGGUUAAUAUAAUUCAUUAACUCUCAAAUCAUAUACAAACUUUAAUAAUUUUCUUUUAAAAUUUAUUUUUUCUAUUAAAAAUUUCAAUAAUUUCACUUUUAAAUUCAUUGCUAUAUUUAUUUCUAUUAACACUUAACCUUUUUUUUAAAUUAGAAUGAAAUUUACAAUGUUUCCUUUUUGUUAUGUUUUAUAUAUUAAUAUUUAAUGUUUUUAAAAUUAAAAAUUCCCUUUUUAACUUUAUUCUUGUUUUCAACUCCUUUAUAUUUUAUUUUUUAUUCACUAAUUCUUUUUUUUUUUUAAACUAAAUAAUAAAAUUAUUAACUUUGAUGGUUAUUUUAAGUCAAGAUUAAUUAGUCUUCUUAUAUGAAAUAAAAUAUGUUUUGCUAUUUUUUAUUUUUAUCUAACAUCUUAACCCAAAUUUUCCAAAAGUUAUUAAUUUUAACUCUUCUAAAAUUUAAAUAAAAUAUUAUUAUUUGAAUUAAAUUUUUACUAGUUCUCUUUUCUAAUUCAUUGCAAUAUGUCUUUCAAUUAGUACCUAUUUUUUUUCGUUUCUAAAUUAAAAUAAUAACUACCAUUUUUCCUUAUUUUUAUAUUAUUUCUAUUAACAUUUAUCCUUUUUAAAUUAAUUUUUCACUUAAAAAUUUUAUUUUUUUCAACUCAUUUGUAAUUUACUUAUUAUUCACAAUUUUUAUUAUUUAAAAUUAAAUUAAUAAAAUUAUUAUUCAAGAUUAAUGUAUUCUUCUCAUACUUUCUUUUUAAAAAUAUUUUUAUUAUAUAUCUCCCUAAAUAUUUCAAGUAGUGUAAGAAAAAACAAAAAAUAUGGGAAAAAACUAACCUUAGACAAAAGACAUCCAUGUAGUUUCUUUAACUUCAGGAUUUUUAACUUUGGGAGGAUCCCAACAUCCAUCUCUAUCAAAUUGGGAACGUUUUUUAGAAUCAAUUCCUCCAAAUUAGGAGGGAAUGAAACCUACAUGAAAAACACAAUAUAUAAUACAUGAUAUCAUCAAUUAUAAAAGUGUGAUAAACACAAAAAUAAAUAGAGCAAUAUAAUUCAUUCACUCUCAAAUCAUAUGCAAAUUUUAAUAAUUUCCUUUUCAAAUUUAUUUUUUCUAUUAAAAAUUUCAAUAAUUUCACUUUUAAAUUUAUUGUUAUAUUUAUUUCUUCUAACAAUUUAACUUUUUUUUAUUUAAAUUAAAAUGAAAUUUACUAUGUUUCCUUUUUAUUAUGUUUUUUUAUAUUAAUACUUAAUGUUUUUAAAAUUAAAAAUUCCUCUUUUAACUUUAUUCUUGUUUUCAAUUCCUUUAUUUUUUUUAUUUAUGAUCCAUUAGUUAUUCUUUUUACAAUAUAAUGGAGUAAGCGCAUUGAAUUUUUAAUUUUUUUGAAAGAGAAUAUAUUCUUUUAGCUCAUUUUGAAGAAUGGUUUCAUCUUUAAUGAAUUAUAAGGGGAAACUCUAGUAAAUCAAGGAUUACAAAUCGCCUAAAACAUAGAGAAGUUUUGGGCCCCGCGUAAUACCCUUAAUUUUUUUUUUUAAAUUUUCUAUUAAAACUAACAUAAAAAAGGAAUGACUAGGACAAGAUCAGGCCGAGAGGCCCAAAAAAUCAAACAAUUGUUAUAAAAUUAAUAUCUUUCAAUAAAUAUAAUUUAAAUGGGGUUUAUACAAAACAUUAAAUAAAGUAUAAAAAAUUAAAAAAUUAAUCAAAACAUACAAAACAAAAUAUAAAAUUACAAAACUUACAUAAUUGAUACAAAGAAAAAGUUUAGAACUUUGUCUUUUGAAAAAUAUUACGUUUAUUUUGAUGUUAACAACAAAAUAACACAAGUUUUUCAAAAAAAAAGAAAAAGAAAAACAAGAGUAAAGGAGAAAUGACGUCCAAAUUAAAAAGGAUGUAUAUAUAUAAUUUCUAUGUAAUAAACAAUACCUAGGAUUGUAUUUUUAUUUUUUUAAAAUGUUAAAAUAAGGAAAAUAAAGAUAAUUUGAUUGUUAUUUUAAAAGAAUGGUAGUUUAAGAUUUCAAGAAAGUAGAAUAAAAAAAUUAGGAGAAAACUAAUCUUUUCAUUGGAGAACACUACAUCAUUACUAGGAGUAUUGACAUCUUCCCCGUCUUCCAUCCCACAAUCAAUGAUAUGUAACUUUUGGAGAUUGUGAAAAAUCUUGAACAUGGAAGCUACGGUAAGUCUUAGCCUAGGUAGUUUCUCUAACUUCAAGAUUUUUAACUUUAGGAGGAUCCCAAUAUCCAUCUCCUCCAAAUUAGGAGGGAAUGAAACCUACAUGAGUAACACAAUAUAUAAUACAUGAUAUCAUCAAUUGUAAAAAUAUGAUAAACACAAAAAUAAUAGGUCAAUAUAAUUCAUUCACUCUAAAUCAUAUGAAAAUUUUAAUAAUUUCCUUUUCAAAUUUAUUUUUCCUAUUAAAAACUUCAAUAAUUUCACUUUUAAAUUCAUUGUUAUAUUUAUUUCUACUAACAAUUUAACUUUUUUUUUUUUAUUUAAAUUAGAAUGAAAUUUACUAUGUUUUCCUUUUUAUUAUGUUUUUUUAUAUUAAUACUUAAUGUUUUUAAAAUUAAAAAUUCCUUUUUUAACUUUAUUCUUGUUUUCAACUCCUUUAUAUUUUAUUUUAGAUCCACUAGUUAUGUUUUUAUUUUUUGAAACUAAAUAAUAAAAUUAUUAACUUUGAUGGUUAUUUUAAAAUCAAGAUUAAUUAGUCUCCUUGUAUCAAAUAAAAUAUGUUUUACUCUUUUGAUUUUCAAAAGUAAAAAGUUAGUCAUAAAUUUGAAAAUAUCUUAAUCAUCUAACAUCUUAACCCAAUUUUCCCAAAUCUUAUUAAUUUUAACUAUUCUAAAAUUUAAAUAAAAUAUUAUUAUUUGAAUUAAAUUUUCACUAAUUCUCCUUUCUAAUUCAUUGCAAUAUUUAUUCCAACUAGCCCCAUUUUUUUCCUUUUAAAUUAAAUAAUACUUACCAUGUUUCCUUAUUGUAUAUUAUUUCUAGUCAUAUUUAUUGCUUUUAAAAUUCACAUUUUGGUAUUAUGUUUAUUCCUUUUUCAACUCCUUUAUAAUUUAAUUAUUAUUCACCAUAUUUUAUUAUCUAAAAUUAAAUUUUAAAUUAAUUUGAUAAAUCUAUUAUUAAAGAUUAAUAUAAUGUUCUCAUAAUUUUUUAUUAUUUUAAUGGAAUAUCUUUUUCAAUAUUUCCCAAAAUAGUAUAAGGAAAAAUAAAAAAAUAUGGGAUAAAACUAACCUUUCCAUCGGAGAGCACUACAUCUUCUGUAGGAGUAUUGAUAUGUUCCUCAUCUUCAACUUCGUUCCCACAAUCUUGAAUGUAUAGGAAUUUAAGGUUGUGAAAAGGAAUGGAAGAAGAGAAAAGACACCUCACGCUAUCAUUCUUGUCCUCAUCCUCAUUGCACACAACACGCCUCAACUUAGGUAGUGCUUUUAACUGUAAGGAUUUUAACCUUGGGAGAAUCCUAAUAUUUCCAUCAAGUCCUUGAAGAUCAAACACAUGUUUUAGGACUUCACAGUGAGCCACCUCUAAUUUUUUCAAAUUGUCGAAACUUUGUAUCAAAUGAGAUGGAAUAAGAUUGAGUAGGCUUGGACAAUGGUUUACUUGUAGGAUUUGCAAAUUGUAGAAGGACCCAAGUGGAAGUUGGUGAUGCCAUAUCUCCUUCAAUUCGAGAAGAUUAUAAAGCAUCAACUUCUCCAAAUUAGGGAAUGAAACCUGAAAUAUAAUACAUGACAUCAUCAAUUGGAAAGUUGUGAUUAAAAUGAAUAUGUUUCUUUCUUUAAAUAUAAUUCAUCUUCCAAAUAUUCACAUAUUUACUUUAGUUAUGUUUUAUGUUUUAAAAAUCUAAAACAAUCAAGGUGGACUAAAAAGAAUCAUGUGAAAAUCUUGGAAAUUUUCACAAAAAAAAUUGACAAGUUAUCAACGAAGAAUAUAUUGGCUCCACUUCUCACAUAAUAUUAGCUAUUUAAUGACAUGUUUUUCGUUAUCUUUUUGUUAAAAGAACAUAGGGAUGACUACAAUGGUGGCGAAUGUGCAACCAUGGAUUACAUAGAUUCUUAUGCCACAAAUUAUUUUUAUUCAUAACCAUCAUUUAUUAUUUUAAAUCAUAUGAACUAUUUAAUUUUUUUUCCUAUUAAUAAAUUCUAAUGAUUUUAUUUUUAAAAUUUGGCUUUUUCUUUUAAAAGAUUGUAUUUCACUCUUAAAUUUAUUCCAGUAUGUUUUCCUAUUAACCUCAACUUUUCCUUAUUAAAUUUUUUUCCUUAGUUUUAUAUUCAUUCGUAUUAGUAUUUAAUUAAUGUUUUUUAAAAUUAAAAUUCCUUUAACCUUAUUCAUUCUUCUACUCCUUUAUAUUUUUUGUAUUAUUCAUUAUUUUUAUAUUAUUUGAAAUUAAAGUUUCAAAUCAUUUUAUAAAUUUAUUAUUAAAGACUAAUACUAAGUAUACAAAAUAUUAUUAUUUUUUAGUAUUCAUCUUGAAAAUUAUACUUAUCAUAAACUUAUGUUAUAUCACUCACAAAUCAUAUUAAUUUAAUCAUACAUAUCUAUAUUAUUCUCAAAUUACACUAAUUCAAUUAUAAUAUUAAUGCAAUCAUAUGAUAUUUAUAUAUUAUUUAAAAUUUUAUAAUUUUCAAAGUUUUAUUCAUGUUUAGCAAUAUUUCCAUAUUAAGAUUUUCAUCAAUAUUUGAUACAAUGGAAUCACCAAAGCUUUUUUGUUAGGCAAAAAUAAAGAAAGUUAAUUAUUAAUGGAUCAUAUUACAGUUAUAUUAAUAAUUGAAAAUAAAAAUAGUAAAGCAUAAAAAAAAAUUACCAUUCUUUUAAAGUAACAACUGAAAUAUUCAUAUUUAACACUUUUAUAAAAAUUAAUUUUAGGGUUAAUUUAUUGAUUUCUCUAAGGUUUUACCUAAAUACACUUAACCUUUAUUAGUUUAAAAUUUCAUCAAAUACCUUCAUUUCCCUUCUUAUUUGUCAUUUUACUCACCUCUCCUCUAACUUAAAAUAAGGAAAAUAUUUAACAAAUUUCAAACCAAUGGGGACUAGGUGUAUUUAGCCAAUAAUUUAGGAGAGGUACGUGAAAUUAACCCUUAAUUUUAUAAAAUUUAAAAAUAAAAAAUAAAAAAUUAUUUUUUUCUCCUUUUCUUUCCUUUUUUUUUUUUUUUAAUUUAUAUGUUAUUUUAUUGUUACCAUCAAAAUUAAAUUUGAGAACUUUUUACCGAUUUUUUUCUUUGUAUUUAUGAUUUAUACUCCGUAAUUUUAUAUUUAUUUUGAAUCUUUUAAUUUUAUGCAUUUUAUUUAAUAAUUUUUUAAAAACUUAGAUAAAUCAUAUUUCUUAAAAUGUAUUUAUUUUAUAAUGGUUAUUUGAUUUUUGGGGAAAUUAUUUAGAAAUUAUUAUUAUUAUUAUGAUUAUUAUGAUAUUAUAAUAUUACUAUUAAAAUAUUGAUAUAAAUAUUUUUUGUUUUCAAUAAUAAUAAUAAAAAUAUAAUACAAUAAUUAUAUUAUUAAAGGUGAUAAUUAAUAUUAAUACAAUUAUUGAUAACAUUUUACUAAUAAUAAUAAAUAAAUAAAUAAAUGAAAUAUGUUAUUAAAAAUAAAUAAUAAUAGUAAUAAUAAAAAUAACAAAAAUGAGGAAAGGAAAAAAUAAAGAAAAAGGUAAACUAAUGGUAUUUUUGCCUUUUUACUCUUUAUGGAAUUUUUAGCAAUUUACAAUUAUUUUCAUCUUCUUUCUCAAUUAUAUCACUUUUUACAUCUUAAAGCAUAGUUAUCCUAAAUCAAUUUUUUAGAAGGAAAGUGAAGACAAAAAUGAAUCACCAUUUUUGUCUUCAUUUUCCCAUCUUUCCUUAUUAAUCCUUUUCAAUUUAUUUAUAAAACUUAUAAAACAUUACUAAUAUUUAAAAAAAAUUAUUCAAACUAGACUUUUUCCAAAUAUUGAAUGAAUCCUCAAAUAAAAUAAUUUAUUAAAUUCUCUUCUCAUCCUUAUGUUAUCUCCUUUUAACAAACUUAUAAGGUGCAAUUAGAAAGUGCAUGUGGACUUUACCUAGUUUUUCUUUUGAUUUAUUUAUUAAAAAAUAUAUGAAAAAAAUAAAAAAUAAAAAAAACUAUGGAAAUUAGCCCUUAAUUAAACUUAAACAUACCUGAUAACUGAAAAAUGGCAUGUGGAUAUUAGGAUUGCCUUGGGAACAUGUUUCUUGCGAUGUCGUCUCCAAAUUAGAGCCGAAGUAGUCGAAAUUCAUGAGCUCUGGUAGAUCCCUAAGUUUCAAAAGUCGUAAUUUAGGGAGCAGUUGCAAGUCGGUCCCAACAUGAUCAACUUCUUUUAUUUCAAACUCCCCUUCACAUGCGAUUAUUUGUUGCAUGGCAUUGCAAUCAUUUAUUGUCAUUUCUUCUACUUGGGAAAGGCCUCUAGCUGUGGAAAGUAAGAAGAGAAAUUUCAAUCCAUGACAUUUCUCCACAUCUAAAAUUUUCAAGUUAUCCAACGACCUUAGGGGAAUUGGGCCACGACAUACUUUUUCCAAUUUACUCAACUUUAGUUCUUCAGUUUUCUUCAACAACUUUCUAAUUCCAUCCCUCAAAAGUAAGCUCCUAUCAACCUGUUCCAGCUUUAAUGUUUUUGAUGUUUUAUAAUUUCUUUCCCAUGAAUAAACUCUGCCUGCAAAUAUUGCAUAUCUUGUCAAGUUCUCAAAGAACAUGUCUUCUUUUGGUAGCAACUUGACAGCUGGCACUUCUAUCUCUAUAGUUGUCAAAUGGUGCAAAUGAUUCAGCUCCGAUAAACAAGCAUUGCUUUCUCCAUCACUAACUCCUUCAGCUGCCCAUCGAGUAAAGCUAGAUUUCAUGCGCAAACAUUCUAAUCGAGACAGGCUUGAUAAGAUAUUUCGUGGAAUUACAUCAAGCUGCCGACAAUCGUUCAAAUCCAACAACAUUAGAUUCGUCAACUGCCCCAUUUCACUAGGCAAUCGUCGGAUAUCGGAACCCACCAUGCUAAGAACUUGUAGUUUCUUUAGCUCUCCAAUUAGAGCUAUGUCUCCCAACUCGCACCCGUCUAGACGUAAUGUUCGAAGAUUUGGAAGGGAAUGAAGCGUUGAAGGUAGUGUUGUGAAAUGCAUUUCAGACAAGUCUAAAACUUUGAGUAGGUUCAUCGCUUCAAAAAAUGUGUGUGGGAUAUUCAAGGUAGGACUGAUGUUCUGCAAUAGUAAAAAUUGAAGUUUUGGACAUACCAACCUGUGAGGAAGCUCAUGCACAUCUUUGCAAUUUAAAGAGAUGUAUUUGAAUUCAUCAGUCUUUGACCAUUCUUCAUCAUCUUCUCUAACUACAAAUCGAUGAAAAUCCUUGGAUGCAAUAUUUCUGGCAACAUCACGAACAACAUCAUGCAUCCUGACAGACUUGUUAUCAGCAUCCAUGAAAAGCAACCUCGAGGCUCCUCGUCUAAAAGGGUUUAUAUGAUCUUCACCGUCAAGUAACAAGCUUGAGGCUUUGAGGGUUCUCACCAAUGUAACUAGUUUAUUUCUUGCUUGCUCCAAUGACUUGAGGUGGUCAAACAAAUCCAAACCCAUAGCAUACUGUAACAAUUCAUGCAUUGAAAUAUCGCCAUAGCUCAACCAACCACAAAGUAAGAACAAUGACUUCACUUCAUGACCUUUCAAAUGGUCGUAGCUCAACUUCAGACAUCCGUAUACCUUGUCAUCCACUCCACCGAUGUUUAUUGGCGCAGCACUCCUCAGUUCGGCCAAAGCAUUCUCCCAUAUUUCCACUAUUUCACCUUUUAAUGCCUUCGCAAUUGUUACAAUUGCAAUUGGUAGACCCUGACAUUCGUUAACCACCUCAAUUGCUAUGGGUCGCAGUUGGUCCCCCUCCACGGAAUCACCUGCUGUCUUCUUAAAUAAAUGCCAAGCUUCUUCUUUUGGUAAAUGUUGAAGUGGAAAACAUUCUUUUGCGCCCAUGUGUUUGCGUAAUAGGUCUUCAUUUCUAGAAGCCAACACUAUUUUGCAUCCUUUCUGGUCAUCUUCAGAAGGAAUUCCAACUUCCUCCAAACUAACUUCCUUCCAAAUGUCAUCUAGGAUGAUUAGGAUCUUCUCUCUCUGAAGUCUCCGCAUCAGUUCAACUGCUCUUGUGGAUUCAUUCACCCCCUUAAAUUGCAAGCCUAACAUGUCUGCAAUUUGUUGUUGAAUUUUAGCAAUUACUUCUUGAAGUUUUUCCGAAUCUCGCGUCCUGGAUACAUCUAUGUAGACUCGUGUGGUGAACAGCUUCUCAUCUUCAGCUAGUUGGGACACUUGUUUGACCAGCGUGGUUUUGCCCACACCGCCCAUGCCCCACACCCCAAUCUUGUUGAUCUCAUCAUCUCUUAAUGCAUCCAUAACUUUGUUCACAGUCGAGGCUCUUGACUCAAAAGGUUCAUAAUUUUUAAAGGUUACAUUCCGUGGAGGGACACGAUAUGAUACGCCAUCGGGGAAAUUGCGGUCUUCUUGGACUUUAACAAUAACCUGCGCCUUCUUGUCUGCUACCCUGCUUAGCAGGUACCGUGACUUGAGAUUAGGACACCACCCAUUGAAACAGCUCUUGUUUUCAUCUUUCUUCAAUUCCUCUGCCUCCCCUGUAACCUUAUCUACCCGAUUCAGCCACUCCUGAACAAUAGGUCUGAUUUCAUCCCCCCUUCUCCUAGCUUCAUCAACAGUUAUCAGCACGUCAACCCUCGCCUUCCCCAGCUUCUGAACUUUGUUGUGGAGUUCAUCGGUAUAGCUCCGAUAGCAAAACAGAUAACUAAGCUGGCGUCCAAUUGGAGCAACCAAGUACUCUGAAACUUUUGCAGCAACGGCAUUAAUGAUCUCUGUCAUUUCGUCUCAGUUGGAUUUGUUUUUUCUUUUUUGUGUGUGUGGUUUUGUUGGGAAAACAGAAGGGAAAUGAUGAAAAAACAGAAACAAAUGAAAGCAGGAACAAGAGGAAACUAAAAUAAGAGAGUGGAAGAAAUGGAAGGAGCAGAGUAUUUGUUCCAAGCAGAGAGACGGUCACCAACAAAAUGAAAAGCAGAAUCAGUAGCGAAUAUGAGUGAAGGUAGAAAAAAUGACAAAGAAGUAGGGAGUGAAGAGAUGGAGAAAGCUCAAGGAAUGCAUGCAAUUUGAUUCAGUGUGACAAAACGAGAACAAAGGAAGUUGGUGUUUUGCAAGCAGAUCUCGAUGUGAGGCCGAAUGUAAAGAGUAGAUUACCAAGCUAUGAAGACAGAUGGUGGUUUUUUUUUUUUUUUUUUUUUUUGGGAAAUUUGGUUAUGUUGGAAAACAGAUGGGAACUGAGAAAAUAAGAGGAAAUUAAGAAGAGGGUGGAGCAAAUGAAAAUAAACAAGGAAAUGAAAGGAGCAGAGUUUGGGUUCCAAACAGAGAGACGAUGAAGGAAUCAGAGGUGAAUGAGAGCCAGGUUAGGAAUGGAUGAUAAAAUGGGAAAGAGGUAGUGAGUCGAAGAGAUGGGGAAAGGCAAAAGGAUUAAGCAACAGCAACAAAGCAGAGAGUGGUAUUGCAAUUAGGUACGGGAAGGAGCAGACUACUUUUUAACUUGGGGUGUUAUAAUUGAGAAAGCACUAACCAAGUAGAAUUUUCCAUCUUCACCCUUGGAUUAUUCCUCACAUGGAUUACUUUUAUCAUUGUGGAAAUUGGAAAACAGGCUUUAAUGGCUUAUAAUAUGAGGCUGCUGUGGCUGCCACUUCCUUUUCCAUCCUCUGCCACUAUUCUUAAUCAUAAAUUAAAGUUAAAUAAUUUUAAUUAUUCUUAAUCUUUAAUUUUUCUUUAAAUUAAUUCAAUUAAUUACAACUAAUAAAAUUAUUUUAGUUUGAUAUUGUUUUUUAUUUAUAAGAUAAAUAAUAUUUAUCUAUUCUUUUUUAUUUAAUAAAAUUUUUAUAAUUCCAAUAUUAUUUUUGAAAAAUUAUGAUUUUAGUUUGAGUUUCAACUUCCUAGUAAAACAAAAAACAAGAAAAUAUCUCAAACAAGAUGCAAGUGGCUGAGGAAUAUGUAAAUGACUUAGGUGGUGUUUGUUUUUUUAGCUUUUUGCUGAAAACUAUUUAGUUUUAGAAUUUAGGUUGUUUGUUUUUUUACUUUUUCAUGACUUAUUAUAAACUUUUUACUAAAUAGAAAAAGCCAAAAUAUGUGGCUUUUUCUAAAUAGAAAAAAUAACACAAUGAUUUUUUUUACUUUUUAAUACUUAAUAGAAAUAAAAUACUACAAAAACAAACAAUCUAAUAUUUAAUACUAUUAAGUAUUAAGGUUCUAUUUAGAAUUAAGUAAAAAAACAAACACCACCUUAGACUUGAAGAUUGGGUUAAUGGGCUCACGUUGACAUUCAUAAUCAUAGAUGAUUAGUGAUGUAUGGUUCUGACUCCCACGAUUGAUUCAAACUUUAUCCAAAUGACAAGUGAUUAUAGUCAUGAGUUUAGAAAUUGAUACACAAAUGCUUUCAUUUUCCUUGAGCACCUACUCUACCAACUUUAUUAUUAUUAUUCUCCCUCCUGCCCCUUCAUUCACUCUGGUUUUAUUUCAUCCAUACCCUUCUCCUACUACUUUCAGAGCAGAGCAGUGCAGUUAUUACUCUCCGAAGCAAGAAAAAAAUUUCAUCAAAGUCUUGGCAAGGUUCUCUAUAUUAUAUUAUAUUAUUAUAAAUAUUUUUGUCUUUUAUUUUGUACUAUAAGAAAAAUUAAUACUAUCAUGUUUAAUAUCUAUAAAAAUUUAAAAUAUUAUUUAAAAUUUAUUUAUGUUAUCCAUUUAAAAAAAUAAUAAUAAAAUCAAAAUUGUAUCCAAAUGAUAUUAUAAUUAUUUAUUAUAUUUUAAUUUUUAAUUUAUAUUAAAUUCAUUAAAAUUAUAUUAAUUAUUUAUAAUUUUAAUAGCAUAAUAGAAAAUAAAAAAAUCAAUUGCUAUAUGAGCCACUAUCAAACAGAAGUGGAUCAAUUAUUGAUAUUGUGUUAAUAUUAUGAUUUUAAUGUUAUUUAGAGUGUGAAAUGAAAUAAGAGCUUACAGCUGGACUGCACCCAUUUAUUAGUGGUGUAUUGUCAAAAUCUUUCGGUAUCCAUGUGUCGUCUCAUAAAAAAACUGAGCAAAUUUAAAGCCUUUGAGUUUGGAAAUUGUAACACGCAUGCUUUCAUUUUCCUUGAGCAAUCAGUUAUUUCUCACCAACCGCUCUGACUACUUCAUUAUUUUUAUUAUUUAUUGGUUUUUGGGGCAUGACUUGCAACCCUUGAUCUAUUAGAUGCAUACGUUUCUCUCAAAGUAACCACUGCAUCUCAUUUAGUACUUUCAAAAGUGAAAAAUAAAAAAUAAAAAUCAUAAAAAAAAAACUUCUUUCUUUAUAUUACAUAAUUAUGCAAUAUCUUUUUUUUUUUUUUAUUUACAAGAGAAAAAAUUAAUAUUUAUAUGUUUGAUAUUUAUAAAAAAUAAAAUAUUAUGUAAAAAAUUAUUUAUGUUUUCUAUUUUUAAAAAUACUAAAACAAAAUUUGUAUCCAAAUGAUAUCUCAAUUAUUUAUUUUGUUUAAUUUUUUAACCUAUACUAAAUUCAUUAAAAUUUGAUUAAUUAUUUAUGUAUAAUUUUAAUAUAAUUAUUUAAUUAUACUUUUCACAAGUCCAUGUUCAGAGUCAGCAAGAAUGGAAGAUCAAUUGUGACAGUUUAUGCAAAAGUGGGUUGAAAAGAAUCCCCCGAACUGCAUUUCGUGCAUGUUUUUAAGCCCAUUUUCAAAAAAAAAAAAAAAAAAAGAAACAAAUUUUAGUCUACAAGGGUAAUUUCAUAAAACAUUAAAUGUGGAGGGUGGGAGGUAGGUAAGGAAGGCGAAUUGGCACGUGAUUGAAGAGUGAGAUCAGACAGCUGGACUAUAGUCAUUCAUUCGUGCAUGGUUUUACUACUUCCGCAUGUUUCUCUUGAGUCCCCACUUCUAUGCAUCUCUCAUUUAUUAAUUUCAGAAGUUAGAAGACAAUUAUUAAAGUCAUAAAAAUAAUAAUAAAAAAUAUAUAAUUAUGAAACAUUUUUAUUUUUUAUUUUUACUAGAAGGAAAUUGAUACUAUAAUGUUUAAUAUUUUUAAAAUUUUAAAAAAUAAUUUAAAAAUUAUUUAUAUUUUCUAUUUUUAAAAAUUAUAAAAAAUGCUUUAUAAAACAAGAAAUGGUUUCAUAAAAUUUCUCCAUAAGUUUUAGAAAUUAAAAAAGAACCAUAUACGAAUUUUUCACCUUUUAACAAAGUCGUUCAAAAAUAAAUCACAUCAAACUCUUAAUUGACUUUUAAAAUAAAAAAUAAAUACUUUUAUUAUCUAUUUUUAGAUUGUGAUUAAGGCAAAAAAAAAAAAAAAAGAGGAAAAGUAUUUAUUUUUGUAAAAAAUAUAUUUUUUUACAAGCUCAUAAUUUAGACUUUUUUUUUUGUCAACUUAAGAAUAAUGCUUAUACAAGCUAGAAGUCGGCCUAUUUCCAAACUUAUAACAUCAUUAGUAUUAUUAUUAUUAUUAUUUUAAAAAAACGAAAACAGAUAGAUGAAGUAUUAUGGGAACUUAGUUACUAAUUCAUUUUUGCUUCGAGAACUUGGCAAUAUGAUGCGAUUUUAAUGUAACAUUAUAAAUUCACUGUGAAAGACAUCUCAUCUUAAUUUUAAUUUUUUUAAAUAAAAAUAUAUAACAUCUCAAUGUCUGAUUUUAAAAAAAUAUAUAAUAUUAUUUAAACAUUUCUUUAAAAUUUAUUUCUCAUUGUUUAUUUUUUAAAUAAAAAAUUAAAACUGAUUUCGUACAACAUGUUUGGUAAUGUAUUUUACUUUUUACUUUUAAAUUUGAUAACAAAAAAUUGAAAAUAAAGAUAUAAAAUUUGUUUGAUAUCUAACAAGCUCUUAAUUUAUACAAAUAAUUCUGUAAAUUUUUAUUAUUAUAAAUGGUUUUAAAGAGAAUCAGUCUAAUGAUUACAUUUUUGGCUUAAAAAUGAAUAUGUAAAUUACAGCAAAAUGGAAAUUAAAUGAGAUUGAGUGUGAAAUCACGAGACUGAAGACCCUGCCAUAUCAUGCUUGCAUUUUAAAAAAAAGACAAAAAUCUUCAGCCUUGGAUUCCUGUACACGAAUUCCCUAUAAAAUUUGUUUCACUUUUUUUUUUUUUACUUUUAAAAUAGAAAAUUACCACCCAAUUCACCCAUAAUUUUUUAUUUUUUUAUUUUUUAUUUUUACUAAACCAAUAAUAUGGGUGUCUCAAUCUCAGCUAUGAUCAUAAAAAAUAGCAAAAAGUUUAUUUGAUUUCCUUUUGAUGAAAAUGAAAAACAAAACUAUAACCACCAAUAAAGGAAUACAAAUACUGGCAUGUAACUCACAUGAAAGUGGGCUAUCAGUUUUCAAUAACAAAGACAAAUACGUUGAGCCCUGGAUUCCUUUAUAUGAACCAUUCUUAUAUCUACUGAAAAGGGGCUCCCAUCCAUUAUUGCCCUCAAUGAAUGAAACAGCUGCAGCAAUCAAGAAAAUAGAGAAGAAGACAAAUCACAAGCAACGAUUCUAAAUUCCGUGAUCUGCCAUUUCCCACCUGCAUUUGACUCCCACAACACAUUCAAGUUUUGGUCUCCUUUGACUGCUAAAUUAUUUCCAUUGAUCAUUGAUCAAGCCUUAAGACUCUCAAAGUAUAAAAAAUUGUAAGGUUCAAAUAUGUGAGGACUUGGAUUCCUUAUAGGAGAUAUUAUCUAUUAAGGAUGAGCACAAGUUGGUACUAACUUUAAUUGGUGAAAGCAACUACACAAAUAAAGAAAACAAAGAAUAGGAAUAAAAUCCAUGUCAAUGACUCGGGGUUCGAAAAUUCAGAGGUUUUGGACCUUUGGGCUUACUACAAUUAUUACCUUUGAACAUCUUGGGUGAGUACAAAAGUGAUCAUUCAAAAAAUAUAUAUGAAUUAAUUGAUAUAAGCUAGUUAAUUAAAUUUAUUUUUAUAUACAAAAUAUGUUGUAUGAUGUAAUUUCAUUAUAACAUUAUAAAAUUGGUGAAGACUCAGCUAAGCACAAUCUGCACUAGAAAAAAUAAUAAAGUAGACAAAAAAGUUUACCCUGGAGAAAACCAAGAAUAAUGGAGAUUUUGCAUAUGCUAUCAUUAUAACCAAAAUAAAAUUGAGAGUAUUUUUAAGUAUUAACACUAUUAUACAUUCCAUGACUCUACACAUUAAUAGAAAAUAAUAAUUUUGAUUUAUUAUUUAAUCAAACUUAUUUAUAGUAUUAUGUGUAUAAAAAAAUAUUAAUUUAAGAUUUUUUUUUGUUAUAUUUUUUUUAAUAUUAAAAAAUUUUAAAUAAUUUCAAGGUUCAUGUGACCGAUAUAAAAAUUAUGAAAAAUAUCUUUUCAAAAAAUAAUUUUCAACGUUAUUAAAACUGUUGUAAAUUCCUCAAUGCUUUUACAACUAUCAUUUUAAAAAAAAAAAUUCCCAGAAAUUAAAAACCCGGGCUGCCCUUUCUAGAGUCAAAUCUCAAUAAGCCAUCAUCUCAGUACAUUCUUGUUGAUGCUUUGCCGAGGACACACCACUAAAACCAAAUAACGAUUUUUGAUUGAAUACUUACAUAUUAUAUACAACAUCAAUUUGGAUAUAUAACAUAUUUUAUAUUGUGCUAAUAUUUAGUUUGGUCAAAGACUAAAAAUUGAAGUGAAAAAGAUAUAGUUUAUCACAAUUUUAAUCCUUUUAAGGAAAAAUGUAUUACAUCUAAAGAUCUGGUAUUAAAAAGAUAUUAAAUAUUAUUUAGACAUCUCUUUUAUUUUUUAUUUUUUUAUUUUUUGUUAAUGUAAUUUUAAAAAUAAAUUUAUAAUUCAUGUUUUGAUAACCUAUUUUUUAACUCUUAUUUUUAAAAUCUAAUAACAAAAAAUAAAAAUUAAAGAUAUAGCAUUUGUUUGAUUUCUAAUUUAUUUUUUUUUAAAAAAAUUAAAAUGCAAAAACCCAACUCACCCUCCAUCAGCAAUAUAUGAGUCCCUCCUAUAAGAAUAAAAAAUUUCAUCUAUAAAAUAAAAAAAAUGAUUAUAUUAUUUUUCCUUUUUUAUUAGAUUAACAAACACAUUUUAUUUUUUAUUUUUUAAAAUAAAAACAAAUUAUAAGCACCAAAUAUAUUUAAUAUUUACAAAACCCAAAAAUAUAAUUGACAUAUCGUGAAUAUUUUUUGUGUUUGAAAAAUUGUAGAAAUAAAAGUGUAUCCAAAUGAUACCUUAUCUAUUAAUUCUAUUUAAUUUUAUUAAUUUGUAUUAAAUUUAUGAAAAUUUAAGCAAUUAAUUUUAUAUGACUUUAAUAUAAUAAUUCAAAAUUUUCAGCAAAAAAAAGUAAUGCUGUUCAAUUUAAAAGUGGAUCCAUUUAUAAACUUGUAAGAUCAUUAGUACAGCCCGUACUUAAAAAGUAAAGCAAAAUAUGAGACUUAGAGGUAUUCAUUAUUCAAUGAGAUUGAGUUCGAAAUGCAAACAGAGCAACAAGAGCCAGCCAUGCUUGCAUUUUCAAACAAAGACAAAAAUCUUCAGCGUUGGAUUAAUCCCCUUUUAUUAUUAUUAUUAUUAUUAUUUAUUGUGUGGGACCCAUGUAUAUGCAGUGUAGAAAGGGGCUUCCGUUAGACCAAUAAAGAAAAUGAUAAAAGGUAUUAAAUAUGAUGUGAGUUGUGAAAUAGACGUUAGCGGUUUAUAUCUGAGAAAAAACUUGUAAGAGAAGGAAAAUGGGAAUACUUCUUCACAAAACGCUAAAUGUGGGGGGUGGGCAGUAGGUAAAGGAUGGCGAAAGGACACAUGAGAGCUUAUCCAAUGUUAUACUACAGUCAUUGAUUGAUGGUGCAUCAUCAAAGUCUAUCAAAUUUAAAGUCUUUGGAAAUUGGGACACCCAUGCUCUCAUUUUCACUUAGCAAUCAAUUAUCGCCUACUAUUCCAACUUUGUUAUUAUUGUUAUUUAUUAAUUUUUGGGUCUGACUCCUUCCCAUUGGCUAACUCUGGUUUUACUACAUCCAUAUGUUUCUCUUCUUGCUUUCAUACUAUCCAGUAUCCACAGCCAUGCAUCUCAUUUAUUAAUUUCAAAAGUUAGAAAAAAAAUCGUUAAGUUCGUAAAAAUGAUAAACAAAUACCUUCUUUCUUUAUAUUAUAUAAUUAUGAAAUAUCAUUAUUUUUUAAUUUUACUAGAAGCAAAUUGAUACCAUCAUGUUUCAAAUUUAUAAAAAUUAAAAAAUAAUUUAAAAGUUAUUUAUGUUUUCUAUUUUUUUAAAAUAGUAGAAAAAAAUGUAUCCAAAUGAUAUGCUAAUUAUUUAUUCUAUUUAAUUUUUUAUAUGUAUUAAAUUGAUUAAAAUUGGAUUAAUUAUUUAUGUAUGAUUUUCAUAUAAUAAUAAAUAAAAUCAAUUCUUAUAUGAGUCACUAUAUCUUAUGUUUUUUUUUUAAUUUCCAUUUUUCAAAAAAAAGGGAGGGAUUAUUUGCGGACGGGAUUGCUAAGGGCAGUGAGACUUUACUUAUUGUUAUAUACUGCAGUUGAUUUAAGACAAGUUGGUCAAGUUCAAUUGUCUUCCCAUAUUUUCAACUAUAUAAACUUAUUAUAAUUAUUAUUAUUAAAAUUAAAAUUAAAAUUAUUAUUAUUAUGAUUAUAAAACAUUGCCAGUUUGUUUCACUUUUCUUAUAUAAUUAUCAAACUUUGUUUUUUUUGUUUUAAGAAAAAACAAAAUUAGAACUGUCAAAUAGAUUUAUAUUAUGUUUGGUUUCCAAAAAGUACAAAGAAAAGAAAAAAAAAAUAUUAAGGAAAGUUGUCCUAUAAAAUAUUUCAAAGAAAAUUAAAUAUAAUUAAAAUUAGUUAGAAAUUUAUACAUUUUAAAAUUAUUUAAUCUUUAUAUUGAUAAGUUAAAAUAAAUAAAAUGAGUUUGAAGUAGCAAAUAAAAAUAAUUUAUUAUCUUUAACUUUAUUUUUUAUUUUCCUUCACUUUUUCUUUCCUUUUACUUUUCCUCUCUAUUUUAUUUCCUUUGUAUUUUCCCUCAAAUUUUCUGAGAACUAAACAUAGCCUUAAUAUUUACAAAACUAAAAACAUAAUUAUGAACACAUUUAUGCUUCAUGUUUUUAAAAAUAUUAAAAAUAAAAGUGUAUGCAAAUGAUACUUUUACUAUUAAUCCUAUUCGACUCUAUUUGUUUUUUUCAUUGAAUUUAAUGAAAUUCAAUUAAUUAUUUAUGUCUGAAUUUAAUAUAAUAAUUAAAAAUAUUUCAAAAUUUUUAAUACUUAUCAUCACUUACUAAUCUUGAUUUAAACCUUUGGUUUUCAUAUGUUUAGAUGUAUCAACACUUUUAGGUAAAGAUGAAAAUGAACCAACAUUUUCGAAUACCAUUGAUCAUGUGAUAAGAUCUCAAAAUCUAAAAAAAUUGUAUGGUUUUGAUUUGGAUGUUAUUAUUUUGAUUUUCAUGUUUUUAGAUCCAUUAACACUUUUGGCUAAGAUGACAAUGGACGAAGAUUUUCGGGUACCAUUGAUCGUGUGUUAAGACUCUCAAAGUUUAAAAAAUUAUAAGGUUUUGAUUUGGUUAUUAUUAUUAAGAAAGUACAAGAGAUUGUCAUGCUUUUAUUUUCAACGAAAACAGAUAUCUUGAGACUUGGAUUCCUUUCAAGAGCUAUUAUCCAAUGUGGAGCCCAUGUCUACAAAGGAUGAGGCUCCAUUAGUAUUAACUUUAAUUGGUGAAAGCAACUAGACCAAUGAAGAAAACAAAGAAAAUGAUAAAAAGUUUUAAAUAUGAUGUGAGUUGUAAAACAUACGUCAGUGGCUUAUAUUUGAAGAUAAGGUCAUGGGAAUCACAGAAGAUGAUACCAUUCAUGUAUGGUUUCUCCAACCUAUUCAAAAUUUAGAGGCUUUGGAUACUAAAAUUUUUACCUUUUAACGUUUCAAGUGAGUACAAAAGUAAUCAUGUAUGGUUUAUUAUGUAUAUUUUUAAAAAUAUAUGUUUAUUAAUUUACAUAAGAUGACUAAUUAAAUUUAUUUUUAUCUACAAAAUAUGUUGCAUGAUGUAAUUUUAAUAUAAUAUUAUAAAAUUGAUAAAAACUCAGCUAAGUUGAAUCUAUGUUAAAAAGUACAAAAAGUUUUUUCAUUUCUAAUUAUUUUUAAUUUUAAAAUAAAAAAUUUAUUACCCAUAACUUACUUGCAAUUUUUUUUUUCUAAUAAACCAACAAGGUUUCAGAGGCAAAAAAUUCAUCAAAAUCAUAAGAAACCAAAAAAAUUGUACUUAUAAACAAUAUUGUGUUAACCCUUUGGUUUUUAGGUUGUUUAAGUAUAUCAACACUAAUAGUUUUAAAAAGUGGUAAAAAGUGAGCAAUAUACAUGAUGGUCAAUUUUGCUUAUUAAUGGGCAUGUUAAGGUGGCAUUAAAAUUGAUUAAGGCUAUGUUUGGUUCCAAAAAAAUUUAAGGGAAAAUGCAAAAUAAGCAAAAUAGAGAGGAAAAGUAGAGAGAAAGAAAAAGUGAAAGGAAAAUAAAAAGUAGAUUUAAAGCCAAUAAAUUAUUUUUAUUUACUACUUCAAAUUUAUUUCACCAAUUUUAAUUCAUUGAUGUAAAAAUUAAAUAAUUUGAGAAAACAUCAAUUUAUAACUAAUUUUAAUUAUAUUUUAUUUUCUUUAACAUUUUCAAUUGGACAAUCAAAUAUGAAAAAUCAUUUUCCUUAGUAUAUAUUUUUUUUCUUUCAUCUUUAGGAACCAAACAUAACCUUAUUAAUGAGUUUAUCCGGAAUUAGUGAGUUAGAAAGAGAGAAACAAAAGGAAAAAAUAAAUAUAAAUUUAUGCUACUUUAAAAAGAGAGUGUACUUUUAUCCUCCGACCUUUGCUUAACUUAAAUAAAUAAAUAAAAUAAAAUCCUCAUAGGGACCCAACAAUAUUCAUUUUUUAAAAAAAUAUGUAAAACUACCUUAAAGAUUCUCUCGCCAAUUUUUCCCUUCCACCUUCAUUCAUCUUCAAUUUCUUGACCAAAAAAUAAAUAAUUAAAAAGAAAAAAAUGGAAGCAAUGAGGGAUUUAUUUGAUAAUGUUUUAAAAACCAAUUCUCAAAAAAAAAAAAUGUAUUUAAAAGAAAAUUUUAAAAUGGUUAUCAAUUAUUUUUUAAAAUAAAAUUUUGUUUGAGAAUUUAAAUAUAAAAAUUAGUUUUUUCGAUUUAUUCUCCACAAAGGUACUGUGUAUUUAUGUAUAAUAAAAAAAUUCUAAAAUAUUUUUAUUUUAAUUGUUAUUCAAAAAAUUAAUAAAAAACAACUAAAAACACACCUCAAAAUUAUUCUAAGAAAUAUGCUUUUAGAAUAAAUUUUGAAAAAAAUAAUAAUUUUCUAUUAAAAAUUUAUCAAAUGUAUUUUUUUAUAUUUGAAAAUGAUUUUUUAUUGUAAAAAAUAAAAUUACCAAAUAAGCCUUAAUGUUUUUAUCACAAUUGCCUAUCAUGCUUUUGUUUUCAAACAAAACAACAUCCUAAGUUGUAUUCUUUAGACAAGUUAUCAUCUAUUGUGGAACCCAUACUUACUAGACAUAGGCCGAUAAGUACCAACAAAGAAAAUGAAGAAAAAAAUAAAAGUUAUUCAAUAUGAUGUGAGUUGUGAGUUGUGAGUUGUGAGUUGUGAGUUGUGAGUUGUGAGGUAGAUGUUUGUGGUUAACAUGCCUCAACCCUAAAAUAGAUUCCACUUAUCCGUUUUAGGGUUGUCUCUUUUAUAUUAGAAUAAAAAAGAUUAUUCCAUUCAUAUGUAGGACCUACAACUUAUUUGAAAUUAAAGGGACUUUAUAAAAGCAAUUAUAUAUGGUUUAUGUCAGGAUUCUAACAAUACCAACCUAAGGUAAACCCUUGGGUGUUGGGAAUUUUUUUUUUAAAAUAUAAAAUAUGAUGAAUAUAGGAGAUAAAUAAGCAACAAUAUAAUAAAAGCAAUAAAAAAUCAUUGCAUAUAAAUAAAGAGGGUAAGUAAGAUGGAAAUUCAAACUCAAGAUUUAUAAUGAUUAGCACAAAUCUCGGCCUACAUCCACUUUCCUUGAAUUCUAAUCCCAAGUUUGAGGUUUUACUAUAUUAAGACUUUCAAACCAAAUUUUAGAACUUUAUACUUGGAUUAAUUGACUCCAAUAGACACUUACAAUUUUUAUUAAGAGAUGUCUCACUCUUAAACUCCCCAAAUGAUAUCCCAUACUUGGCAAACCCUAAGUGAUACCUUAUAUUUAUAUUUUUCUCUCAAGUGAUACCUACACUUGAUCUUAUCUCAUAAGAUUUACAAAAAAUGAUUUUUUAAUAAAAAUUCCUAGUUUACAUUUUUUUUUUUAUAAAAACUAAAAAUAUAAUUAUUAAAACAUUUAUGUUUUAUGUUUUUUAAAAUAUUAAGAAUAAAAGUGUAUGCAAAUGACACCUUUAAUUAUUAUUUCUAUUCAACUCCAUUUAUUUUUAUUGAAUUUAAUGAAAUUCAAUUAAUUGUUUAUGUAUGAAUUUAAUAUAAUAAUUAAAAAUUUUCCAAAAAAAUUUAAUAUUUAUAAUCGAUUACCAAUCUUGAUUUAACCUUUUGAUUUUUAUAUAUAUGUUUAGAUCUAUUAACACUUCUAGCUAAGGAUGAAAAAUGGAUGAGCAUUUUCAAAUACCAUUGAUCAUGUGCAAAACAAAUCUAAAAAAUUGUAAGGUUUUGAUUCAGAUGUUAUUAUUUUGAUUUUCUUGUGUGUAGAUCUAUUAAUACUUCCAACUAAUGAUAACAAUAGAUGAGGAUUUUUAGGUACCAUUGAUCAUGUGUUAGGAGUCUCAAAGUCUAAAAAAUUAUAAGAUUUCGAUUUGGUUAUUAAUUAAUUAUUAUUGAGAAAGCACAAGCAAGAGACUAUCUGCUUUUAUUUUCAAUGAAAACAAAUAUCUUGAGACUUGGAUUCCUUACAUGAGAUAUUAUCCAUUAUUAUUAUUAAAUUAAAAUUAAAAUUAUUAUUAUUAUGAUUAUAAAACAUUACCAGUUUGUUUCACUUUUCUUAUAUAAUUAUCAAACUUUGUUUUUUUGUUUUAAGAAAAAACAAAAUUAGAACUGUCAAAUACAUUUAGGCUAUGUUUGGUUCUCGGAAAGUACAAAGAAAAGAAAAAAAUAUUAAGGAAAAUGAUUUUCUCAUGUUUGGUUGUCCUAUAAAAUAUUUUAAAGAAAAUUAAAUAUAAUUAAAAUUAGUUAGAAACUUAUGCAUUUUAAAAUUAUUUAAUCUUUAUAUUGAUGAGUUAAAAUAAAUAAAAUGAGUUUGAAGUAGCAAAUAAAAAUAAUUUAUCAUCUUUAACUUUAUUUUUUAUUUUCCUUCACUUUUUCUUUCCUUUUACUUUUCAUCUCUAUUUUAUUUCCUUUGUAUUUUCCCUCAAAUUUUCUGAGAACCAAACAUAGCCUUAAUAUUUACAAAACUAAAAACAUAAUUAUGAACACAUUUAUGCUUCAUGUUUUUAAAAAUAUUAAAAAUAAAAGUGUAUGCAAAUGAUACUUUUAACUAUUAAUUCUAUUCGACUCUACUUAUUUUUUUCAUUGAAUUUAAUGAAAUUCAAUUAAUUAUUUAUGUCUGAAUUUAAUAUAAUAAUUAAAAAAAUUUCAAAAUUUUUUAAUACUUAUCAUCACUUACCAAUCUUGAUUUAAACCUUUGGUUUCUUAUGUUUAGAUGUAUCAACACCUUUCAGGUAAUGAUGAAAAUGAACCAACUUUUCAAAUACCAUUGAUCCUGUGAUNNNNNNNNNNNNNNNNNNNNNNNNNNNNNNNNNNNNNNNNNNNNNNNNNNNNNNNNNNNNNNNNNNNNNNNNNNNNNNNNNNNNNNNNNNNNNNNNNNNNUUUAGAUGUAUCAACACUUUCAGGUAAUGAUGAAAAUGAACCAACAUUUUCGAAUACCAUUGAUCAUGUGAUUCGAUCUCAAAAUCUAAAAAAAUUGUACGGUUUUGAUUUGGAUGUUAUUAUUUUGAUUUUCAUGUUUUUAGAUCCAUUAACACUUUUGGCUAAGAUGACAAUGGACGAAGAUUUUCGGGUACCAUUGAUCAUGUGUUAAGACUCUCAAAGUUUAAAAAAUUAUAAGGUUUUGAUUUGGUUAUUAUUAUUAAGAAAGUAAAAAGAGAUUGUCGUAUUUUUAUUUUCAACGAAAACAAAUAUCUUGAGACUUGGAUUCCUUUCAAGAGCUAUUAUCCAAUGUGGAGCCCAUGUCUACAAAGGAUGAGGCCCCAUUAGUAUUAACUUUAAUUGGUGAAAGCAACUAGAUGAUGUGAGUUGUGAAACAUAUGUCAGUGGCUUAUAUUUGACGAUAAGGUCAUGGGAUUAUUUACUUCACAUUCAUAAUCAGAAUCACAGAAGAUGAUAUCAUUCAUGUAUGGUUCCCACAACUGAAUUAUUCAAAAUUUAGAGGCUUUGGAUACUAAAAUUAUUAUCAUUUACCGCUUAAGUGAAUAUAAAAUUAAUCAUAUACAAGUUGGUUAAUUAAAUUUAUUUUUAUUUACAAAAUUUGUUGUAUGAUGUAAUUUUAAUAUAAUAUUAUAAAAUUGAUAAAAACCUCAGCUAAGUUGAAUCUAUGUUAAAAAGAAUAAUAAAGUAAACAAGAAGCUUAUUCAAAAAGAAAACAAAGAAUAGUGGAGAUUUUGUAUAAUAUUCUAUAAUAUAAUUGGAACCAAAAUAAGAUUGGGAAUAUUUUCAAGUAUUAACACUAUUAUACAUUCCAUGAAUCUACUCAUUGGUAGAAAAUAAUAAUUUUGACUUAUUAUUUAAUCAAGUUUAUUUGUAGUAUUAUGUGUAUAAAAAAUAUAUUAGUUAAUUUAAGAUAUAUAUAUAUAUAUAUAUUAUAUUAAAUAUUAAAAAAUUUAAAUAAUUUCAAAACUCAUGUUUGAUAAUUUAAUUUAUCUUUACAUUUUGAUAACAAAAUUUAAAAAAUAAAAGUAUAAAAAGUUUUUUCAUUUCUAAUUUAAUUUUUUUUUUUAAAUUAUCACCCAUAACUGAUUUGCAAUUUAUUUAUUUUUAUUUAUUAAACCAACAAGGUUUCAUAUUCAAAGGCAAAAAAUUCAUCAAUGUCAUAAGAAACCAAAAAAUUCGUACUUUAAAAAGUGGUAAAAAGUGAGCAAUAUACAUGAAUGGUCAAUUUAGCUUAUUAAUGGACAUAUUAAGGUGGCAUUAAAAUUGAUUAAGGCUAUGUUUGGUUCCAAAAAAAUUUAAGAAAAAAUGCAAAAGAAGCAAAAUAAAGAGGAAAAAUAGAGAGAAAAAAAAAGUGAAGGAAAAUAAAAAGUAGAUUUAAAGUUAAUAAAUUAUUUUUAUUUACUACUUCAAAUUUAUUUAACUAAUUUUAGUUUAUUGAUAUAAAAAUUAAAUAAUUUGAGAAAGCAAAAGUUUAUAACUAGUUUUAAUUAUAUUUUAUUUUCUUUAACAUUUUUCAUUGGACAACCAAAUAUGAAAAUCAUUUUUCUUAGUAUUUUUUUUUUCAUUUUUAGGAACCAUAUAUAACCUUAUUCAUGAGUUUAUCCGGAAUUGGUGAGUUAGAAAGAGGGAAACAAAAGGAAAAAAUAAAUAUAAAUUUAUACUACUUUAAAAAGAGAAUGUACUUUUAUCCUCUUACCUUUGCUAAACGUAAAUAAAUAAAUAAAAUAAAAUCCUCAUAGGGACCCAACAAUAUUCAUUUUUAAAAAAAUAUGUAAAACUACCUUUAAAGAUCCUCUUGCCAAUUUUUCCCUUCCACCUUCAUUCAUCUUCAAUUUCUUGACCCAAAAAUAAAUAAUUAAAAAGAAAAAAUGAAAGCAAUGAGGGAUUUAUUUGAUAAUGUUUUUAAAACCAAUUCUCCAAAAAAAUAGUUUUUAAAAACAAUUUUUAGAAUGGUUAUCAAUUAUUUUUGAAAACAAAAUUUUGUUUGAGAAUUUAAAUAUAAAAAAUAGUUUUUUCAAUUUAUUCUCCACAAAGGUACUGUGUAUUUAUGUAAAAUAAAAAAAAAUCUAAAUAUUUUUAUAUUAAUUGUUAUUCAAAAAAUUAAUAAAAAUAACUAAAAACACACCUCAAAAUUAUUCUAAGAAAUAUGCUUUUAGAAUAAAUUUUGAAAAAAAUAAUUUUUUAUUAAAAGUUUAUCAAAUGUAGUUUUUUUUUUAUGUUUGAAAGUAAUUUUUUAUUAUAAAAAAUAAAAUUACCAAAUAAGCCUUAAUGUUUUUAUCACAAUUGCCUAUCAUGCUUUUGUUUUUAAACAAAACAACAUCCCAAGUUGUAUUCUUUAGACAAGUUAUGAUCCAUUGUGGAACCAUACUUACUAGACAUAGGCCAAUAGUACCAACACAGAACAUGAAGAAAAAGAUAAAAGUUAUUCAAUAUGAUGUGAGUUGCAAGUUGUGACUUGUGAGGUAGAUGUUUGUGGUUAACAUGCCUCAACCCUAAAAUUGAUUCCACUUAUCCGUUUUAGGGUUGUCUCGUUUAUAUUAGAAUAAAAAAGAUUAUUCAAUUCAUAUGUAGGACUUACAACUUAUUUGAAAUUAAAAGGUGUGGACUCCGCAUUUCGGCUCAUGCGUUUCCCACUCGAAGGCGAGCUCGAUUUUGAUUUUGAAAAAUGAUUUUAUUGAUUAAGAAAAAUUGACUUGGAGUAGCUACUUAUUUUUGUUUUAUUUUUAAAGGGUAACAAAAUAAGAAAGAAAACCCUAAGUGCGACUCCUUAUUUUGGAAAAGGUGAUCUACGAAAAAUUGGAUCGGGCUCGGGGAUCAGGUUGCUUAUUGGGAAGGUAUGGUAAAGACCAUAGCACCCCUCUAAGUCCCUAAAGUCGGGUCUCUACUAAUAAAAUGAAGUUGACAUGACAAUCAAUAGGAAAAUCAAUGGAUACUCAAAUCGAUUAGGCGCAUAUGGGAAUCGAAACAUGCAAUAGAGAAUGACCAGAAUAGGAGUGGAUGCGUACCUGGGCCACGAACGAACAAUGCGCUAUCAUAGAAAUGGAGUCAGUGCACAAUAUAGAGCACGAAACAUAUCACAUGCAUCACUAAGCAGGGAUUAAAAUUGUUCGAAGGAAAACUGGAUUUCUGAAAUUCAUUUGAGAAUCGAAAUCUUAGCGAUUAUUUGAAAAUUGGAGUUUUGGAGAUUAUUUGAAAAUUGGAUUCUUAGGAAUUAAAUGUAAGAAUGAGAAUUUUAGAAAUUAAAUUUGAAAGAAAAUUGGGAUUUUGAGGAAUUAUUUAAAAGUUCGGGAUUUUUAAGAAAAAUUGAGUUACGAAAAUUGGGACUUUGGGAGUUGAAUUUUGAAAGGGAUCAGAGUUGUAAGUUAUUUGAGAAGUAGAAAUUAUGAAAGUUGAUUUAUAAAAAUUGGAAAUCUUGAAAAUCAUUUGAAGGCGGACCUUUUAGAAACGAAUGAAUAAAAUGAUAACAAUAAUAGUGAUAACAAUAAAUGAGUAACCGGAUAAAUGUGAUAAUUGGAAUAUUGAGAAGUGAAAAUUAAGUUCGGAGAUAGGACAAUUGGAAUUUCAGAUAACUAAAUUUAGAAAUUGGAAUUUUGAAGAAUUAGACUUUAAUGGUUGAGAUCUUUAAGAGAAAUAAAUAUGUAAGUAUGGAAUAAUGUUACUAAUUAAUCAAAAACGAUAUUUGGACGGAUGAAAGUGAAUAGUGUGAUUUAUGAGAUUAAAAAUUAAAUUUGAAAAUCGGAUUUUGACAAAAAUGAUGUUUGAACGGAUGAAAGUGAAUAGUGGGAUUUUGAAAAUUAAGUUUGAAAGUCAGAUUUUUGCAUAAUUGAACUUUAAUUAUUGGAAUUUUUAGAAGAAAGAAAUAAGUAAACGUGGAAAUAGCGAUUAACAAAAAUGAUAUUUAAAUGAAUAAAAAAAUGUGUAGUGGGAUUUUUGAGGCUGAAAAUUAAAUUGGGACGUUGGAUUUUUGAAGGAUUGGACUUUAAAUAACUAGAUAAAUAUGGGAUAAUGAUUUUAUUUAAUGAAAAUAAGGUUUAAACAAAUUAUUGAAAGAUUAAAUUGGGACAUGGGAUUUUUGAAGGAUUGGACUUUAAGUAACUAGAUAAAUAUGGGAUAAUGAUUCUAUUUAAUGAAAAUAAGGUUUAAACGAAUUAUUGAAAGAUUAAAUUAAGACAUGUGAUUUUUGAAAAAUUAGACUUUGAAUAACUAGAUGAAUAUGGGAUGAUGAUUCUAUUUAAUGAAAAUAAGAUUUAAACGAAUAUUUGUAGAAUUAAAUUAAAACAUGGGAUUUUUGAAGGAUUAGACUUUGAAUAACUAAAUAAAUAUGGGAUAAUGAUUCUAAUUGAUGAAAAUAAGAUUUAAACGAAUAUUUGAAGAAUUAAAUUAAGACAUAAGAUUUUGAAGGAUUAGAUUAGAUGAAUAGGAGAUAAUGAUUCUAUUUAAUGAAAAUAAGGUUUAAACGAAUUAUUGAAAGAUUAAAUUGAGACAUGAGAUUUUUGAAGGAUUGAACUUUAAGUAACUAGAUAAAUAUGGGAUAAUGAUUCUAUUUAGUGAAAAUAAGGUUUAAACGAAUUAUUGAAAGAUUAAAUUAAGACAUGAGAUUUUUGAAAGAUUAGAUUUUAAAUAACCAGAUGAAUAUGGGAUAAUGAUUCUAUUUAAUGAAAAUAAGAUUUAAACGAAUAUUUGUAGAAUUAAAUUAAAACAUGGGAUUUUUGAAGGAUUAGACUUUGAAUAACUAAAUAAAUAUGGGAUAAUGAUUCUAAUUGAUGAAAAUAAGAUUUAAAUGAAUAUUUGAAGAAUUAAAUUAAGACAUAGGAUUUUGAAAGAUUAGACUAGAUGAAUAUGGGAUAAUGAUUCUAUUUAAUGAAAAUAAGGUUUAAACGAAUUAUUGAAAGAUUAAAUUGAGACAUGAGAUUUUUGAAGGAUUGGACUUUAAGUAACUAGAUAAAUAUGAGAUAAUGAUUCUUUUUAAUGAAAAUAAGGUUUAAACUAAUUAUAGAAAGAUUAAAUUAAAACAUGGGAUUUUUGAAAUAUUUAGACUUUAAAUAACUAGAUGAAUAUGAGAUAAUGAUUCUAUUUAAUGAAAAUAAGAUUUAAAUGAAUAUUUGUAGAAUUAAAUUAAAACAUGAGAUUUUUGAAGGAUUAGACUAGAUAGAUAGAUGAAUAUGGGAUAAUAAUUCUAAUUGAUGAAAAUAAGAUUUGAAUGAAUUCUAGAAUUUUUAGGAUUGAAAAAUUAAAUUAAGAUAUAAGAUUUUUGAAGGAUUGCUUAAGGACCUAGGUUUUGAAAAUGAGAUUUUAAGGUUUAGAAUAUAGUAAAUUCAUCGGGACCAACAUAAGUUAAUUAUAGACAUUUUUUUGUCUUUAAUACUAGAAUAUGUUUUUUUUUUUAGGCCAUUAGUCAAACAAGUAAAGGAUUGUAGUUAAAUAAGAGCUUUAAACUUCCUACAAGUCAAUAUAAGUAUGAUGGAGAUAAGAAUGAAAUGUAAGUAUGUCUUUUAAGAUACAAAUUAUUUUAAGUUUUGAAAAAGAAAUUCAACCUUGAUGAUUUGUCUUUUAAUUGUCUUUAAGUUGAGCUAACUAAAUUGGUGAAGAUAAAAUAAGAUAAAAAAUAAAAAAUAAAAAUGCAUGAAUAAGUUAAUUUACUAAGAUUAGAGAUUUAAAACUUGUUUAGACAUGAAGUAGACAAAUGGGCUAACUCCACAUGGACUUGGGCCAUGAGAGUGGCUAGCAUAGGGAGCAAUGGGGCCUCUCAUCAGCAACUUCGGGCCUGGGCUCCAACUUAAGCCCAUACCCGCCACCAUGGGUGAGCCCAAGGCAUCCAUCCUCAGCACCAACUUGGGCCUGGGCUCAAACCUCCACCCAUGGCCAUCAUGGGCAAGCCUAAAACCCAUUCCCCAUCACAGACCUGGGCUUGGGCUCAAACCUCCACCUAUGGGCAAGCCUAAAACCCAUUUUUAUCACAAACCUGGGCUUGGGCUCAAACCUCCACCUAUGGGCAAGCCUAAAACCCAUUCCCCAUCACAGCCCAAGGCAUCCAUCUCCAUCUGGGCAUCACCCUCAGGCGAGGCCUCCACCAUCAGCGACCCAGAGGAGAGGGAAGGGGUGGCGGCUUCGAGGGCAGCGCCGAAGCGGUGGAGAUGCAUGGCUUUCGAGGCCACGACACCAGAAGAUGGGCGUCUUCGUCGAUGGCGCCGUCGACCAUGCCACGGAAGCAGUCGGAGAGGACGGCGCGCGGGCCGCCGUCAACGGCUUAGGGAGAGGCGCCCUGAACUGAGGCAGCAGCGCCGAACCCCAAAGGCGGCUCCGGUGAGGUUUGAGAGGAAUGAAAGGCUGCUUGGCUGCUGCCCGUUCUCUAGCCACUGAAAAAGGCUCACGCGUAGAGAGGUCUGAGUGAUGGUGGGGGCGAGGAUAUAGAGAGAGAAAGUGGUGAUGGAGAGAGGAAGGGUGGCGACAUGCAUGCACAGUCCCCAUGCACGUGGAAGGGUGGUCUUUGAGACUUUAGUAAUGGCUUUGGAGGGGGCUUGGGUAGCCAUGCACGUGUGGAAAAUGGGUAUGAAUAAAAUGGAUGAGAAUGGUGAUGGGUAUGAUAGGUGGUGGGUUUGGCAAAUGGUUUCAUGGGUCAAGCUGGAUAUGAUGAGCAUAGAUGACGUUGAAAGUGACGGGUAUGAGGAUGAAAAGAAAUGGAGGGUGGUGAGUGUGGUGACAUGCAUGGGACUUUGUUUGCAUGAGAAUGGACGGAUGACAAGUUGAUGGGAGGAAAAGGAAAAUCCACAAAAUAUUUUUAUUCGGUCAUCUAAUCCAAAAGAUAUAUGCAGUCAUUUACAGAAGAAAAGAAUGUGAGCAUCAAAAGAAACUAGAACAGGGCAUCCCAGAAUGACAAAACAUGUUCCAUUAAAACUCAUACCCGUGGCCCUUAAUGUCCACAGCAAGCAAUAAAACCGUAUCCAUAGAUCAGCAGAAAAUGAAGCAAGGCAUUAGCAAACGGACACAUACCAGGUUCAAGAUAAAUUUACCCGAGAGUUCGGAACGUGACCUCCCUCUGCUCUUCCUUCUUUACUGGCAAGCUUUCUCUCCCAAAAAAAAAGCUUCACUCUCAGAUCCUCUUCUCUGUAUCUAACCGGAGAAUUCCCUUAUCUCCUUUUCGAAAAAUCCCUCUCCUCUGCCAACUCAAUCCCCUUUUCUCCCCUUCUCUUUCCUUUCUAUCUCUUCCUGUUUCUAUCUUCCUUGGCAAGCCACCUCUCCCUUUCCUGUUCAUCCCAUCAGCAAGUAUGGGCUCCCCCAACCACCACCAUGGCUGCUAUUCCCUCUCGCCAUGUGUCCUGUGUUGUUCCUCCCUGCCUAAGGAGGCCCCCUCCCCCGGGCCAUGUAAUGCCCUAUUGUUUUUAAAUCAUCAAGAAAAAAAUCCAAGCUGAAGAGAGAGGGUCUACAAAAAGACUUUGUGAAAGCAAUUAUAUAUGAUUUAUGUCAGGAUUCUAACAAUAUCAACCUAAGGUAAACCCCUAAGAGGGGAUUGGGUCUUGGGAUUUUUCUUUUUUUUUUUGUAAAUUAUAAAUUAUGAUGAAUGUAGGAGAUAAAUAAGCAACAAUGUAAUAAAAACAAUAAAAAAUCAUUGCAUAUAAAUAAAGAGAGUAAGAAAGAGGGAAAUUCAAACUCAAGAUGUAUAAUGAUUAGCAUAAAUCUCGGCCUACAUCCACUCUCCUCGAAUUCCAAUCCCAAGUUCUAAGUUCCACUAUAUUAAGACUUUCAAACCAAGCUUUAGAACUUUAUAUUUGGAUUAAUCGACUCCAAUAGACACUUACAAUUUUCAUUAAGAGAUGUCUCACUAUUGAACUCCCCAAAUGAUAUCCCAUACUUGGCAAACCCUAAGUGAUACCUUAUAUUUAUAUUUUUCUCUCAAUUGAUACCCUAGGCUUGAUCUCAUCUCAUAAGAUUUACACAAAAAUGAAUUUUUAAUAAAAAUGCAUAGUUUACAUUUUUUUUUUAUUUUAUAAAAACUAAAAAUAUAAUUAUUAAAACAUUUACGUUUUAUGUUUUUGAAAAUAUUAAGAAUAAAAGUGUAUGCAAAUGACACCUUUAAUUAUUAUUUCUAUUCAACUCUAUUUAUUUUUAUUGAAUUUAAUGAAAUUCAAUUAAUUGUUUAUGUAUGAAUUUAAUAUAAUAAUUAAAAAUUUUCCAAAAAUUUUAAUACUUAUAAUCAAUUAUUAAUCUUGAUUUUAACCUUUUGAUUUUUAUAUAUAUGUUUAGAUCUAUUAACACUUCUAGCUAAGGAUGAAAAAUGGAUGAGCAAUUUCAAAUACCAUUGAUCAUGUGCUCUCCAAAUCUAAAAAAUUGUAAGGUUUUGAUUUGGAUGUUAUUAUUUUGAUUUUCUUGUGUUUAGAUCUAUUAAUACUUCCAAUUAAUGAUGACAAUGGAUGAGGAUUUUUAGGUACCAGUCUCAAAGUCUUAAAAAAAUUGUAAGAUUUCGAUUUGGUUAUUAAUUAUUAUUGAGAAAGCACAAGCAAGAAACUAUUUGCUUUUAUUUUCAAUGAAAACAAAUAUCUUGAGACUUGGAUUCCUUACAUGAGAUAUUAUCCAUUAUGGAACCCAUGUCUACUAAGGAUGAGCUCCCGUUAGUACUAACUUUAAUUGGUGAAAGCAACUAACAAAUCAAUAUCAAAGCUUGGGUUGAAGAUUUUUGAAAGUGUAAAAGAUCAUAGAGCAACAAAAUGAAAGCAAAAGGAAUUUUCGAUGAAGGUGGAGUCGAUUGCUAUCUCGUAGUGAUAUGAUACAAAAAAAGUUCGUGUCAUGGAGAGUUUGAAGAUUGAUUUCAUAGAAUUUGGUCCAAGAUCGAGAUUGUUAGGAAGUGUCUCAAAUUCUUAAUUAGUAUAAUUUUUUUUUUUUGUAAAGAAUAUUAUAUAGAAUAUUUCUAGGUUGAUAUAUUAUUGUAAUAUUAGACACCUUAUAGAAUAAGGAAGGUUAUUAGAAAUAUCUCAAUAUAAUAUUCUAGGUCAUGAGGGGAAAAAGUUAUGAGAUGAAGAUGAGUUUGUAAAAACUAUACGAGGUGAAUAGAGAUGUGAAGAAGAACGAGAGGUACUCGAUGGAGCUAGAGGGCUCAUGGUAGGGUAUGAAUACGAAGAGUGAGGAAACAUGAGAUGUUUCGGGAACCCAAUAGUUGUAUCUAGUUUUGUCCUCGGUAAUGUUUUGGUUUUGUCUUCUAUAAUUUUCUCUAUUGUACAGUAAAAUGAUUCUCUUUCAUUCGUGAAUGUAGGCAUAGUUGCCGAACCACGUUAAAACAUCGUGUACCAUUUGUGUUGAUUUUAUUUAUUUAUUUUUUAUUUUUAUCUUUGUGUUAUUGAUUAACGAUGUUUGCAUCUAAGCUUCCGUCGAUACAAUAAUAAAGAAAACAAAGAAUAAGAUAAAAGUAUUAAAUAUGAUAUGAGUUGUGAAAUAGAUGUCAAUGACUCAUAUUUGAAGAUGGGAUCAUGGGAUUAUCUCCUUCACAUUCACAAUUACAAUCAUUGAAGAUGACACCAUUCAUGUAUGGCUCCCAUAACUUGUUGAAAAUUCAAAGGUUUUAGGCGUUUUGACUACUAAAAUUAUGACUUGCUAACAUCUUAAGUGAGUACAAAAGUAACCACUUAUGGUUUAUUAUGCAUAUUUCAAAAAAGAGACGUGAAUUAAUUGACACAAGCUAACUAAUCAAAUUUAUUUUUAGGUACAAAAUAUGUUGCAUGAUGUAAUUUUAUUAUAAUAUUAUAAAAUUGGUAAAGACUCUGCUAAGCACAAUGUACACUAAAAAAAAUAAUAAAAUAAAAAAAAGUUUAUCCAAAAGAAAACCAAGAAUAAUAGGAGAUUUUGUAUAUCCUAUCAUUGGUACCAAAAUAAAAUUGGGAGUAUUUUUAAGUAUUAACACUAUCAUACAUUCCAUGAGUCUACACAUUAAUAGAAAAUAAUAAUUUUGACUUAUUAUUUAAUCAAGCUUGAUUGUAGUAUUAUGCCUAUCAAAAAUAUUUUAAUUUAAGAUUUUUUUUUUGUAUUUUUAUAUUUUAUAAUAUUUAAAAGUUUGAUAACCUACUAAAACUAAUUAUCUUUAAAUCUGAUAAUAAGAAUUAAAAAUAAAAGUAUAAAUUUUUUUUUUCAUUUCUAAAUUUUUUAAAAUAAAAAAUUAUCAUCCAUAACUUACUUGCAAUUUAUUCCUUUUUUUUAUUAAACCAACAAGGUUUCAUACUUAUAGACAGAUAAAAUUCUUCAAAAAUCUUAAGAAACAUUGAAAACAUAUUGUGGACCCGCAUUUUUCACGUGCGCCCCCACUCGAUCGGCAAGACUCGCUUUUUAUUUAGUGAAGAUGUUGUUUUUGGAAAAGUCGGAGUCGCCACUUAUUUUAUUUUAUUUUAAAGGGAAAAUAAAACAAGAAAUAAAACCCUAAAAAAAAUGAUUCCAUAUUUUUUUGGAAAAGCAUGUCUUUGAAAAACCCAAGUCUAGGUCCGGGGAUCUGGUUACUUAUUGGGAAGGUACCUCUAGGAGAUAGCACCCCUCUAAGCCCUACAAAGGUCUCCACUGACUAAAUUGGGGGCAAUGUGACAAUUAAUUGAUUAAUUGAGGAUACCUAGAUAGACUAAGGUGAUUUAAAAAAUAAUAUGCCAAACAAGAUCAAAUUACAAUAAAGGAGAGUUAAAGUGCAUACCUGGACUGCUUCUUAAGCGCCAUCAAAAGACAUUAAUGAUUAGUUUGGAAAAUAAAACACACAACAUAUAUUUUAUCCUAAUCUCUUUGUCAAACAUGGCAAGCUAAACAAACAAUAAUAAAAAAAAAAAAUAUGCUGAACAAGUUGAGAAUCGCAUACGAAGCAAUACAUAACGAUCAUAUAUAAAGCAAUACAUAAUUUAUGGAAUUAAGAUACGAAGGUAAGAAGCAUACCUGAAUAGCAUGGGUAACUUGUAAUGUGCUUCCACAAGACAUGAGGGGUUAGAUAAUAAAUAAUAAGAUAAAUCCUAGCAUGCUUGUUAUCUAAUUAGCAUAGCAAAAAUUAUUGGAGUAUACUAAUUCAACAAUUAUUACAUAAGUCUUGUAUAUAAUUCCUAAAAAAAAAUAGAUAUGAUUGUAACAACCAAUAAAGGUGGUAGCAAAAAUAAGUUUUGAAAAGAUUUUGUUUAUGUAAGGGUUUCACCAAUUCCCCAAUUGAUAUACACAAAUCUAACCUGGAAUUAUCCCAUUUAUGUGGGACCACAAGCUCGGGUUCGUGUUUGAUUUAAAACCAAAAUUUUCAUAAAAAAAAAACGAGAAAGAUGUGAACCGAUCAAAACAUGGUUGCACAUUAUUUAAAAAAAAUGAGGUUUUGAUUCUAAGAACUCUAAACGAAUUUUUGAAAUGGAUUUCUAAAGGGAAUGAGAUUUUGAUUCUAAGAACUCUAAAUGAAUUUUUGAAAUGGAUUUUUAAAGGGAUCUUUUAAGAAAAGUGUUGGAUUUCAAAAUAAAAGAAAUUAAUUUGAAAACGACAAGACAUAAGGAACAAAAUACCAAGCAAAACAAAAGUGAUUAAAAUCGCAAAGUAGAGUUUUUGACAACUGAGAAAAUUGAAGUGGUGGGAAUGGAGGUCAAUCUUCACUAUUUUCUGAUGGCCUCCGAAAAGUAAAUUUUACCAUAGACUACCAAAGCAAUAAACUAUUCGAACUUAGAUCAUAUAAGCUAAGGAUAUACCCACCAAGAAUUAAUGACUAUUUUCGAGAAACACAUCAAUUAAAAAUAACAAUCAAGAAUUAGCACAUGAUCAAUUAAAUACACAAACGCAUCUAGACCGGUUAAAAUGAACGAAAUUAAGUCAAGGCAAAUGUGAAUUUUCAGUCAUAAAAUUAAUUUUAUUAAUAAGCUAAUAUUAUAGAAAAUACCUAAACUAAAUAGAUGAGUGAAGCCAAAUCAGAGUAAACUAAAAGCAUGAACUUUCAAAUAUAAAAUCAAUUUUAUUAAUGAAUUAAAACUAUAAAAGUACCUAAACUAAUCAAAAUAAACCAAAUAAAAUUGAAGCAAGCUAAAAAAAAGUGAGCUUUCGAACAUAGGAUUAAUUUUAUUAAUAAACUAAAAUUAUAAAAUUACCUAAACUAAUUAAAAUGAACAAAAUUAAAUAAAAGAAAACUAAAAGUAUGAACUUUCAAACAUGGAAUUAAUUUUUUCAAUGAUCUAAAACUACAAAAUUAUUUAAACUAAAUAGAUAAGUUAAAUUUAACCAAAGUAGACUAAAAGAAGCAUGAUUUUUUUUCACAUCGAAUUGAUUAAACCAAAAAGUUAGAAACUCACAAACACAUCUAAACUAAAAGAAAAAUCAGCACUAAAGUAAAUUGAAAUGAAAAAAUAAGAACUUUAUCAUGUAGAAUUAAUUAAACUAAUUAUAAAAAAAAAAUCUAAACUAACGAAAUAAAUUAAAAUUAAACUAAAAUAAAAUUUAAAAAAAGAAAAAGAAACUUACCUUCAAGAAUGCAUAUUGUUGAAUCUGUUGUAGGAAGACCGCUCUUGGAUGCGUGCCGUUCUUUGCGUGUUUCAGAAAAUCAUCUCUUAAUGCGUGGCUUAUGUGGCGGCCAUCUUCCUCUUUCCAUAAGAUACAAUUCCAUAAGUACCCGAACCAAGUUCUUUUAUGUAUUCCAGGUUAGAAUUCUAUUUUAUUUUUUAUAAUCUGUAGCACUCUAGUGGCUAGAAGAGAAUAAAAUAUGGCCUGGUUGUGUAGUUGACAAUGACGGGAAUUGGAGGAUUCAUCGUUUUCAAAGAUGCAUGGAUGGAUGGGCUGCUGUCCAGAUGGUUCCGUCAGUGAGUUCAAACAGCCGCCGCUUUGCUCUCAAAUCUCCUUGCACUGAUCCCUUCGAAACAGCCCCUCUCACACUCUCUAAACUCUCUCUUUUAUAUCCCUUGAAAUAGCCUCUCGCGUGCUCUCUAAACUCUCUCUUCGGAUCAUCUCAAACAGCAACUCCUCACGCUCUGAAAAUGCGGACUGAUCUUUGUGCGAACAGCAGCCUAUGAUCCCUUCAAAAUGCCUACUAAUCUCCUCCCAAACGGCAUCCUCAAAGGCUCUAAAAAUCCCUCAUCCGAUCACUUCAAAUAGCAGCCUCUCAUGCUUCAAAACGUAGGCUGAUCCUUUCCAAACAGCAGCCUCUCACGCUUCAAAAUGCAGGCUCAUCCCUUCCAAACCGAAUCUGCUCUCCCUUCUAGUCCCGAAUCACCUUCCCCCUCUUUCCUUUUUAUUUUUAACAAUAUAAAUCUCCUUUUCCCCCUCCUCCAUUCAGCCGUGAUCUCCUCUUUCUAUAUGCAGCCCGGAUUCCUAUUUGAAGCCAUGAUCUCACUUCCCUUAAUGAGGACUCUUCCCAAAACGUUCACGCCUACCUUUCAAUGUAUCCAUCCCACCAUGCAUCCAAGGAAAUCCUCCAAUUAUUCAAUCCCAAUGUGAUUGUGCACACCUUCCAUACUUUUCCUACAAAAUUUCAAAGUUAAUAGAUUAAAUAAAAAAAAUCAUAAUAAUAAUGAUAAAAAUGAGUAAAAGUAAUAAUAAUAAUAGUAGUUAUAAAAUAAAAAUAAAACAUAUAAAUAAAUUUUUUAAAUUAAAAUAGAUAAGUAAGGGCAAUUAUUACGGAAAAAGUGACAAAAUAAUAAGGAAAUAAAAUAGAUGAAGAAAUAGACAAGAUAAUGAAUAUAAUAAAUAAAAAUAAAAUAAUAAAAGUUCAAGUCAUGCCACUUUAAAAUAAACGAGCCAUGCAAGUCAUGCAAGCCAUACAAAAAAAUGCAAUCAUGCAAACAUGCAAAAAAAAUACUUAAAAGGUGACCUAAGUGGGCCUAAGUGAGCCUAAGUGGGCCAAGUGUAUCUAAAUAGGCUUAGGGUGUCUAAUGGGCCUAGGGUGCCUAAGUGGGCCUAAGUAGGCUACCCUAAAAGCUAUUCUAAAAAAAAAAAAGAAAACCCUAAGUCUAAAUCAGGCCUGCUAAGGGUCACAAUAAGGGAUCAAGUAAUUCCUCAACCAAAGUCUCCAAGGUGACAGAAAAGGUAAGUAGUAUGAGUAGCAAUGGGCUACCAAGGAACUACUGUGGAACACUGAAAAUGAAUUUAAAGACAUGUGCUAAAGGGACAAAAUUGAGGGUCUACACAUAUUUUCUUUAUUUUUAUUACACAAUAAUAAAAAUAAUAUUUUCAUUCUACAACUAGAAACAAAUUUGGUGCUAUAAUGGUUAAUAUUCAUAAAAUUAGAAAUACAAUUGAAAAGUCAUUUAUUUUUCUAUUUUUAAAAAUAGCAAAUUGGAAAUUGUACACUGGAACACAUUAAUUAAUUACUUUAUUUUAUUAAUUUAUAUUAUAUUUAUUAAGAUAUAAUUAAUUAAUUAUGUAUAAUUUUAAUAGAAAAUUAAAAAUUAGAAACAUUAAUUCAUUUCCCAUUCAGUACCAAAUAGAGCUGUUACCAAUUUUGUGUUAACUCUUUGGUUUUCAUAUUGUUUAAAUUCAUCAGCACUUACCAAUUUUGUGUUAACCCUUUGGUUUUUAUGUUGUUUAAAUCUAUCAACACUAAGAGUUCUAAAAAGUGGUAAAAAGUGAGAGCAAUAUAUAUGAGUGGUCGAUUUAGCUUAUUAAUGGGCAUAUUGAGGUCAUAUAAAAAUUGAUUAAUUUAUCGAUUUAUCUAGAAUUGGUGUGUUAGAAAGAGAGAAACAAAAGAAAAAGAAAAAUAUAAAUUUAUGCCAUUUUAAAAAGGGAGAGUGUACUUUUAUCCUCCCACCUUUGCUUAAACAAAAAAAAAAUAUAAAAAAUAAAAAAUCCUAAUAAGGACCCAAAAAUAUUCAUUUUUAAAUAAAUAUGUAAACUACCAUUAAAGAAUCACUUGUCAUUUUUUCCUUUCCACCUUCUUCAUCUUCAAUUUUGAGACCAAAAAAUAAAUAGUUAAAAAGAAAAAGAAAAGAAUGGGAGCAAUUAGGGAUUUAUUUGAUAAUUUUAUUUUUAAAACCAAUUCUCCAAAAAAAAAAAAAAAGGAAACAAGAAAGUUUUUAAAAACAAUUUCUAAAAUAGUUGCUAAUUAUUUUUGAAAACUAUUUUUUUUUUUUUUGGGAAGUCAAAUAUAAUAAAUAGUUUUUUUUAAACUUAUUCUCCAUAAAGGUGUUAUGCAUUUAUGUAUAAUAUAAAAGUUUUUAAAUUAUUUUUUUUAUUUUUUUAAUUGUUAUUAAAAAAAACUAAAAACACACCUCAAAAUUAUUCUAAAAAAUAUGCUUUUAGAAUAAAUUUUGAAAAAAUGAUUUUUUAUUAAAAAUAUAUUAAAUACAUUUUUGUUUUUGAAAAUAAUUUUUUAUUAUAAAAAAUAAAAUUACCAAAUAAACCUUAAUAUUUUUAUUGAAUAAACACAAUAACAUGUCAUGCUCACAUUUUCAAACAAAACAAUAUCUUAAGUUGUAUUCUUUAGACAAGUUAUCAUCCAUUGUGGAACCCAUGCUUACUAAAUAGUGGGUUGAUAGUACCAAUGAAGAAGAUGAAAAAAAAAAAAAAAGAAAAGACAAUAGGUAUUAAAUAUGAUGUGAGUUGUGAGAUAGAUGUUUGUGGCUAACAAGCCUCACUGGUUUAUGUUUAGGGAUGGCGUUAUACAGUUGCCUAUUUUAUAUUCGAAUAAAUAAGAUGAUUCCAUUCAUCUUUGAUGACCACAACUAAUUUGAAAUUCAGAGGACUUUACAAAAGCGAUCAUAUAUGGUUUAAGUUAGGAUUCUAAUAAUAUCAACCUAAGGUAAAUACUCAAGAGGAGGAUAAAUUCGACAUUGGUCUUUUUGCAAAUUAUAACAAAUAUUAACUGUGAUGAAUGUAAGAAAUAAAUAAGCAACAAUAUAGUAAAAACAAUAUAGAAUAAUAAAAUAUAAAUAAAGUAGAAAAAAGAGAAAUUCAAACUCAAGAUUUAAAGUAAUUUGGCCCAAUAUCAAUCUACAUCUACUAUUGUUUAACUUUAAUCUCAAGUUUGAGGUUUCACUAUACCAAGACUUUCAAACCAACCCUUAGAGUUUUAUACUAGAUUAAUGAACUCUAAUAGACAUUUGUAAUUUUCCUCAGAUUCUCACUUUUAAAUUUCCCAAGGAAUACUUCACACUUGUCAAACCUUAAAUUGAUACCUAAUACUUAAAAUUUUCCUUUAAGUGAUACCCCAUACUUGAGCUCACCUCAUAAGAUUUAUAAAAAAUGAUUUUUUCAAUACAAAUUCCUAGUUUACAAUUUUUUUUUUUCACUUUUGAACUCCCCAAGUGAUACUCGAGGAGUUUUUAAAAUCAUUUUGGCUAUGUUUGGUUCCUAGAAAAUUUGAGGGAAAAUGAAAAAGGAAAAAAAUAAAUAAGAAAAUUAGAAAAAAAAAGAAGGAAAAUAAAAAGUAAAUUUAAAAUCAAUAAAUUAUUUUUAUUUAGUAUUUCAAACUUAUUUUAUUUAUUAAAAUAAAGAUUAAAUAAAUUAAAAAUUCAUAAGUUUUAACUAGUUUUAAUUAUAUUUGAUUUUCUUUGGUAUUUUCCACAAGACAACUAAACAUGAAAAAAUCAUUUUGCUUACCAUUUCUUUUUAUUUCCUUAGUAUUUUUUAGGAACAAAAAAAAAAAACCUUUUAAAACAUUUUUUACUCUAGACAGUGACUAAGCACUCAAGAGUUUUUAAAAUCAUUUUAAAACUUUUUUGGUUAAUUAAAACCUUUUGUCUACUUGAUGUCUUAAUUAAAUCCAAUUAACCUUCCUCAAACCUUUUUAUACUUAUGUCAUCGUGGAGUAAUCUAUAGAUACUCCAUUUCUCAUGUUAGUCUUAGGGAUAUUUAUAUAAUUACAAAAUACUUGUUAAACUAAUUAUAGUUUGAAUUUAAUAAGUAGGAGCUAUACUUGAAUUUUUCUUUUAAGUUCUUCUCUUUAUUUUUUCUCUUUUACAGUAAGAGUUAUUGUAGAAUUAUGUCAUUUGACAUAAAUACAUUUGAAUAAUGCUUUUAUUCACUCUUUUGUUUGUAUGAAAAUUCUAGUUUCUACCAAAGUAGGGAACAAAAAUUAUAUGAGUGAAGUUAUUAAUGUGUGCAAUAAAAAAAAAAAAAAAACCUUUAUAAUGCUAGAGAACAUUAUACAUUUGUUCCCAUUAAUAUUAGUUUUGAUUGAUGAAAGAAACUAUACCAAUGAAGAAAUGAAGAAAAUGAUAACCAAUGCUAGAGAACAUUAAAAGUUGUGUUAGAGAAGUGCAAUCUAAAAAAAAAAAAAAACAUUCACUAUUUAAAAGGGUCUCAUUGUUUUUAACCUACAAAAAAAUCUUAUUGCUUUAUAUUUAGUUUUUUUUUUAAUAUCUAUAUUAUUAUUAUUUUAAAAAAAAAUUACUUUGUCAUAUUUGAGAAAAUAAAGGUUAUGCUUAAAUUAGGAAAAACACCCAAGAGGGGGGUGAAUUGGGUUUUUCAAAAACUUUUUCAACACAACAAAUUCAAACACAAUAUAAUAAAAAUAUAAAGAGAUAGAGUUAGAGAAUUCAAACUCGGAUUUUAUAAUGGUUCGGCACUUCCUUGCCUACGUCCACUCUCCUCAAUCUUCUAACCGAGUGAGGGUUCCACUAACUUGAAGCUUCAACCAAGGUUCCAAUCUUUUUACACUUGGAUUCCGACUCCAAUAGGCUCUUACACAAUCUUUUCAAGAUUCAAACCUCUUGAAGGCUUUAACACUCAAUUUUUAUAAGAAUGAAUCCCUCAACCUAGCUCAAUAAUAGCUCAACUACAAAACAAAGUUAGGAUGACUUAUAAGGGUGCACUAAAAGAUAUGCAAGUGAGGAUUUAAUGCACUAAGAAAGAAAUGAGAGCUUUAAAGGCAAAAACAAUGGGUAGACAAUUGAUUGCAAGUGUUCUCUAUAUCAUAAACAAAGUGGAGCUCUCAAUUUAUAGGUUUCUAAACCCGGGAGCCAAGAAAAGCAAAAAGCAGCCUCAACCGGUCGAGUUGUGACCGGUUCACUAGCCGUUGGAGCAUUUAAUGCUUUGGUAGGUUACUGUUGCCUCGAUCGAACCUCGAUCAGACCUCAACCGGAGGUCGAUCGGGAGGGAGGGAGCCUCAACCAAGAAGAGAAGGCUACUAGAAGAGAGAGUGUUUUUGACACUUCUUGACCGGACCUCAACCAGUCAAGGGCAAUCGGUCCCAAUCGGUUGAGCCGGUUGGCCAGAGUCUCGAUCGGUUCAGCCUUUUGACCUUGAAAACCUAUCUUUUUCACUUCUUUUCUUUUCUAACACUUAGGCAAGGGCUUUAGCUAAAUUGAUAUGCCAAUUUUGAAACAUUUUUCCUAAGGUACAUUUGAUAAAACUCGGGUUUUAAUGAAAAUGUAAUUUUAUAAAAUAAACAGAGUUUUCAAAGAUGCAUGGAAAGAUAUGAAAAACCUAAGUGCACCUAUGCAUUCAUCUUACAUUCGUUUCCUAUGAUCAAAAGUCUUUCAAAAGUCUUGAUCUUGUAUAUAUUUGGUCAUUUGAUGAAUUUCCGAAUUUAUACCUAAGAUUAUUUACCAUUCAAACCAAUUAGUCACUUAACCAUGGUUUGUUAUCAUUAAAACCUGAUUAGGAGAACCCUUGGGCUAACAAUCUCCCCAUUUUUUAUGAUGACAAACGUUGGUUAUCUAGGAGAGAAGAAGAAAAAAAAUCUCCCCCUCAAACCAAUCAUGGAUCAAACAAUCAAAAUUUAUGAAUUUAAAACGAAGAUAAUCAAGACAUGCGAAAAUAGCAUACCAUAUAUAUAUAUAUAUAGAGUAAAGUCAAAUGUACACGAAACAUAAACAUAUAAGCUAAUCCAAACAAAUGAUAUUACAAUGAUAUGCAUGUAGGUCUCCUAGAUCCUAAAUAUCUCUCCCCCUUUGGCAACAUAAAAAAGAAAUGAAGGGGUUCUUUGUCAAAUCAAGGCUGAGGAGGCAGAGGUGGAAACACAAAGCAAAGGUAAGCCAUUGUUUCCUCAUGUUGACUCUCCUGACGACUCUCAACACGCUCAAUCAUUUGUUGGAGAUUAUCAAAUGCAGCCUGCUAUUGAUCCAUGCGAUCCUCCAUACACUCAAAUCUCUACUGUACAUACUCAAACUGAGAAGUGAAGCCAGUUUGAUACUGAUCCAUGUGAUCCUCCAUGGAGUGGAAUCGAGUAUCACUGACUACCGCAAGCUCCUCCAUGCGAGUGGCAAGUGAGCUGAUCUGAGCAGAUAAAUCCAUUUAAGGCGCAUGAUUAGGAGUAUGAGGUGCCUGAUGAGGUGAUGUCUUGGUGUGAAGAAGCUCGGUGAAUGAUGGUUGAGAAGAUGGUCCCGCUAUGUAUGUCAGCUCGGAUAUCAUCGACUCUAAAAAUGUGGCCUCAAACUGAAUACUCUCUGACUAGAGUAAAGGGAUGUUAAGCUCAGGCUCUCUCUGCUCAAAGCCUCUUUGAGGGUUUAACCCACCCUCCAUCUCUUGGAUCUUGGGCUCUUUCUCUACUUCAGGAUGCACCUGUCCCUGUCCUCGGGCUUGUGUUGGUGGUUGCUCUACUCUUCGAACCUAAGAGCCAUCGGGGGCCUUCUCAAACUUCAUAUGUCCCAAAGACUGCUCAUCAUAAGUAUCAUAAAUACUGGGGGCCUCGAAAUCUCUCUCUCUGCUCAAAUCGACCCUAGCAUUCUUGAAUACUUUGGUGAGGAAGCGGGCAUAGGGGAGUACGCGGGUUGAGCUCUCGUAGCAUGAAAUCAUGUGCAUCAUCAUCAAAUACCCCAAGUGAAUUCGUCUCCCUAUAAGAAUUGAGUCCACGAGGAAUGCCUUAAGAUAGUAGACCUCGUCUCGGUGUCCACCUCAUGGUAGCAAGAUGAAGUAGAUCAUGUGGUGUAGUACUUUGCUAGACACGGUCAGGCUAUGAGCCGAUGGUUUGCCCAUCCCCUAGGCAUUUGCCAGUCCGAAAAUCCUCUUAAUGGCUUCUCCAGGCUCGAAACCCGACAAAGUAGGCCAAUUCUUGGACUCGUACACCUUGAGUCCAACUGGAGGAAUGUUAAAAAUACAAUAGAUACUUUCUAGGUCCAGCUGAAUCUCAACUCCUCUAACGGUGGAAAUAAACGGGCCAUCAAGUCCAUAAAUAGCCCUUGAAUAGAAUGCAUGCACUAGAGUCGGGAAAAUCGCCUCAGAAAACGUCACUACUAGUAGCCAACCCAUCCUACUGAAGAGGCCUCAAACCCGAAAUGCUGCAGUUGGGAGAAAUUGAUAUUUCUCCAUGGAACCACUUUUCUCUGAGCGAAUUUCUAUUUGUACCUCUGAUAAUUCUCCACGGUGCUGAAGAGGGUCAUGUAAAACCUCACCUUUCGGUGAGCCUUUGUCUAAGUAGGCUGAGAUGGCUCAACUGGGCGCUUGUCCUAUGCCUUAGAGGUAACCAUCUCUCUCCUAGGAGCCAUCAGAAAAGUAGAAAUGAGGGAGGCGAAACUGGUGGAAAGAGAAACACACACACCCGAAAGCCCUAAGUGCGCGGGAAUGUCCUGAAGUUGGUUGUGACGCAUGAACAAAGGAGAAGCCGUCCCAAAUCGGAAGCCCUAGGUCCCAAAUUUGAAGCCCUAGCCUCAAAAAAUUAGUCUAAAACCCUCAAUAUGUUGCAAUGGACUCAAAAAUCCUUUCUUGGCAGUUGAAUUGACAAAACACUUGAAAAACUAGAGGAAACAAGAGAAAAAAUGAAGCGAGGGGAGGUAUUUAAAUCGUCAGCCCCGACAAAUCGGUUGACUGAUCCUGAUCCAGUCAAUCGCCUAAUCAACGGUCACCGUGUUUGAAUUUUUUCUUUUGUGUUUUUUCUCAUUUUUUUAUCCUCCUUCUGCUUUUUUCAGUUGAAAUCCCCAAUUUUUUAUGCCCAAUGCCAAGGGAAUUUUGAUUUUUGGUCAAAAUUUGACCAUUUAUCUAAGUAUAUGUCUAUAUGAUGCAUAUGACAUGAAAUUCAUACAAUCAGAGGGUAUAUUCAUCAAGAAUUCAUUAGAUCAUAAAGAAAUCACCCCUAGUUGUCUUCUAAUAUCAACAAAUUGUUCUUCACUUAGAGGUUUUGUAAAAAUAUCGGCAAGUUGAUAUUUUGUGCUUAUAAAUUCAAGUGUAAUGUCACUCUUUUGUGCAUGGUCUCUAAGAAAAUGAUGUCUAAUCUCUAUAUGCUUAGUCCUAGAGUGUUACACAGGAUUUUUUGAAAUAUUUAUGGGACUAGUGUUAUUACAUUUAAUAGGAACAUGCUCAAAAGACAAAUUAAAAUCAUUACGUGUUUGUUUCAUCCAAAGAAUUUGUGCACAACAUAAAUUGGCUACUAUGUAUGCGGCUUUCACCAUUGACAAAGCUACCGAAUUUUGCUUCUUACUAUGCGAUGAAACAAGUGAGUGUCCUAGGAAAUGACAAGUACCACUAGUGCUUUUUCUUUCAACCCUACAACCGGCAAAAUCGACAUUUGAGAAUUCAAUUAAUUCAAAGUUAUCACUCUUAGGAUACCAUAAGCCUAUGUCCAUUGUCUUUUUCAAGUAUCUAAGAAUUCGUUUUAUGGCACUUAAGUGAGAUUCUUUAGGACAAGAUUGAAAUCUAGCACACAAGUAUAUACUACACAUGAUGUCGGGUCUACUAGUGGUCAAAUAUAGCAAAGAACCUAUCAUGGCUCUAUACAUAGUUGAGUUAAUGGAUUUACCUUUCUUAUCCUUAUCAAGCUUGAUGGAUAAGCUCAUUGGAGUCUUCAUUGUUUUGGCUUCUUCCAUGUUGAACCUUUUGAGAAGGUCUCUUAUAUAUUUUACUUGAUGGAUGAAGGUUCCUUUCUUUAGUUGCUUGAUUUGAAGUCCAAGGAAGAAGUUGAGUUCUCCCAUCAUGCUCAUUUCAAACUCACUAUGCAUGCACUUAGAAAAUUCUUCACAAAAAGAGACAUUAGUAGCUCCAAAAAUAAUAUCAUCAACAUAUAUUUGAACUAAGAGCAUGUCAUUUUCUUUGGUCUUUAUGAAAAGAGUUGUCAAUUUUUCUCAUUUUAAAACCUUUUUUCAAAAGAAAUUUACUUAAUCUUUCAUACCAUGCUCUAGGUGCUUGUUUCAAACCAUAAAGUGUCUUUUUAAGAUUAAAAACAUGGUUAGGAAAGUAAAAACUUUGAAAACCGGGUGGUUGUUCAACAUAUACUUUUUCAUUUAUAAAGCCAUUUAAGAAAGAACUUUUCACAUCUAUUUGAUAUAAAAUAAAGUCUUUAAAACAUGCAAAGGCAAGUAGCAUCCUAAUGGCCUCCAAUCUAACUACGGGGACAAAGGUUUCUUCAUAAUCUAUUCCUUCUUCUUGAUUAUAACCAUGGGCUACCAAUCUUUCUUUAUUUCUAACAAUUAUGCCAUUUUCAUUCAUUUUAUUUCUAAAGACCCAUCUAGUUCCAAUAACACUUUGGUUUGAAGGUCUUGACAUUAAUUCCCAUACUUCACUUCUUUUAAAUUGAUUUAACUCUUCUUGCAUAGAAAUAAUCCAAUUUUCAUCAACUAAAGCAUCAUUUAUAUUUUUAGGUUCAAUUUGAGAGAUAAAAGCAAGAUUAUUGCAAAUAUUUCUAAGAAAUGAUCUAGUUCUUACCCCACUAGAUGGAUUACCUAUAAUUUGAUCUUGUGGGUGGUUGAUGACAAACUUCCAAUCUUUAGGAAGGUCUUGGCUUGGUUCACCUUGCACUUGUUGAGGAGGGGGUAGUGCCAAUGGUGAUUCUUUUUUCUUUGGAUCCUCUCCAAUUUCUUCUUGUUGCUUUCUAUCUUCAAUUUACAAUUUUCCCAUGGAGGUCUCCAAGCCUAAAUCAUCAUCAAAACUCUCUCUUUCUUGAAGAGAAUUGUUAGAUUCAUAAAAAAAUGUCAUGGAUGGACUCCUCUAUAACCAUGGUUCUUUUGUUGAAAACUUUAAAGGCUUUACUUGAAGUUGAGUAACCAAGGAAAAUUCCAACAUCUAAUUUUGCAUCAAAUUUUCCAAGAUUGUCUUUGGUGUUUAAUAUAAAACAUUUGCACCCAAAGACUUUGAAAUAGCUAAUGUUGUGUUUCUUAUUUUUUCAAAGCUCAUAGGGAGUUUUCUUAAGAAUAAGCCUCAAUAAUAUUUUAUUUAAAACAUAACAAGAGGUGUUAACCGUUUCAGCCCAAAAAUAUUUUGGUAAAUUAUUUUCAUUUAGCAUGGUUCUAGCCAUUUCUUGAAGAGUUCUAUUUUUUCCUUUCAACUACCCCAUUUUAUUGAGGAGUUUUAAGAGCCAAAAAAUUAUGGUUAAUACCAUGCUCAUUGCAAUAUUCUUCAAAAUCAAUAUUUUCAAAUUCUCUCCCAUGAUCACUUCUUAUACAAGUAAUUAUAAAACCUUUUUCAUUUUGAAUCUUAUUGCAAAACUUUAAAAACUCAUAAAAGGCUUCAUUCUUUUGACUUAAAAACAAGACCCAUGUGUAUCUAAAAAAGUCAUCCAUAGUAACAUAUGCAUAAGAUUUUCCUCCAAGAUUUGGUGUCCUAGAGAGACCAAAUAAAUCCAUAUGCAACAACUCAAGAGGCCUAGAUAUUGAAAUGAAAUUUUUUUUUUGAAAGAGUUUUUGAUUUGCUUUCCUAUUUGACAAGCUUCACAAACUUUGUCUUCUUGAAAAUUUAUUUUGGGAAAGCUUGUAACAAGUUCAUAUUUGUUGAGUUAGGAAAUGAGGUCCAUGUUAGCAUGUCCCAACCUCCUAUGCCACAACCAACUUUGAUCAUGCAUGCUUGAAAGACAUUUAUCAUAGCCAUCAUAUUUUGAAAUAUUUAUAGCGUAAAAAUUAUCACAUCUAUGACCCAUGAAGAUGGUUUUAUCAUUUUGAAUAUCCUUGAUGAUGCAAUGAGAUGCUUCAAAAAUCACUUUAAAACCUUUGUCACAAAGUUGACAAAUGCUUAAAAGAUUAUGUUUUAAACCAUCCACUAAUAAAACACUUUCAAUAAGAGAGGAUGUGCCAUUACCAAUGUUGCCUUGACCAAUGAUUCUUCUUCGGAGUACAUGUUUGCCACUUCUUUCUCCUUUUCUUCUUCGGAGGAUUCUUCACUUUCACUCCAAGUGGCCAUCAUUACCUUCUUCAUUUUUAUCUUGGCUUCACUUUUGUAAAGAGGAUAAUCAUAUUUAAUGUGUCCCGGUUUUUUGCAUUUGAAACACACAAAAUCUUUUUUCUCUUCCCAUUUCUCUUGUCACCAUGAGAUGAAGAUUUCUUUUUAGAAAGGUCUCUUCUAGAGGUAAACUUUCUUCCUUUAAACCUUUCACCCUUCAUGUAUUUGUUGAGCUUUCUUGUGAUGAGGGCUAAAUCAUCAUCUUCUUCACUCGACUUUUCUUCUUCAACAUCUUCUUCUUCCUUAGUUGUAGCUUUGAGAGCCAUGCUCUUCUUCUUUUUGUCUUCACCCUCUUGUAGCUUCUUUGCCAAAUUGAUCUCAUAUGUCAUUAAUGACCUUAUGAGCUCUUCCAUAGGUAGCUUGGUCAAGUAUUUUAUUUCUUGAAUUGUGGUGACCUUUGUAAGCCACUUUGAUGGGAGUGACCUCAAUAUCUUCAUCACCUUUUCGGAUUCCUUAUAGGUCUUUCCCAAUGCUUCAAGACCAUUGACAAUGUUGGUGAACCUAGUGAUCAUCUCAACAAUAGUCUCAUUUUCUUUCAUAAAAAACAAUUCAUAACUAUGUACAAGUAAAUUAAUUUUUGACUCUUUCACUUGAUUUGUUCUUUCAUGAGUUAUUUCAAGCAAUCUCCAAAUUUCUUUUGCUGAUUUGCAUUGACAUAUUCUAUUAUAUUCAUUUCUAUCCAUAGCACAUUGUAAAGUAAAAACAACCUUACCAUUUAAUUGAAAAUUUCUUCUAUCAAGCUAAUUCCAUUCUUACUUAGGUUUUGGAACCAUGACUCCAUCAACUAGUUUUGUAGGAAAAGUUGGGCCAUCUUUAAUGACAUCCCAUACGUCUAAAUUGGUUGAUUGUAAAUACCAAGUCAUUUUAGUUUUCAAUAGGGAUAGUCGAUUCCUGUAAAAAAUGGAGCUCUAUGUUUUACAAAAUUUCAUUGUGAGAUGAGCUUGAUGGAAUAACCAUUUCCUCUUAGACUAUUAGGUCUCAAACAAGAGGUCUAGCUCUGAUACCAAUUGAGAAAAUAAAGGUUAUGCUUAAAUAAGGAAAAAUACUCAAGAGAUGGAUGAAUUGGGUUUUUCAAAAACUUUUUCAACACAACAAAUUCAAGCACAAUAUAAUAAAAAAUAAAGAGAUAGAGUUAGAGAAUUCAAACUCGGAUUUUAUAGUGGUUCGACACUUCUUUAACUACAUCUACUCUUCUCAAUCUCCUAACCGAGUGAGGAUUCCACUAGCUUGAAGCUUCAACCAAGGUUCCAAUCUUCUUACACUUGGAUUCCGGCUCCAAUGGGCUCUUACACAAUCUCUUCAAGAUUUAAACCUCUUGAAGGCUUUAACACUCAGUUUUUACAAGAAUGAAUCCCUCAACCUAGCUCAAUGAUAGCUCAAAUACAAAACAAAGCUAGGAUGACUCACAAGGAUGCACUAAAAGAUAUGCAAGUGAGGAUUUAAUUCACUAAGAAAGAAAUGAGAGCUUUAAAGGCAAACACAAGUGGGUAGACAAUUGAUUGCAAGUGUUUUCCAUAUCAUAAACAAAGUGGAGCUUUCAAUUUAUAGGUUUCUAAGCUCAGAAGCCAAGAAAAGUAAAAAGUAGCCUCAACUGGUUAAGCUGGGGGUUGACCGGUUCAUUAGCUAUUGGAGCAUUUAAUGCUUUGGUAGGUUACCAUUGCCUCGACUGGACCUCAACCGAAGGUCGAUCGGGAAGGAGAUAACCUCAACCGGGAAAGGAAGGCUACUGGAAGAGAGAGAGUGUUUUUGACAUUCUUCGAUUGGACCUUGACCGGUCAAGGGCAACCGAUCGAUUGGUUCCCCAACCGGUUGAGCUAGUUGGCCAGAGCCUCGACCGAUUUGGCCUUUUGGCCCUGAAAACCUAUAUUUUUCACUUCUUUUCUUUUCUAACACUUAGGCAAGGACUUUAGGUAAAUUAAUAUACCAAUUUUGAAAAGUUUUGCCUAAGGUACAUUUGAUAAAACUCGAAUUUUAAUGAAAACAUAAUUUUACAGAAUAAACCAAGUUUUCAAAUAUGCAUGGAAAUAUAUGAAAAACAUAAGUGCACCCAUGCAUUCAUCUUAUAUUUGUUUCCUAUGAUCAAAAGUCUUCCAAAAGUCUUGAUCUUGUAUACAUUUGAUCCUUUGAUGAAUUUCUGAAUUUAUACCUGAGAUUUUUUACUAUUCAAACCAAUUAGUCACUUAACCAUGAUUUGUUAUCAUCAAAACUUGAUUAGGAGAACCCUUGGGCUAACAAUAUUUCUUUCUACCAUAUACUUACUUCCUAAUUAUAUAGAUUAAGUAUACACGAAAGUAACCUAAAUUAAAAAUUUAGUAUAGUACAUAUUCAUAAGUCAAUUUUUUGCAAGGAUAAAAGGUAUAAAACAUGAAGUUGAUUUGCUAAGGAGAUUCUAACCUUAAUUGAAUUGAUUUCUAAGAAGUCAACUCUUUAUAAAGCUCAAUAAGAGUUUUUAUGUUUGUUUAAAAAAAUUAUACCUUAAGAAGGAACUUAAUACAAAUAUGAGAAAAAUAUUACUUCUUAUAAAAGUUCUAUUUUGACUUACGUAAAAAGUUUUUUUCUUUUUUUAUUUAAUAACAUUUUAUAAUUCCAAUAUUUUUCUUGAAAAAUUAUAAUUUUAGUUUUUCAAUUUCCAAGUAAAGGAAAAAAAAAAAUAUCUCAAACAAGACGUAAGUCUUUGAGGAAUAGAUAAAUGACUUGCACUCGAAGAUGGGGUUAUGGGGCUCAUGUUGACAUUCACAAUCAUAGAUGAUUAUUUAUGUGUGGUCAUGGUUCUCAUGAUUGAUUCAAAAUUGGGAGGCCUUUAUCCAAAUGACAAGUGAUUAAAGUCCUAAGUUGAUAUAUUGGUACAAAAAUGCUCUCAUUUUCUUUGAGUAAUAAGUUAUUACUCACCUAUUCUACCAACUUUAUUAUUAUUAUUCUAACUACUAUCCCUUCAUUUAUAGUGUAUUUGAUAGUGAUUCUAAAAAACACUUCUAACUCUUUUAGAAUACUUAGAGUAGUGCUAUGAUGCAUCUCAUUUAUUAAUUUCCAAAGUUAGAACAAAUUUCAUCCAUAGUCAUAACAAGAAUAAAAAAUUAUCUUCUUUCUUUAUAUUAUAUUAUUAUGGAACUUCUAUGGCUUUUAUUUUUACUAUAAGCAGCAUUUGUACUAUCAUGUUUAGUAUCUAUAAAAAUUUAAAAUAUAAUUCAAAAGUUAUUUAUGUUAUUUGUUUUAAAAAAAUAAUAAAAUUAGAAUUGUAUCCAAAUGAUAUCUUAAUUAUUUAUUCUAUUUAAUUUUUAAUUUACAUAAAAUUCAUUAAAAUUUUAUUAAUUAUUUAUAAUUUUAAUAUAAUAAUAGAAAAUAAAAAAAUCAAUUGUUAUAUGAAUCAAACUCUAUGCAAAUUUAAAGACUUUGAGUUUGAAAAUUGUUACACACAUGCUUUCAUUUUCCUUGACCAAUUAGUUAUUACUCAACACAUACUAUGUCAACUUCAUUAUUUUUAUUACUUAUUAGUUGCUGGGUCUUGUACCCCUUGGUUCAUUAUAGUUUUAUUAUGUCCAUACGCUUCUCCUACUACUUUCAAAGUAACCACCUCAAUGCAUCUCAUUUAAUACUUUCAAAAGUAGGGGAAAAAAAUCAUCAAAGUAAAAAAAAUAAUUAAAAAAAUAUCUUCUUUCUUUAUAUUACAUAAUUAUGGAAUAUCUUUGUUUUUUUUUCAAUAGAAAAAAUUAAUAUUUAUAUAUUUGAUAUUGUAAAAAAUUAAAAUAUUAUGUAAAAAUUUAUUUAUGUUUUCUAUUUGGUUCACUCUAAUUUUAUUAGAUCCAUACGUUUUUCUUACUAGUUCCAAAGUAACCACCUCAAUGCAUCUCGGAAAAAAAAUUGUCAAAGUAAAAUAUAUAUAUAUAUAUAUAUAUAUAUAUAUAUAUAUAUAUAUAUAUAUAUAUAUAUCUUCUUCUUUAUAUUACAUAAUUAUGGAAUAUCUUUGUUUUUUUAAUUUUCAAUAGAAAAUUUUAAUAUUUAUACAUUUAAUAUUUAUAAAAAAUUAAAAUAUUAUGUAAAAAUUUAUUUAUGUUUUUUAUUUUUAAAAAUACUAAAACCAAAAUUGUAUCAAAAUGAUGUCUCAAUUAUUUAUUUUAUUUAAUUUUUUUAACAUAUACUAAAUUCAUUAAAAUUUGAUUAAUUAUUUAUGUAUAAUUUUAAUAUAAUUAUUUAAUUAUACUUUUCACAAGUCCAUGUACAAAGUCAUCAGGAUGGAAGAUCAAUUGUGAGAGCUUGUGCAGAAAUGGGUUCUUGAAUCGAUAUUAGAUAAUCAAGUAGAUCAAUUGAACUUUCUCCAACACUUCAACGAGUAGAUCUUCCAAUCUCCAUAUUCCAACAUUGUAUCUAAAUUUUUUUAAUACAGUCAAUGGUAAUGUUUUUAUGAAUAGAUAUAUCUGAUUAUCACAUGAUUGGAUCUAUUGAAUAUCAAUUUUACUAUCUAAAGUCAUGAGUAUAGAAGAAUUUAUGAGAAAUAUGCUUACUUUUGUCAUCUUUUAUAAACCUUCUUUUAAUUUGUGCAAAACAUUAUCUUCAUAUAACUUGGUAGUUUUAUCUUCGAUGGAAGGUAAUCCACAUGAUUCCCAAAUAUGUUGGAUCAUUAACCUUAGUCAUACAUAUGGACAACUUGUUGGGAACCCUGGAUUACUCUGUUCCCAUGCCUUGGAUCUUGUAGAAUGCAUGUAAAUCUAUUCUAAACUCUCUAAAUUUAUUGCAAUGGAAUACCAGGUAUUCAAAAACAAUAUUAAUACCACAUAAAUUAUAGAUCUAGAGAAUGAAGCUACAUACAUUUGAUUUAGAUGUUCCCAAUCAAUUCCAAUCAAUGUAAAUAACUUCAAAGUCAUAAUGAACCUCAUAAAAACCAUGAUCUUCCACCCAAUAACUCUUCCUUAUGUCUAGGCACUAAGAUGCUAAAGAUCUCAAGAGUGGAGGUCAUGGUUCUCUCUUUGAAUUGUAGGGAAAGAAUGACAAGACUUAAGAAAUCCUAACCCCCUAAAUUAGUAUUUAUAGCCUUCCUACUUGGCUUAAGUGACUUGAGUCCAUCAUAGGCUUAAACCACUUAAUCUAGUCCAAAAAGAUUGCUAAUUGAUUAAUUAACCCAAUAGAACUCCAAUUAAGCAAUUAUCUCAGUACAGAAAUGGUGCUUACUUAUCCUUGUGUAACCUUGUGUAAUUAUCAGAAUAUCUUUAUGCAUAAAAGUGAACUAAAAGCCCAUCCAAGCCUCAUAAAUCAUGUCAUCGAGGAAUAUAAGCUUAGAGUGGGGACCAGUGGGACCCAUAGGAAUUAGCUCCCUUAGUAUCUAAUUCUAAAGUUGAUUCAAUAUCCAACUAUAGAGAAUCAACUAAACUCUAGUAUUCUAUAUAUAUUAUAGCAAGACACCAAGUGCUUAGGUCUGUGACCUACUAUCCAUUGUAUACAGUCUUCCCAUGAAUUGGUCAUCCAUUGUCUAACAAAGUGAUUGCUAUCAGACUUUCAAUACUACUUUUACAAUUUUUGAGUUACAGAUCUUCCUAUUAUGUAAUCAAAUGACAUACUCUAAUUCACUAAGAGCAUAUGUCAAAUUUCACUAAAGGAAUUAUUGCAGAUCUAGAGAUUUCAUGAUCAUACCUUUGUAGGAUCACCCAAGAGGACACACUGUUGCAAAGUCCAUGAGAUAUCAUGGCGCUUUUAUUGAGAAUGCCUAUUGCUAUAGGUUUCUAUCAAUAGUGACCCAAUCCGUAAGGAAUAUAUUAUCAACUAACAAUCUCACCUAUAGUCAAAGACACUACUAACUUUUGCACAAGUUCAAUAUUCUCUCAAGGUUGAGAGACUAUAUAGUAAAAUAACUUGGUGAAGUUAUGACUAUCCAAUAGCCUUAUAUCAUGACUCACUAUAGAUCCUAUCCUAUGUGUAAUCAUACACACUAGUGUGCUUACCAUGGGAACCUCAUUCUGAUAGCCAAGACUAGUCAUCCCUCUAAUUAGGAAAUGGUGUGCUAUAGCCUCAAAUGGACUGUCCAAGUCCAUGAACCGAUUAUGAACAAAUCAUCUAUGUACAAUGCGAGAUAUGUUAGGCCAAAAUAUUCAUAGAGAUAAUGUAUGGAAUAAGAAUAGAUAAAAGAGAACCUGAAAUAUCAUUAAAUGAAUAAUGUAUUCCAAAUAUGUUACAUCAUAGCAUGCUUUUAAGGACUCUAUCUUAACACAAUUUGCUUCAUGAAUUACAAGUAUAUCUUAAUGAUUUAGAGAGGUGACUACCAUUGUUUGAUUCACUAAUCUCUAUGAUAUUGUCAUAUUGCCAUAGGUAAAUACAUACCUUGUUUGAAAUCAAGCUUUGCAAACUCAGUUAUACUUUCUUCAACAUUUCAAUAGGUAGAUCUCUCAAUAUUUGCAUUCCAAUUUUGUAUCUUAACUUUUUCAAUGUAGUUGAUCGUAAUACUUUUAUGAAUAGAUCUAUUAGAUUAUCUUAGGAUUGAAUUCGUUGAACAUCCAUUUCACCAUUUUCUUGAAGCUCAUAAGUGUAGAAGAAUUUGAAGGAGAUAUGCUUAUUUUUGUCACGUUUUAUAAAUCCUUCCUUAAUUUAUGCAAUGCAAGCAACAUUAUCUUUGAUGGAGGGUAGUCCACAUGAUUCCUAAAUAUGUUGUCUCAGUGACCUUAGUCAUAUAUACUCAUGACUUGCUUUAUAAAUUGCAAGUAUCUCUCAAUGAUUUAGAUAAGCGGUUACCAUUGUAUGCUUCACUAAUCUCCAUGAUAUUGUUGUAUUACCAUAGAUAAAUACAUACCCUAUUUGGGAUCGAGCUUUUGUAGGGAUUUGAAAGAUAACCAACAAUCAUAUAUCUAAGUAAUUGAGAUUCUACUCUUUUAGAAUAAAAUAAACAUAUGGCAUUUGUUCCAUGAUGAUAUUGCAGUAUACAUUUGACUUUAUUCUUGCAAGAAAGAAAGUUGACAAAAAAUGUAAUAGUUGAUAAUGUAAAAUUGUAAGAUACAGUAGUGUACCAAUAGCAAGGUAUUUUUGGACGAAGUAGUUCUCCAUGAUUAUAUUUAGGAUGAAGGAGGUCCUUUUUCACUUUAAGUGAACAAAACUACAUUAAAGAACUUAAUGGGUGUGAUUUAUCCUUAUAUAAGUUCUUCAAUUUUAUUUUAUAUAAGUUCUUCAAUUUUAUUUUAUUUUUUUGUAUGUUAAUUGAUGGACUCAACAUUCCAUUUGGAAAAUGCUUUAUUUCCAAGUUGAAACAAUUUUUUUUUCCCAAAAUCUUUUGUUUGAAAUUAUUUCAUUGUACAUUUAAUCGUUCUUAUAUACUCUUCAAGAGUCAAUAAGAUUGCAACAAUGACAAAACUCCACUUUAAUCCACAUAAGGACAUAAUUUGAUCAAGUGUAUUAUCAUCAUGACCUGAUUAAGAACGUGAUAUGAGAUUUUCAAUCAUUUUAAUCCUUAAGAGAAUUAUUUGUUUCAAGCAUGUUAAUUCUUCAGGGAGUUAUUUGCUUCAUGCAUUUUAAAUCCUUCAAGGACUUGGUUACUUUAUGCAUUUUGGAUCCUUUAGGGAUUUUAACAUAUCUAUGAAUCCAUAUACAUUACAAAGUAUAUAUCUAGUCCUUGAGAAACUAUCAAUAAUGUGAUCAAAUCAUUACAAGGAUGAUACUAGGUCAUCACAUUAAAACCUUAUGUUAUAAAUUUUGCUUUAUAACAUAACAAGCUAUUGAUAUCUGACAAUUUUUAUGUCUUUAGGCAUUAUAAUCCAAGUCCAUUUAUAUUCAAUAGGCACAACAUAUUCUAGCAUUGGACUACAUGCCCAAAUACUCCUCAUUUUGCCAAUAAGUCUAACCUUGUAUGUAUUGUAUCUUUUUAUUUUGGCCAAUUAUAAAUACGUUGACAUUCUUGCGUAAUUCAUUAUUUGGAAUUUUCAUCACUCCAUAUGAUGUCAAAGGUCAUCUAAGAAAAAUAUGAAUUAUCAAUGACAAUAUUAUUUUAAUCUCAUUUUCAUCUUGUCAUGUUCAUAACUAGUAGAGGUCGCUUUUAUUUUUAGGUAUGGAGGUAUCUAUGCCUUUUAAGAGCCAUUUCAUACAAUUUUUGCAUCUUCAGGGGCUAUUAAUUUAAUUUGCACCUCUUCAGGGAUUAUUUGUUCAAAUUGUACUUCUUUAAAGACUAUUUGUUUAAUAUGCACUACUACAAAAAUAGUUUAUGGUGUCACUAUUUACGGUGUCACUUUUAAAAUAAUGACACCAUAGGGUUUAUAAUUAAUAAAGGUGACACAUCAUAUAAAAAAUCUUCAAUUGAGGUAGUUAGAUGAUAUUAAUUUUAUAUUUAUAGUGUCAUUUUUUGGGAAGUGACAUCAUAUAAAAUAAAUUUUUUUAAGUAUUAUAACUUAAUGAGCCCAUUUUUAGAAUUAAUAAUGAUGGAUACUAUAUAAAAAUCCCAUUGUUUCCAUAUCUCACCCACAAUCCAAAAAAUCUCAAUAUAUAAAUCCUAUAUAUAAAAUCAUGAUCUUCUUCAACCUUUUCUCUCACCCAUCCAUAGUCAACACGCUCAAAACCGACAUUCUUCACUUUGUGGACUCCCAGGUAACCCAAAAUCUCUUGGAUCUAUCAUUUUUUUUUCUUUUAUUAAUGCCAUUAUAUUAAUUGUUUCAACAUCUUUGUAUUAUGGUUUUUGUGAAUUGUGUUUUCUUGAGUUGUAGGGAAGAAAAAUUUAGGUUUAAUCUUCUAGCAUGGAAGAAAAAACUAUAGAUUAAUUGGUUUUUUUAAUCUAAACCAAACACAUGAUCAAGUCCUUAAAAAAAAAGUGAAAAAUAGGAAAAAAUGAAUGAUUUUUAAUAUGUAUUUGUGUGAGAAUGACAGGUACAGAAUUUUUUUAAGAUAUACUAUCACAUAAUCUUCAUCCUUUCUAAAAAACGAGAGAGGAAAAAAAAAAGAAUGAUUUUUCUGUUUGUAUCUAAGUGGGAAUGAGAUAUAGAAUUUCGUUGAAAGUAUCCAACCCCAAAAGGACCAAUCCGGGAAGGCAUGUGUGGUAUUGACGGGAGAUGAUAAGAUGGAAAUCAUAACCAUAGCCAUGUUCUCUUUGUGUCUUUCUAUCAUCUUCAAUUAAUUCAUGGGCAUAGAUAUUUUAUUUAGUUUUUAUAUUUAGUUUAUUUAUAGUUUAUUUAGUUUCUAAAAUCCAAUUAGCUAGAUAUUUUAUUUGAUUUUAUUUUUAUAUUUAAGUAGUUGAGUUUUGGAAAGUUUUUAUAUUUUGUUAAUAGAAAUAGAAAUUUUAUAUUUUUUAUUAUUAGGAAUUUCUAUUUUGUUAAAUUGUAAGUAUCUAUCUCAAUAAGAGAUUAUUAAUAUUCAAAUGAAAGUGAUGAAAGAGAGUAAAUAUUUUAAUGCUCAAUUAUAUUUUAAUGUUAUUUUUUUUUACAUAAGGGUUUAUUUAUGUUUUCAAUUUUGAAGUUCCCUUUCCAAGUCCAGCAACAAAAGUAGUGUCCAACCUUAAAAUGGGCAUGUGUGGUACUGACAGGAAAUGAUAAGAUGGAAAUCAUAACCAUAACCAUGUUCUCUCUGUGUCUUUCUAUCCUCUUCAAUUAAUUCAUGGGCAUAGAUAUUUUAUUUAGUUUUUAUAUUUAGUUUAUUUAUAGUUUAUUUAGUUUCUAAAAUCCAAUUAGCUAGAUAUUUUAUUUGAUUUUGUUUUUAUAUUUAAAGUAGUUGAGUUUUGGAAAGUUUUUAUAUUUUGUUAAUAGAAAUAGAUAUGAGGACUUAAAGGGUUUAUAUUUAGGUAGUGCUUAAGCCAAGGAAAAUGAUAGUCCACUAUCUUGACCCUAUGCAUCACAAACCAUGUGAGGACUUAAAGGAUAUCGUAAACAUGUAAGUUCUUCCUAUUAUUUUUCAUAGUAUUAUUUUUAAAUAAAAAAAAUACAUUCACCUCAAACACAUUUUUUUUUAUUUAUAUAUAUUAAAACAUAUAACAUUUACCUAUUUUAAAAAUGUACCCAUUGAACUUAUUUACAUAGGGCUUUUCGAAUAUCUACAAAGAAAACAUCUAAGAGGGAGCCAUCUUAGCAACUAGUGCAGGUGACAUCCAAAAAUUUUUCUUUACACAUUAGCUUAUGCAUUUGCACCAUUUAUAUAUGUGAGUACUAAUGUUAUUUUAUAAUUGAUUGAUUAGUGUCCAAGACAAGAAGGAGGGUUCGAAUGUGGCUACUUUGUUAUGAGAUUCAUUAAAGAUAUAAUUUUUUAUCCUACAAUUAUUGCUUCAAAGGUAUUACUUAUUUAAUGAAUUGUACAUAGUUUUAGGCUUCCAAAUGUUAUGCAUUUUAAUGUUAUUUUCUUAUUUGAUUUCAGUUUGGUAAUAAAAAAAAACAUAUUCUCAAGUAGAAUUCGAUGAAAUUAGAGGAGAAUGGGCUACUUUUGUGCUACAACUAAUCAUGAAUCAUGUUGAUGCAUCAUGAUCACCAUGCAUGGUGAGUCCCUUAGCUACUACAUGAAUUUUUCCAUAGGUAUUGUAUAGUAAUGCUUAUUCUUUGAAUAAUGUUUCUAUUUGAAAAAAAAAAAUUAAUUCUUAGAUUUUUUCAUUUAUGAUAACAUAGAUCCAUGUUUAUUUUCUUCAAUAAAAAUCUCUAAAACUCAUUAAAUUUUGAAAUGCAGGUAUACACUCUUGGGAGGGUGAAAUGGAGAAUAAAAAGAAAGAAGAAGGCAACAAGAUUUUAGGUUUUUAAAUGCAACUCUUAUGUCAUACAUUGUAGGACAUAAAUGUUACUUUAAUUGCAACUGAGAAAUUUAGAUUUUUAGAUGGGACUUCUAUGUCAUUUUAUGGUUAGCCGGUUUUAUGCUUAUGAAAUGGAGGUAUACAUGAAUCUUGGGAUCUUUAACAUUUCUAAAUCAUGUUUUGGUAUGUAUUCACUCUUGUUUUUUAGUUUUGAUGGGUUUGAUAUAUUGGACAUACUAUCCUUUUGUGACCAUUUGAUAUACAAAUAUUAUUAGAUGAUCAAUGUAUUAUGAGUUAUUCCAGAAACAUUAUAGAAAAAUGAGUUAAAUAUAAUAUGAUUGUUAUAUUUAUGGACAAAAUAUAAACAGGUUAAUCUUAUUAAUUCAUAAGCAUUAAAAAAAUCAACAACUAAGACCAAUCAUAUAUUCCACAAUAAUUUACAAUGAUGUGAUACCAUAACUCAAAGGUGAUGCAUUUAAUGUGACAUCAUAACUCAAAGAUGAUGUAUUUAAUGUGACACCCUAUCAUCACUANNNNNNNNNNNNNNNNNNNNNNNNNNNNNNNNNNNNNNNNNNNNNNNNNNNNNNNNNNNNNNNNNNNNNNNNNNNNNNNNNNNNNNNNNNNNNNNNNNNNUAAUGUUAUUUUCUUAUUUGAUUUCAGUUUGGUAAUAAAAAAAAACAUAUUCUCAAGUAGAAUUCGAUGAAAUUAGAGGAGAAUGGGCUACUUUUGUGCUACAACUAAUCAUGAAUCAUGUUGAUGCAUCAUGAUCACCAUGCAUGGUGAGUCCCUUAGCUACUACAUGAAUUUUUCCAUAGGUAUUGUAUAGUAAUGCUUAUUCUUUGAAUAAUGUUUCUAUUUGAAAAAAAAAAUUAAUUCUUAGAUUUGUUCAUUUAUGAUAACAUAGAUCCAUGUUUAUUUUCUUCAAUAAAAAUCUCUAAAACUCAUUAAAUUUUGAAAUGCAGGUAUACACUCUUGGGAGGGUGAAAUGGAGAAUAAAAAGAAAGAAGAAGGCAACAAGAUUUUGGGUUUUUAAAUGCAACUCUUAUGUCAUACGUUGUAGGACAUAAAUGUUACUUUAAUUGCAACUGAGAAAUUUAGAUUUUUAGAUGAGACUUCUAUGUCAUUUUAUGGUUAGCCGGUUUUAUGCUUAUGAAAUGGAGGUAUACAUGAAUCUUGGGAUCUUUAACAUUUCUAAAUCAUGUUUUGGUAUGUAUUCGUUCUUCUUUUUUAGUUUUGAUGGGUUUGAUAUGUUGGACGUACUAUCAUUUUGUGAACAUUUGAUAUACAAAUAUUAUUAGAUGAUCAAUGUAUUAUGAGUUAUUCCAGGAACAUUACAGAAAAAAGAGUUAAAUAUAAUAUGAUUGUUAUAUUUAUGGACAAAAUAUAAACAGGUUAAUCUUAUUAAUUCAUAAGCAUUACAAAAAUCAACAACUAAAACCAAUCAUAUAUUCCACAAUAAUUUACAAUGAUGUGAUACCAUAACUCAAAGGUGAUGCAUUUAAUGUGACAUCAUAACUCAAAGAUGAUGUAUUUAAUGUGACACCCUAUCAUCACUAGAAAUAUAUGGUGUCACUUUUGAAUGGGUCACCAUUUAUCUACUUUGGUGUCACUUCCAAAUACGUCACCAAUUGGUACCCUCUAUGGUGUCAGUGGAGAAGGUGACGCUAUGUUGUAGUGACACCUUAUGUUUAUGGUGACUCAUUAUAAAUGUCACCAUAUACCUUUUUCCUUGUAGUGAUGUGUCUCUUCAAAGGUAUUUGUUUUAGUUGUGUCUCUUUAAGGGUUAUAAGCUUCUCAAUUUUGGUCUGAUCAAUCAUUUUAAGGCCUCUUUAAGAGUAUCAAGUUUUUCAUGUGUUUUUCCCCAUGCUUUCUUCUUUCAAGGAAUUACAUCCUUUGAUUCAACAAGUCUCUUAUGCUUUAAGUGUACCUUGGAUUCAUUUGUUUUUAUAAUAGUUAGUUGUCCCACCAAAACAUUAUUUUUUCAUCAAUUAUUUUACUAUACUUCAAGCAUGUAUCUACAAUUUUGUUAGUUAAUUGUCCUCUAGGGACAUCAAUUUAUAAUAUUACUUUCAUAAAAAAAAUCUAAGAAAUUUCAUGUCAUUCUUCUAGAUCUAUAAUCAACUUCCUCCCUCUAACAAUGAAAAAAAUUAUUUUAUCAAAAUAAUAAUUUGUACAACAUGUCAUACUAUUUUUUUUAGGAAUAUAGAUAAAUUAGUCACUAGAUAAAAACUUCUGAUUUUAUAAUAUAUAUCUAUAUGACGUGUAACCUUAGGGACCAUGUUGGUCAUAUCAAAUUCUUUUAGAUAUGAUCGACUAUAACGUGUCAUUCACAUGAAAUUGUAUCCCAUUAGUGACAUAAUUUUAUCUCUUUUAGAGUCUACAAUCAAGUUUACUAGAUAUAUAUUAACAUCAAUUAUUAUAUACAUCGUACAAUUGAUGAGGUAAAUAUCUUGGAAUAAAUCUAUCAAACACUUAAUAUUAUAUGUACACAACUAAUAUAUAUGACAUGCAUGUAUUAAAAGAGUAAUUUAUUUAUUUAUUUUUCCAUAAGAUGGAAUGUACCAUUUCAAAGAUUUCCAUCUACUUAGCUAGCAAAAAGAAUACAACAGCUACAAUCAAAUCAAAUUUGAAUCAUAGCAAAUUAAGAAUAUAUAAGAUAUAAUAACUUCAAAUUAUGAACAUUUAUCAUAUUUAUAUAUAUAGUUUCUCAUAAUUGUAAGGUAAGUGAAUUUCUCAUCUUGAUAUGAUUCCAUAUAUAUAGUUUAAUAAGAACUAUAUAUAGAAAAAAACCAAGGAUAAAAAUUACACUAAAUUUCUAUUAAAUAAUAAAAAUAAUUACGUAACUUGUAGCUAUGAUAAAUAACCUUAGCAUAGCUUUUGGUUAGAGUAUUUAUUUUCUUGUUUUCAUAAAUUCUGGUUAUGAAAUAGAUUCUAAAUAUAUUCAAUAUUAUUUUUUGUACUUAUAUGACUUUGGGCUAUAAUUUUUCUAUAAAAACCAUUUUGUAUAUAGCCUCAAAUCAUAGGAGGUUAUAAAAUGGACAUUUAUUCUUGUUAGAGUUUGGUGACCCAAAUCCUAUUUGGUCCGUUGAUGAAAAAUAUGGACAUUGGCAGUCCCGAAUCUUUGAUGCCUCAUGAAAGGUCCAACAGCGAGGUUUCUUUCUCGCCACUGGUGGGAUAUUCAUUAUGACUGGGGAUGUUCUUCCAUGUUUUGACGCUUCUACUAUGUUCUCCAGAGGACACAUCUUGCAUCAUCACUGUUCCUUUCACUCUUGAUACUGCUUCUAACCAUGGUGUAAUUGUGGCAUCUAAAAUUGGGAUUCUGAACAAAGCUUCUUAUGUUAGUUUAGUCAAGAAUCUUCUACAGAAACCUACCAUGGAGGAGCUUGUUAAGAACCAGGCAAUUCUGGAUGUUGUAAGAACAUUGCUUGGCACGGGAAUGACAGCAGUUAGAGGUAAAGCAUGGGCGAAGGCUUCAGAUGGCACUCAAAUUCCCCUAUCAAUUGUUUACUGAAAGGAUCUUGGGAAACUUGAUGGACCUGAUCCAUUACUUCUUUAUGGCUAUGGUUCACAUGAGAUUCGCAUAAAUCCAAGUUUUAAAGCUUCAAGGCUGUCUCAUUAGAUCGGGGUUUUAUAUUGGCAAUAGCACACAUUCAUGGUAGUGGUGAAAUUGGGAAGCAGUGGUAUGAGAAUGGGAAGUAGUUGAGAAAGAGAAAUACAUUAGCUGAGUAUCUAAGAGACAUUAAGUUUUGUUCAAAAGAAAAAUUGUGCGUCCAUGGAGGAAAUGCAGAAGAUUCCAGUUUGUGGGCCAGUUGGAGCAGGGAAAUCAUCACUCUUAUAUGCUGUACUUGGAGAGAUACCAAAAAUCUCAGGAACUGCUGAUGUAUUGGGUUCCAUUGCUUACGUUUCUCAAACUUCUUGGAUCCAACGUGGUGCAUCACCUAUAAGCCAAGAUUCUCCUGGUCCGUCCACAAAUACAGGUUCUAUGCAAUUAUUGUUGAUUAGAACCAUGACAGUAUCCUGCUGAAUACAUGUCUUGCCUUCCCGUUCGCUUCAAUACUUCACACUCCACUUGGUGAACCAUCCGCACCAGCAGAGCAAUCACUUCAGUACCUCCAGUUAUUGGCACCCCAUAUUUGACAACCAGUGCAAAUGAUUCCAUGCAUGGCUACCUUUGAUGUGCCAUUUUUUUAAAGCCUCUAUGUCUCAUCCCUUAAUGCUUCAUGCAUGCAUUUUAAAAAAAUUGCUUUUAAAACAUUGAUUUUUGAAAAUCCGGUUUUCAAAUGAUUUUAAAUCCUUUUUUAUUCAUCCUUUAGAAUUUUUAGGCAUUAAAAUUUCAUUUUCCAAAUUGGUUUGCUGCCAAUAUUUCCUUCAAGCAUGCAUUUCUUUUAUUUUCUUUGGUUUUCAAUAAAUUUCCGAAUUUCUCAUUGUAGACCCUCUAUUUUGUCUUCUAGGCACAUUCCAUCUAGGAUUGCCUUCCUACAUCCUCUAUUGCCCUAUUGUGCACUUAUGGUCCUUUUUUGAGUUGUUUUUGAGCUUUCAUCGGUGGUCCAUUGUAACUAUUUUGAUCACUAGUUUUGGAUUCUUUUGGAGAUAUAUAUCUUGGAGGGAUUAGGUGGAUCUCGAUCAUGAUUUUAGUGACCCUAGGUUUAGUUGAGAAAUAGUUUAGAAAUGUUCUUUGAGUUUAGUUUAGUUUGAGUUUAAUUUAGUUUAGAAGUAAUUUAGAAGAACUUUUUGAGUUUAGUUUAGUUUAGUUUAGUUUAAAAGUAGUUUAAAUUAGUUCUUUGAGUUUGGUUUAGUUUAGAAAGUAAGUAAGAAUAGUUUAGUGAGGUUGGCUUAGCCUAAUGAGUCUUAGAAUAAGUUAGGGAGCUUUGGUUAAGAACUUAGAUGAGUCUAGUGGGUUUGGUUUAGAAUGAGAUUAGGUGUUAGUUUAAUUAGAGAGUUUUAGUUAGAAUUAGGUUAGUUGGUUGAGUGAAGGUUAGGGAGAGUUGCCUCUAGGUUAAUAGGAUGGUAUAGGAUAGGGAGAUGUUGGAGGGUAAGUUAGGAAUUCUCUAGAAGGUGGGUGAAGUAGUGAAGGAUAGGAGGAGGUUGAAGAGUAAGUUAGGAAUUCUCUAGAAGGUGGGUGAAGUAGUGUAGGAUAGGGAAAGGUUGGAGAGUAAGUUAGGAAUUCUCUAAAAGGUGGAUGAAGUGGUGUAGGUUAGUGGUGGCUUGGCAAGCAAGAGAGGGGGAAGAUAGGAAAAAAGGAAGAAAAGAAGUGGUUCUCUAGAGAAAGAGAAUUUGGGGAGAACUUUGAGAGAACUUGGAGAGAAACAAGGACAGCCAUGGAAAACUUGAGAGACCAUUAUCAACUUGAAAAACGUCAAGAUAAAACUUGGAUUUGGAAACACCUUGAGGUAAGAUUAUUUAAUUUCCUAACUUGAUUUUAUUUUCUAUAUCUUCUUCUCAUACUUCUCAUUUUCAUGAUUUUGGAUGUAUUAGACUAAAUUUGGUGUGGAUGUAUAGGCCACACGAAGUAUUGGAUUUUUUUAUGAUCCCUUGAUGUUGAAUCUUGAGAAUUUGGUGAAAGUAAUUUGAGGUUGAAUGCUUGAAAUUCAUUUAUGUUUACAUGUUGAUGAAGUUUGAGGAAUUUUUGGAGUGUUGAUGACUAUUAACUUAUUGAUCUUUUGAUAUAUGCAUUUUUUUAGUUUUAGAGAAUCAUUAAUGAUCAUAUAUUAAAGUUUGAUUGAAAUUUUUUGAUGAUUAGUGUGUGAAUGAUUGGUGUUAAAUAUUGUUUGAUACAUGAUUAAAAUUAUCUUUAGGAUCAAUUUAGAGAAUCCCUACAUAUGAAAUUUUCUAAAAGUUGUUUCUUUAUUACCACUGUUGAUAGUUCACUUCAGCUUUGAACUUGUAAAUUGGAAUCCGACCAUUCAAAAACUCUUUAAAUUUUUUCUAAUUAUUCUAUGAUAUUUUAGGCUUCUUGAAUUUGAUUUUAGAAUUUUGUUUGAGUGAUUUUUUUUUUUCAAUUUGAAGAUAGAAAUCAAUCUUUUAGAAGGUUUAGUUUUCACUCUGUUUUUGACACUCAAUCUCGUUUCUUAAAAUAAAAUUAUUAAAUGACCUCUUUAAUUUCUUUCGACAUCUUUCACUUAAUCUAGACUCCUUAAAUUCAAUUUUUGACAUAUAAAAUGUUAAGAAAUAAUUAUUGAAAUGAGAGAUAUGAUUUUUUCUUCUUCUUGCACUUACUGCACAGGUACUCUUCUAGAGCUACGAGAUGUUAAUUUAAUUUCAAAUAUGUUAUGGAAAUAAUUCUUACAUAAUAUUGAUGAGUUGCAUGAAUUUUUGUAGGAUUUUAGGACAUCUAAGUUAAUUAAAAAAAUAAUUCUCACAUGCUAUGGAAAAUUACUCUGUUCUGGACCUAUUAUGCUUCUUAUGAAAUCUGGCACUAAAUGGGAUUUAAUUAAUUAAUUUGACCACUUGGAUGAUAAACUAGACAUAUAGGAGAUAUUCUCUGAAAAAUUUCAUGAUAAAAUUCGACUUUUGGAUAUUUUUUUCAAAUUCAUUUUGUAGAGUCUUCUACUAUCACUUGCUGAUUUUCUUGUGAAGUAACCCACUUGUGAAUAAGUUUGGUAAUAAUUGUGAACUUUUUGUUGUCAUUGAUUCCUUGGUGAUUUAGUAACAUGCUUAGGUCUUUAAAUUGAUCUUUGAUGCAUGUUUAGGUUACUAACAAAGGUAGGUAUAGCUGCAUGUUGAUCUUCACAUUUCACACACACUAAUGCACAUAUUUAGCUUGAACAGGUGUUCUUUAUUUAUUUUGAUUCCCUUUUUUGGUCGUGUGUUUGUAAAAAUUGUUUUCAAGAAUUUCAAAAAUGAUCAUUCUCAUUUCUAAUAUCCUCUUACUUCCAUAGGUUCAAAAUGAGUUUUCAAAAACAUCAAUGCUACCUUUUUUUUUGAAUUGGUGUGCAUUUCAAAUUUGUUUUCAAAAUGAAUUUGUGACCUUUCAUGGGAAUGAAAUUUGAACAUGGCUUCUUAUGGAGUUCUUUAAUCAUGGAAGAUUUCAUUCAAGUUAAAUUGGGAAGUGGUAACUCCCUACAUGUUCAUUUUCGAGUUUUGAAAUCUUAGUUUUCAAGUAAUAGCUUAUUUUAGUGCCUUAUUCCGUACUUUCGAGAUUGAUCUAUGAAUUUAAAUUAGAAGAUGACAUGUUUAAUUCAUGAUUAUAUUUUUUUUCCUAAUAUUAAACUCUCUGAAUUUAAUUUUAGACACUUGCAUUACUUAAUUUGGAUUUUCCUAAUAGAAGAUAUAAUUUUGUCUUUAGGUACUUUGUACACAAGCUCUGUUUUGGGCAUUCUGAAUGGUAAAUUGAUUUUAAAAACGUUAGAUUCGUGAUUAUGCAUUUUUCCUUUGAAAUAGACAUUAUCAAUAUUGUGUAUGAAUUUUGGGAAACCUAGGUGGGUUAAAAAAAUUCAUUUUUGCAUGCCCUGUGCACUGACCCUGUUUUGAACCAAUUUGAUUGUUUUGAGUGCUGGUACUAUUUGACAUAUGAUUUGUGAAUUUGUCCAAUUGGGCUAGAAACUAUACUCCUUGGAGUUAUUGCUCAAAUUUUUAUUUUUAUUUUUUAUGUAAAAAUUCUACUUCUAGAUUUUAGCUGAAUUCAUUGUGUAUUGAUUGAUGGGAAUAAUUGAUUUGGCCUUUCGGACAUUGAUGUAGACUUAUUAAAGGCCAUACCUAAUUUUUAUCAUGAUGAAAUGAGCAUGUUUAGUAUUUGUUUUAGAUUUAUUUAGAAGACUUUUAUAUGCUAUCCUGUUUUGCUGUUUGCUGAAUGUAUAUCAUAAUUUAGUCAUAAUCUUUUAUGCAUGCCUCAUCACUUAGAAUUUGUAUCUUUUCUUCUAAUUCAUUCUUUGUUUACCAUGAUGCCUUGUAUAUAUGAUAUAACUCUUAGAUUUAUUACCUUGUUAAACUAACAAUUUCUUUUGAGGGAGUGCUUGCUUAUAUACUAAUAAGGUAUGUACUUUCAUCCUUUGUUUCUUUCGUAUAUAUUUUAUAUUCUUUGGAUUGAUUUGAUUUCUGUUGUUUGGUGUAUGUAUAUGUGCAUGUAUUUGAAUUUAUGUUUGAUUUUGUAUAUAUGCCUGUGACAUUUCAUAGAGAAAUAAACUAGUCCCUGUCAUUCUCAUGCAAAUGCAAGCAGUUGCUUGUCACCUAAAUGCAUAACGUCUCCAAAUGGUGAUAAAUAUCACUUGAGUUUUGUGAUUUUCGUUCUUUUGUAGAAUGAUGCAAGUAUUGCACACCUCGGAUAUAUUAUUAAAUCUUGUCGUUUACAUUAACCUCGGAUCAAAACCUCUAUAAAUCUACUAAUAAAAGAAAUAUGCCACUUCCAAGUCAAAACAAGAAGUAUUUAUCAAUCUACCAGCAGUUACAAACUUCUUUAUAUAUUGCAUCUAAAGUAGAGUGGUUCAAUUUCAACCCCCUCCAACUGAUCUCUUGAAGACAAUAAAAUCACAAACAACUAAACUAUUGGAGACCAAGGACUGAUUAACAACAAAAUUCAAAUUUUAACAAUUCAUUUUCCUUUCCAAAUGCAGUUAAGGGCUAAUACAAAUAGGUAAUGUCUAAUAAAAAGGACCCCUUUAUGGUGAAUUUUUAGAAACUUUGGUUAGUAAAAUUUGUGUCACAGGUUUAUUAUUGGCUGAAGAGGCUUAAUAAUAAAAGGUAAAAUUGUAAAUGAAUUUCCUAUUCUAUAAGAAAAUCUAUUUUGUGAAUAAAAAGAAAAAAGAAAAAACAAUUGUCAUUGUUCAGAGGUAUUUUUGAAUUUUUUUUAUACUUCUCUCAAUUUUGAAACUUUAUGGAUUUUCCUUACAAAAUAUCAACUGGACUGAUGCAAUUCUCAAACAUUUUGUAGUGAGAAAACUUCCAAAGUGUACUCAAGACUGCUUAAGAAAUAUUUACAAAACAAAUUUCCCAGUAGAUUUAAAUAGAAAUAUUAAAACCAAAAUUUCAAAAGAAGAAAUUUAUUCUGUAAAUAUUAAUUACCAAAAAUUCAGUUAGAAAGAGUUCUUAACUCCAUAUUAAUUGAUAAAUCAUUAAAAAAUUUACUAUCAGCAUGAAGUAGUGCCUUAUCACUUACGUUAUAAAUUCAUAUCUAUCAUAUAUUUAAUUAUUAUGUAAAAAAUAAAUAAAAUUAACUUAUUUGUAAUUAAUAAUAUUAUAUAUACAAUUAAAUGUGCAAAUCUAACAAAAAAAAAGGCCUUUCUUUUAGUGGAAUCUCAUCCCAUGCUUGAGCGCUAAGGUUUGACCUAUAGCCUUGUGGGUGAGCUUCAAUGAAUUUUUUAUGGGCUUAAGAGGAGCAGUCCUACAUCAAAAUUUUAAGAAAAAAGUAUGGUGCAUUUAAUAGACAAUGCCCCAAGCCAUCAUCACAAGCAAACCAUGGGUUGGGUAUGGACGGCAUAGACUCCAGGGGCCUUAAAAUUUUGAAGAACAUAAAUGCUGACGUGGCAGUGAAAUAGCCACAAUAAAUCGGGCAAAUAGUGAUGAAAUACCUUGAAAAUUAGAGCAAUGAGAUUUCCAUACCACAUUUUGACACCUUACCCUUGUACCUUGGUCCAACUUGUUUGUACCUUGGUUCAAUGACCUAGAUUUCAUUAUAAAUAUUCAAUUAUCCAAAUUUGGACUUAGCAUUUUCCUAGUUAUUUGGUUAUUUUGCAAAAGUGUUAAAAAUAGUAGGGUGGAAUGUAGGAAACCUUUCUUAUACACAUAAAGCCUGUAUAGGCAAAGUUACAAAUGACUCUUAGCUAGAAAUAAGGAAACAACCUGCUACUCAUUAGAAAAUAACACCCCACUACCACUACCACUACUUACGUGGAGAGACUAAGGACUAGCACCUCAUUAACCAUUUCUUAGAGGAUAGGGCAAAUGAAACAUACCACUAAGGUAAAAUAAAAUAAAUAAAUUUAAAACACAUACCAACCCGUUUCACAAAAAUUAGAACUCGCAAACAGUUGUUAAACAUAUAUUAGAUCCUUGACAUGAUUGAUAUGCUUCCGAGGAGAGCUGCCUUGUCCAUUAGCAACAAAGAAAUAUUGAUCCUUUUUCAAAUUCUAACAAAGAAUGUAUGUAGGCUGUAUAACAUUUUUAAGGACUAGGCAUAACCAACCAAACUUUUUUCGCUACUGAUUCUCAAGAUAUUACCUAAAAACAUGCAAAGACAAAAAAAUUCCAGACAUGAGCUAAAUCAAUUAAUCAAGAAAAAAUGGAUGAUUGAAAGAGAAAAUGAUGCAGUCCCUUUUCAGACUUGAUCAGUAACCUUCAUGUGGUUGAGCAAGUGACAAUGGUGUUGGCAUGGAUAUUGAAGACUUUGGGCUUUGUAACUUUUAGCAAAAGUAUAAAUAUAGUUAUGAAGGAGAUAAAAAAAACUUAUGUAAAUGACAUGGUAUUGAUCUUCAAUCUUAUCUCAAAAUAGAAUGAGAUAGAUUCAAAUAUAGGACCCGUUCUUUGCGGAGUCAGGAAGCAUAAUAUAAUGAAUGAUAGGAGUUCCAGAUUUUGACAUUCGUCACUAAGCCAACACCAUUCAUAAGCAGGUUUGUUUUAUUAUUGAAAAGAAACAUGAGAGGCAGAGCGUAGGCACCAGUACAAAAAAGACUUAUGAGCAUAAUACUUGGUAGAUGCUAUAAAAAAUGUGAUGGUGGCAGCAAUUAGCUUCCCAGCUUCAGGCUUUGUCGGGAAAAGUUGAGAUGCUAUCAACUUCAUAUGUUCAAAAAUUCGACAAAUAAUUAUAAAAAUAAUUCCUCUCUCACCAAGGAAAAUACUCUGAAAAAUUCCACUUUUGCUGCCUGUAUCAGCCAAAAAUAAAAUCAAGCUGACGAGAGUUAAAUAGAAACAUGGAUUCAAACAACACAAGUAAUAAUUACCUGAUAUGCAUCUCCAUGCUCAUGGUCAUCAUUUGGCUUUUUCCACACCUAGAGUGAUUAAAGUGAAUCAAUUGUUAGUUUAAGAUAAACUUGAAGCACCAUAACAUUUUGGUCACAUGCAAAGUCGUAUUCAUUUUCUCUUCAAUUACAAGAAGCAAGUCAACGAAAAAAAAAAAAAAAACAGAAAGAGUUAAUCCCCAAGUCUGAAUUCUCACCCUUCUCUAGAAAAACAGAGGAUAUGAAGACAAUGAGAAUUGAGACUCAUAGUUUUGCUGAUUCAAGUGGUACCAGAAGGUGUGACAGCACCAAUUAAGGCCACCACACUGCCUCCUUUCACUGCCUUCACUGCUUUAUCACACUGCCUUAUUAAUGUAGGAAUGAAAAAGUUGUGUUCAUCCACCAUCAAUUCACUCUAUCAAACAAGACCCAAACAGAUAUGGAGUAGAGGAAUUAAAUUUCAAUGAGCUAAAGUGGGAUAAAGGGCAUUUCAAAUAAAGGACAAUAGCGCAAUAAGUGACUCUUCAAAAUGAGCAAUAAAUACAAGAAUUUAUCAAAUGCAUAGUAAACUACAUUGAAUUUCUCUGCUAAAUCUUCAAACUUCUCCUUAGUGUAGUCAAUCGCCAAAUCAGUUCCCAAGCUCUUCAUUAGCUCCAGUUUUCCUGUGCUUGAAGUAGCAGCACGACUCUUGAGGCACCAAACUUGUUUUGCAUGCUGGCUCAAGCCAUAAAAAAAUGAGGAAAAAUGGAAUUAUUGUUUCUAUAUCGUAUUCAUUUGCCUUAUCCUAAUUAUUUAGGGGGCAACAGUAGCACAAAUUUUGUUCUGUUCGAUCUACUGAGAGCCCCUAUCUCGAUUUUUAACAACUAAUAAAUGGAGGAACCCCAACCAACUGCAACAGGAGGUUCAUAUUUUAGGUACAAAAGAUUUUUUUUCCACUGUAGGCCAUGAAUAGAUAACAUUUAAAAUGGAAAAUAAAUAAUUAGGAACUGAAAUUCAAAUGCCUAGAUGACAAGGCUUCCAACUCCACCAACACCACCCAAAACAAGAAUUGAUUUACCAACAGAAAAUCCAGUCCUUCCGAGACCAUCAUAGGUUGUCUCAAUUGUACGAGGAAGUCCAGCAGCUUGAACAAAAUCCAGAUUCUUUGGCUUUAGAGCCAACAGUUUCUCUUCAAUAGUAGUGCAUUUUGCAAAUGAGCUAAACUGCUUAGGCCCGUCCAAUGUUUUCUCAUUUAUGUUUCCAUAUAACUCUGAAUAGAGUAAAUAGAAAGGGAUCAUGCAGAAACCCCCAAGUAAUUGCGUAUUUCUUCUUUAAAAUGAAUUUCAGAAUUCUAUAGAUUGGUUACCAAUAGUCCAUGCAAGAACACACCUUCUCCAAAGUGAUGAAAACGUUUCCAAUCUCUGAUGGCAAUCUUCCUUUUAAAAACCUUUGAAACAAGCUUAAUUGCAUAGUAUUUCAUGGGGGAUGUCAUAUUUGGUAUCAAGACUUUGUCAUGCUAAAAGAAAAUGGACGUGGAGGGUAACAAUUUGGAAGGGAUGAAGAGGUCAAAGUUCAGCAUUUUUUUUUCCUCCAAAAUUUCUUGUUCUCGUGUAGGAUUCUUUAAGGGUAGGGCAGUUUGUCUUUUCCAUAUUUCAUUACUUGAGGUCAAGGGUGAUGGUUAAGCUUCUCUUGUUGAGCCCUUUUGUUUUUUUUUUUUUCCUUCUUUUUGGGGGUGGAAUUUUCUCAAUUUCUUUUGUGUUUUCAAAUAUGUUUUAGAAGUAAAUUUUAUGGAUAAUAUUUUAUUUUAAUCAUUCUUUAUCGUAUAAUUAUUUUUUAAAACAAUUCUCAUCAAAUAACAAAAAAAGUAAAAAUAAUUAAAAUAUAUUAAAAACAAACAAGGACCUUCUGAUCAUGGAUUCCUUGUUUGCUUCACUCCAUGCCUAAUAGUUUCCUCUUUCUUAGUAUUUAUUCUUCAACUUUACUUGUAUAAAUAAAUGGUUAGUUCCUUCAUCAAUGAAGGGUAGCUAGAGAACUAUCAAUACCAAUGAAUAGUGACACCAUAAUCACCCUUCAUUCUGCACAUUCACAUACACCUUAUCACCUCUAUGAAUCCGAAUGACCGGCCCUAGAAAGCUUUCAUUCACAGUUAGCAUGCUCUUUGUGCUGCACAACCUUGUCAAAUUGGACUUCUUUAGCUACAGGAGAUAAAAAGGAGAGGCAAUAUACAAUGUGACUAACAAAAAAGACCCUGGAUUCAGACAAAAACAGGCAAGUGUUAAGGUAAUACUCACAACAAAGUCAUAAAAAGAGACUUCCAAAGCAUAUUCAUGGGACAUGUAGCUACUUUCAUUAUUAGAACAAUUCAAUUAGUAGUUGUUUCAUUACAAGUAUGUAUAUACACACAUGCAAAAAAAAAAAAAAAAAAGGCCAUGUUAUGUGAGAAUCCACAUAUUUUUAGGAACAAAAGCUCACCAAAUGACCAAAUUACUAAAGGAGAAAGCAUCAACAGAAGAAAAAUGGAUACAAGAGAGCUACUCACCAUAACUGUGAAUAAUGAAAUAUUCACUAGAAGUGCAGAAGGGGUUGUUUUAUUUUAUUUUAUUUUUCCAUCAUAUGGACAGAUAACAUCAUAUGCAGGAACAGGUCUAAAGAGAGCAUUGGGCAACUCAGCAGAAACCACACUUGAUAAACUCACUUGGAUCAAGUAUUAAUGAUUAAAAUCAUUUAAAUACUGAUCUUUACAUUAUCCUAUAACGUUUUCUUUUCAUUUAAAUGCAUUGUCAUCAUAAUUUAUAAGAUGAAUGCAUUACUCCCAAAUCAACCCAUUUAAUUCUCAAUUCAUCAUAACCGAGGAGCUGUCUCAUUGAAGUCAUGUGUUGCUUAAGCACCAGUUUUAAUAAUUUAUCAUCCCAUAAAGCAACCAUAAGUUCAUGUUUAACUUCAAACCCACCAAAGAGGAAAUAAGAAUUUCCAAUACCUAACAAGUCAAAUUAUGAGCAUAAAUACAUACAUUUUAAGCAUGUGUGAUGAAAUAGAUAAUUCUAUUCCCCAAAAUUAACAUAAGAACAAUAUAAUAACAGAUGCAAAUAUAUUUUGAUUCAUUCAUAAUACAAAUAAGAGGCCUCUUAAUACAUACUUCUUAGGCCAUUGGCGUCAGAUUCUUUAAGUCUUGCAGUGAUAAUCUCCCUGGCAAACAACCAAAACAUAACCGAUCUAAAUUCCACCUGCCAAGAUACCAUGAUUUUCAAUUAUUAUAUGAGCAGAAACAUUGAAAGAGUUGGACAAUCCAUCAAAAUUGAUUCAGCCUAUCAUCUUUUUCGACAGCAGAAUAUGUAGGCAUGCCACAAUCCGAGAUAGAUAAAGUAUGAAAACCAAAUUUUAGAUUUAAGUAUACCGUAUAGGUUGAAGCACUAUUCCUAGGGAAGACAAAACCACCAACUAUAGACCUGAUAUCAUUAACAAAGAUACACAGCCCCAAAUUCGCAAUAUCCUUCAUUACAACACAUUCUUCUCAGUCCCUUAAAUGCUUUGAAAUCACAAUAACAAAUAAAAAGCGCAAAGAUAAUGCUCAAUCUCUAGACCUUGUCUAAGAAGAGACUCUCAAGCUCUCAUUUGAUGGCUCCACUGAGAGGAAGGUCCAGAAGAUGAGGUGGCAAUCCAUGCUUAAGACCUUUUAUAUAUAAUUAUUUUGUGUAAAAUUAAUAUUGAAUUAAUUAGGCUUAACUUGUAAUAUGAUAUAAUUCAAAUCAUGCAUUUGGGUUUUGUUUCAUGUAAUUUGAAAUGAAAUAAGAUAAAUCACUUUGUUUCUUAUGCAAUUUUUGUUUGCAUUUAAAAAUUUUGAGAUACUAUAAUUAUUUCAAGUAUGAGUGCUUUCCAAUAUUUAGUUUUUUUAUUCUCUUUUUUUCCUCCCCACAGUAGUAGACCGAGAAUUUCUUUUCCAAAUUAUUAUGGAGAUAAAACGGAAUGAUUGCACUAUUAUUUGUUCUUUAAAUGCACUUGUAAGAUAAAUUUUGUCUAUAAUGUUCUUUGGGAUCAUCAAAAGAUGCAUAUGGGUUCUCUAUUAGACUUCUACAUAUCUUGGGUUUUUAUCUUAUUCAUUUGUCUCUAAAGUUGUGUGUUUGUUUAUCUCUGUGUAGGGGUUAUCGGGCUACAAGGCUUAAAAACUAGCUCUCCCGACACUCAUGGUAAACAUAUGUAGUUGAAAACAUUUGUUUUGUCAUGCAUGAGAGAACCUUAGACGAGACUCAAAAACUUGAAAGAAUAAAGGGAAGAUGUUGUCCUUUAUGAUGGGAUGUAUGGCGUUAUGAUCUUAAAUCUUUUGUGUUAUUUCCUGGUUAUAUCUAAAACUUCCUCUGGUUUUGCAUGUCUCAUAUUAUUUUUGGUAGUUCUCUUAGCUUGGAUCUGGUAAGGAAUGAAUAAAAUAAAUUAAAGUAGAGAAAGAUUCAAUAUGCAUUGACAUUGAGAAUGAAAGUUUGGACGGUGUGUAUCAAAUAGGGAACAAAACUAUGAAUAUGAGGGUCCAAUGUGUUCAGAGUAUGUAGGAUAGCGAACCAUAGCUAUGUGGUAGCACCUUGGUUACUAGCCUUUCUAAUCAACCUCAGCCGAUUUAGACUUAUUUAAGUGGUAUCAUUAGUUGAAAAUGUGUCAUGGGGUAUGACACUAUAUUAUUCUGAGCUUAAAUUUUUGUGAUUUUGGAUGGGGAUAGCAUUGAGAUUGCUUAAUAAUACCCUAUUCAACUUCUUUUUUUUUUCUUUUUUUUUUCUAAUUUUGAUCUUCAUAGAAAUGUGAAAUUGAUAACCAUCUCUCUUUGUAAGGAAUCCCACUUUACGUUGCAUUGGCAUGGGCAUAGGCAUACAACAUAGGCUAGUGAAUGUGUGUCAAUUUUAGGUAUGAGGUGUGAAACAUGAGCUGAUUGUGGAUAUCUGCAUUGCAUGAACUUUAUGGUUUCGGGAUUCAUAUUCUUUUAUUUCUAAUAACCCAAACUUGUGAGAUGGGUUUGGGACAUGAGAGUUGGCCCACCCACCCUUUGGUUAAACACUUUUCCCUCCUCUUAUAAUCAGGAAAAAUAAGGGAUAUAAGUGAAAAAGAUUGCAUUUAGGGAUUGAACAAAAGAGAGACUAAAGAUGGAGGUAAAGAAAAUAUAGGGCUAAGUGUAACAAGAUCAUUAACAAAUGCAAUUUGAAUGAAUGAAAAUAUCUUGAGUGUGGGUAUCACAUGUAUGCUUUGGAUGGUUCUUGGGUCCCACUCUUACCAUAAAAAAUCCUUGGAUUACUUGGUGUUGGCUAUCCUUAUAUAUGUUAAGGCUUGUUUUUUUAGUCUAUUUUGAGCAAUUUUUACGCCUAAAAAUGAUUUUCCAAAUUGAUUUUUGACAUUUAGGAUUUUACUAAUUUCUUAACAAAAUAUCUCAUUUUUAUAAUAUAUUUUUAUUAUAAAAUUGAGUAAAUAAAAUAAAAAAUGAUUUAAAAUAUGAAAAAAUUAAAAAUAUAAAAAUAAAAUAUUUAUUUUUCAUUAUCAAUUUAUCAAUUUUUUAAAAACAUUUCCCUCUUUUCUUUAUUCGAAAGCAUCUCUUUCUAUAUCUAAUUGAUUGCUUAAGAAAAUUAAAAAAAUAUACAAAUGUGAAAUAUAGCUAGUGGUAAAAACUUUGUUCUUAAUACAAGCUCAUUGACAUUCAAAACAUUAAAAUUAAAAAAAUAAGAUUAUUUUAUAGUUUCUAGCUUAAAUAUAACAUUUGUUUGUACACAUCUUCUUUAUAAUAUCUUCAUUUUUUUCUCAUAAUCUAUUAUUUUAAUUUCUUUUCUUCACUUAGCUUCUCUCUUUUAUUAUGUUUUAAUUUAAUUUUUUUAGUACUAAUGUUUUUAUUAGUUUUCUUUCAAUGUUAAUUAGUUUUAAAAGUUUUACUUUAUGAAAUAGUGAUAAUGAGUUAUAUAAAUUAUUUGAGUUAAAGAUUUAAAUUAAAAUCCUGCUAAAUUUUAAUUUGUUUGUAAUUUUAAAAAAAUCUAAAUAGAGAAAAAGAUGUUGAAGAAGGAAAAGAUAAACAAAAGAUAUGAAUUAAUAGAGUGGUGAAUUUUUAUAUUUUAUUUUAUAUUUUCAUGUGGGAAUUUAAUAUUUUGUUUUUGUUAUUAGUUUUAAUCUUAUUUUUAAUCUUUCUUUAACAAUAACUAAUAAAAUUUGUAUUUAAUUUUAUAAUGGAAAGAGAUAAAAAGAUGUAUUUUUGUAAGAAACAUUAGAUGAUUAAAGUAUUUAAGUAUCAAAUUAUCGUGUUAUUCCAGGAUUAGGGAUGUCAAGUUUUCAUUCUUUUUUGUUGAAUGACUUAAGUUUCAUAAUAACGUUGUUUAGAACUUGAGUUUUAAAAUAGCAAACAUGAAAGAAGAUUCAUGAAUUUUUCACUUAAUGCAUGCAAAUUCUAGGUUACACUUAGGACAUCAUAUGGUGUCCCUCUAACAUAAUGGUAGUACUAAAUCAUUCCUCAAUUUGAGAACAUGAUUUACAAUGCUAAAGCUUGAUAAUAAUUAUGGUGUCAUCUAAAGCCUAAAUUGUUGGAUGAUCAAAUUGACAGGUUGUUAGUCCUAUUUAUUUAUUUAUUUUUCAAGUAAACUUUUCAUAACUCUUGAAGGGCUUGGAGGUUGCUUUAAAAUGCUAUCACUUUGGUUGCGUAAUUAGAGAUCAUAAUUGAGUAAGUUGCAAGUGAACUUGAUUUUCCUAACAAUUAAUAACCAACCAAACAUAAGUAGAUCAAUUGUUGCACAAUGAGCAGACAAGUGAAAGAGUCAUUUGGAUCAUGUUAUCUAAGGUCGAUUAUCUAAGAAGAACAUUCCAUCCAAUUAGACUCAUUUCAUAAAUCAACAAAUCUCAACUUGAAUGAUUGUAUUCAUGAGGCAUUCUCGAAUAUAUUUAACUAAAAUCAUGUCAAAGAUUCCUUUAUCAUAUGUAUUUCAUAAUUUAUGAAAUGUCAACACACGCAAUACAAGAAGUUGAAUACUCAUAAAUUAAAACUUUCAUCAUUGUGCAAGACCGCAUACUUAACAAAAACAUUUUGUUAGGGAUAUAACAAUGAACAUAACAAAAUGCAUAUGAAAAUCUAGCAUAUGUUUGAAGAAAUAAACUCUCUCGAAUGAAGGAAAUGAUUGAAGGAAACAUCAUUAACAAUUUCUCUUUCAAAUACUGCAUCUGCACUUCAUCUUAAAUAAGGCAAAACAUAAAGUAAAUCUAGUGUACCUAAAAAAAUGAAAAUAAUAAGAACAAAUAGGAAUGAUGCCAUUUCAAUAUAAAUAAAAGAAAAUCUAGUAAACCCAAAAAAAUGAAAAUGAUACCAUUUCAAUAUAAAUAAGGUAAAACUUCGCAAUAGUGUUUGUAAAAUAUAUUACAAAGAAAGAAAAAAAAAAAAAAACAAACCAUAUUCUUGCUUCUAGAUAAAAAGAUGGUUUCUAGCUCCAUCCUAUUAAUAUUUAAUGUUUUUUAAAAUUAAAAUUUCUUUAAUCUUGUUUUUCAUUUCCUUUAUAUUUUAUUUAUUAUUCACUUUUUAUAUUAUUUGAAAAUAAUUUUUUAAUUAAUGAAGUUUAUUAUUACAUGUUAAUAGUAAUCAUACAAAAUAUUAUUCUUUUUUUAGUAUUCAUCUUGAAAGUUAUAUUUAUCAUAAAUUUAUAUUCUAUCAUUCGCAUGCUAUACUAAUUUAAAUUACCAAAGGUUUUUUCAUUGUAAAAAAAGUGUAUUAUUUAGUUAAAUUAGAUUAAAAUAAAGGAAGUUAAUUAUUAUGAAAGUAAAGAGAUAGAAUAUUCACAAUUUUUUUAAUCUAUUACAUAUAAAUUCUAUAAUUUUUUUUUCAAAUAAGGGUGAUUUGAUUGUAUUUUGGAAGAAUGAUAAUUAAUCUCUUAUAUGAAAUAUAUUUAAAAUUAAAUUAAUUUUUUAAUUUAAUAAUUUGUUAUUAAACAUUAAUAUAAUCUUCAUACUUUUUUAUUUUAUUUUUAUAGAAUAUUUUUGUCAAUAAUUCCAAAAAAAAGUAUAGGGAGAAAUAAAAAGUAUGAGAGAGAAAAAUAAAAAGUACGGGAGAAAACUAACCUUUUCACGAAAGAGUACUACAUCUUUCGCAGGUCUUCCAUUCUACAAUUAGUGAUAUGCAACUCUUUGAGGUAUUGAAUAUUCAUGAGUGUCACAAGAGAGGAAAAAUAUUUCAUGCUAUCAUUCCCAUCUUUGAUCUAGGUAGAUUCUCCAUCAUCAAGGUUUCUAACUUUGGGAGGAUCUCGACAUUUCCAUCAAUUUCUUGAAGAACAAUCACAUGUUCUAGGAGUUCACAAUAUUGCACAUAUAUCUUUUUUAAAUUUUGGAAGGUGUGUAUCAAAUGAGUUGGGACAAGAUUGAGUAGACAUGGACAUUUGCACACCCUUAAGAUCUGUAGAUUGGAGAAGGAUUCAAACGGAAGUUGAUGAUGCCAUAUAUCCUUCAACUUGGGUAGAUUUUUGAGUGUUAACUCCUCUAACUUAGGGAAUGAAACCUAUAACAUGAUACAUGAAAUCAUCAAUUAGAAAGUUAUAAUAAAUAUAAAUAUAUUCCUUAAAUAUAAUUCAUCAACUUGGGAUUAUUCACAUGUAUACUUUAAUUAUGUUUAAAAAAAUGAAACAAGAAGGAUUCUCAUGCCACAAAUGAUUUUUAUUCAUAUCAAUAAUUUAUUAUUUUAAAUCAUAUACACUCUUUUAUUUUCUCCCAUUAAUAAAUUCUUGUGAAUGUCUUCUUUAAAUUUCAUUUUUCUUUUAAAAGAUUUUGAUGAUUUCACUCUUCAUUUUUUAUUUUUUAUUUUUUUGUAUUUAUUCCUAUAAACCUGACUUUUUUCUUAUUUAAAGUAAAAUACUAAUUUAAAUUACCAAAGGUUUUUUCAUUGUAAAAAAAGUGUAUUAUUUAGUUAAAUUAGAUUAAAAUAAAGGAAGUUAAUUAUUAUGAAAGUAAAGAGAUAGAAUAUUCACAAUUUUUUUAAUCUAUUACAUAUAAAUUCUAUAAUUUUUUUUUCAAAUAAGGGUGAUUUGAUUGUAUUUUGGAAGAAUGAUAAUUAAUCUCUUAUAUGAAAUAUAUUUAAAAUUAAAUUAAUUUUUUAAUUUAAUAAUUUGUUAUUAAACAUUAAUAUAAUCUUCAUACUUUUUUAUUUUAUUUUUAUAGAAUAUUUUUGUCAAUAAUUCCAAAAAAAAGUAUAGGGAGAAAUAAAAAGUAUGAGAGAGAAAAAUAAAAAGUACGGGAGAAAACUAACCUUUUCACGAAAGAGUACUACAUCUUUCGCAGGUCUUCCAUUCUACAAUUAGUGAUAUGCAACUCUUUGAGGUAUUGAAUAUUCAUGAGUGUCACAAGAGAGGAAAAAUAUUUCAUGCUAUCAUUCCCAUCUUUGAUCUAGGUAGAUUCUCCAUCAUCAAGGUUUCUAACUUUGGGAGGAUCUCGACAUUUCCAUCAAUUUCUUGAAGAACAAUCACAUGUUCUAGGAGUUCACAAUAUUGCACAUAUAUCUUUUUUAAAUUUUGGAAGGUGUGUAUCAAAUGAGUUGGGACAAGAUUGAGUAGACAUGGACAUUUGCACACCCUUAAGAUCUGUAGAUUGGAGAAGGAUUCAAACGGAAGUUGAUGAUGCCAUAUAUCCUUCAACUUGGGUAGAUUUUUGAGUGUUAACUCCUCUAACUUAGGGAAUGAAACCUAUAACAUGAUACAUGAAAUCAUCAAUUAGAAAGUUAUAAUAAAUAUAAAUAUAUUCCUUAAAUAUAAUUCAUCAACUUGGGAUUAUUCACAUGUAUACUUUAAUUAUGUUUAAAAAAAUGAAACAAGAAGGAUUCUCAUGCCACAAAUGAUUUUUAUUCAUAUCAAUAAUUUAUUAUUUUAAAUCAUAUACACUCUUUUAUUUUCUCCCAUUAAUAAAUUCUUGUGAAUGUCUUCUUUAAAUUUCAUUUUUCUUUUAAAAGAUUUUGAUGAUUUCACUCUUCAUUUUUUAUUUUUUAUUUUUUUGUAUUUAUUCCUAUAAACCUGACUUUUUUCUUAUUUAAAGUAAAAUAUUAUUGACAGUUUUUCCUUAUUUUUAUACUCAUUCCUAUUAAUAUUUAAUGUGUUUAAAAUUAAAAUUUCUUUUAACCUUAUUAGUUUUUCAACUCCUUCAUAUUUUAUAUAUUAUUCAUUAUUUUUAUAUUAUUUAAAAUGAAAUGUUUAAAUAAUUGUAACAUGGUGGAGUUUGGAAAGUGCAUGUGGGCCCACUCUAGUUUUUCUUUUGACUUAUAUUGACAUAAAGUGGUGCAAAAUAAAUAAAUAAAUAAAAUAAAACCAAUGAAAUUGGCUAAUAAGCUUUAACAUACCUUAUGACUGAAAAAUGAGCCUUCCGACCUUGCAUUUGUACUCAGAGAUGUGGAAGAUGUUGUUUCUAACUUAGAACUGAAGUUGAUGAGUUGCGGUAGAUUCUCGAGUUUCAAAGAUCGCAAUUUUGGGAAUAGUUGCAAGUUGGUCCCAACAUGUCCAUCUUUUGUUAUUUCUGACUCCCUUUCAUAUGUGAUUAUUUGUUGCAUUGCAUUGCAAUCUUUUAUUGUCAUUUCUUCAAGUUGGGAAAGGCCUCUAGCUGUGGAAAGCAAAAGGAGAAAUUUCAAUUUAGGACAUGAAUCCACAUUUAGAGUUUUUAAGUUACCAACAGACCCUAUUGGAAUUGGGCCAUGCCAUACUUCUUCCAAAUUUUUCAAAGUCUGAAGAAUCAAUGACUCCAAUAGAGGAAAGGCACCAUGUUGCAGAAACCAUUGAUCCUUUGAAUCAAUGAUAUAUUGAAUCUUGGGACUGUCACCAACUCGAAGAUGCUUCAGUUCACGAAAACUCUCCCUAUCUGAUGGGUAAAGAACAUAUUUAGUACNNNNNNNNNNNNNNNNNNNNNNNNNNNNNNNNNNNNNNNNNNNNNNNNNNNNNNNNNNNNNNNNNNNNNNNNNNNNNNNNNNNNNNNNNNNNNNNNNNNNGAAAACUCUCCCUAUACUGAUGGAUAAAGAACAUAUUUAGUACCACUUAAUUCCCAGAACUCUAGUUCUUCACUUCUCUCCAACAACUUGCUAAUUCCAUCCCCCAAGUAUAAGCUUCUAUUGACUUUCUUGAGCUUCAAUGCUCUUUUGGUUCUCAACCCCCAACAAUUACCCAUAGAUAUCACAUACCUUGUCAAGUUCUCAAAUAGAAUGUCUUUUGGUAGCAACUUAGCAUCUGGUAUUUUUAUAGAUAAAGUUGUCAAAUAAGACAAAUGAUUUAGCUCAGAUAAACAAGCAUUGCUUUCACCUUGAACCGCCCAUUUAGUAAAGCUAGAUAUCAUACUCAAACAUUCCAAUCGAGACAAACUUGAUAAGAUAUUUCGUGGAAUGACUUCAAGUUGUUUGCAAUCAUUCAAGUCCAACAACCUUAGAUUGGUCAAUUGCACCAUUUCAUUAGGCAAUUGUUGGAUUGUAGAACCCACCAAGCUAAGAACUUCUAGUUUCGUUAGUUUUCCAAUUAGAGCAAUGUCUCCCAACUCGCACCCAUCUAGACACAAUGUUCGGAGAUUUGCAAGGAAAUCAAGUGAUGAAGGUAAUGUUGUAAAAUGCAUAUGGGACAAAUCCAAAACUUUGAGUUUUUUCAUCCCUUCGAAAAAUGUGUUCGGGAUAUUCAAUGAAGGAUUUUUGCUAUGCAAUAGAAAAGAUUGAAGGUCCGGACAUACCAACCCUUGAGGAAGCUCACGCACAACUUUGCAAUUCAAAGAGAUGAAAGUGCACAUUUUGGAGUCAUCAGUCUCUGACCAUUCUUCAAAUCCAACAUCUUCUCUAACUACAAAUGGAUGAGGAUCCUUGGAUGCAAUUGCCCUGGCAACUUCACGAACAACACUAUGCAUCCUCACAAACUUGUUAUUAGCGUCCAUGAAAAGCAAACUUGAAGCUCUUUCUACAUUACAAUUGUGUCUAUCUUCAUGACAGUCAAGUAACAAGCCUGAGGCUCUAAGGAUUUCCACCAAUGCAAGUAGUUUAUUUCUUGCUUGCUCCAAUGAGUCGAUGUGGCCAAACAAAUCCAGACCCAUACCAUAUCGUAACAAGAGAUCCAAUGAAAUAUCACUAUGGUCCAGCAUCCCACAAAGUAAGAACAAUGACUUAACGUCAAUACCCUUCAAAUGGGUGUAGCUCCACUCCAGACAUGAGUAAACCUUAUCCACUGCUCUAAUGUUUGUUAGUGCACAACUCCUGAGUUGUUCCAAGGCAUUCUUCCAUACAGCCACAGUCUCAUCUUUUAAUGCCUUUGCAAUUGUUACAAUUGCAAUUGGCAGACCCUCACAUUCUUCAACUACUUGAAUGGCUAUGGGUUGCAGUUCAAGAUUCUCCUCCACGGAAUCACCUGUUGUCUUCUUAAAAAGACUCCAAGCUUCUUCUAGUGGUAAAUGUUCCACCUGAAAACAAAUUUGUGCGCCCAUGUAUUUGCAUAAUAGGUCUCCAUCUCUCGAAGCCAACACUAUUUUGCAUUGUGUCUCAUCGCCUUUAGAAGGAAUUCCUACUUCCUCCAAAUCAACUUCCGUCCAAAUAUCAUCUAAGAUAAUAAGGAUCUUCCCUUCCUUCAGUCUCUGCUUCAGUUUCUGCUUCAAUUCAUCCGCUCUUCUGGAUUCAUCCUUCCUCCUAAGUGUGAAGCCCAACGCUUUUGCAAUUCUUUGUCGAAGAUUUUCCGAGUCUGGAAUGGAAGAUAAAUCAAUAUAGGCUUGUCUAUUGAACAAAUGGUGUUGCUUAGCUUGUUGAGCCACUUGUUUCAACAGUGUUGUUUUGCCCACACCGCCCAUGCCCCAUACUCCAAUCAAGUUGAUAUUCUCGUCUCUUAAGGCAUCAAUAAUUUUGUUCAAAGUGGAGGCUCUUGAUUCAAGGAAUGAAGCCUGUAGCAAAAACACAACAUAAGGCAUCAAUUGGAAAGUUGUGAUGAUAGGCAUAAACAUAUUUCUUAAAUAUAAUUCAAUUCAAUUCUGAAAUAGUCUCUCGCAUGUUCACUUCUGUUACAUUAUAAAAUUUUCAUUAGUGAAAGAAAAAGUAAUUACCAUUCUAAACAAUUUCCCAAAAAAUCAAAUAACUAUUAUAAUAUUAAUAUCCUUCAAGAAAAACAAUUCAAAUGGGUUUAUGAACAAACUAUAAAUAAAGUAUGAAUAAUGAAAAAAAUUAAUCAAAAAAAUACAAAAUCACAAAACUUGCAUCAUUGAUACAAAGAAAAAACUUUUAACUUUUCUUUUUAAAAAAUGUUCCGUUUAUUUUGAUAUUAACAAAAAAAUAAUGCAUAAUUUUCUUUUAAGAAAAAGAGUAAAAGAGAAAAACUAUUCAUAUUAAAAAUGAUGUAUAUGUAUAUGUAUAAUUUCCAUGUAAAAAAUAAUAUUCAAGAUUGUAUUUUUAUAUUUUAAAAAAUAAAGUUUAUUAUUUUAAAAGAAUAAUAAUUACUCUCCUUAUAAGAAAUAAAGUAUGUCUUACUCUUUUUAUUUUUAAAAAUAAAAAAUUAUAAAAAAGAAUUCUUUAUGAAAGUUUUGUAAAANNNNNNNNNNNNNNNNNNNNNNNNNNNNNNNNNNNNNNNNNNNNNNNNNNNNNNNNNNNNNNNNNNNNNNNNNNNNNNNNNNNNNNNNNNNNNNNNNNNNNNNNNNNNNNNNNNNNNNNNNNNNNNNNNNNNNNNNNNNNNNNNNNNNNNNNNNNNNNNNNNNNNNNNNNNNNNNNNNNNNNNNNNNNNNNNNNNNNNNNNUAAAGUAUGUCUUACUCUUUUUAUUUUUAAAAAUAAAAAAUUAUAAAAAGAAUUCUUUAUGAAAGUUUUGUAAAAGCACAUAAUUUUUUUUUUCCAAAGAAAAAGAGUAAAGGAGAAAAAAAAAAGUCCAAAAUUUAAAAAAAAAAAAUGUACAUGUAGUAUUUCCACAUACUAUAUAUAUAUAUAUAUUGUCAUUUAUUAAUGUUAUAAUAUAUUUUCCAUGUCUCCAUGCUCUCCUCUACUAUUCUAUAUAUAUAUUUUGUCAUUGAAUUUUUAAUUUUUUAAGAGGGAAAAUAUAUUCUGUUACUUCAUUUUGAAGAAUUGUUUUAUCUUUAACGUAUUAUAUCCAUCAAUUGGAAAAUUGUGAUGGAAUAUUUUGGGGAAAUUCCGGUAAAUCAAGGAUUAAAAAUCGCCUAAACAUAGAGAAUUUAUUGGGCCCUCAUAAUACCCUUCUGUUCUUUUAUUAUUAUUUUCCGUUAAAACUAACAAAAAAGAGGGAUGACUAAAACAAGGUCAGACAAACAGGCCAACUGCAGUGCCAGCAAAGCAGUGAAAAAUGGAAAUAGGGUAUAUAGUUUUGGGAAGAGUUGGCAUUUAGACAACUGCUUACUUUUUGUUUCAUACACACAUUUCAUAUAUUAAAAUUACCCAAUAUUUCCGGGUGAAAAUCUCUCGAUUUGAUUUAUAACAAAAAAAAAUUCAAAAUUAUUUUAACAUAACUGGGAUUAAAAUAUUUGAAAUUUUUUUAUUAUUUUCUUUUAUUUUUCAAUAGAAAAUGAUUAAAAUUUAUUUUAUUUAAAAUAAAAAGAUUCAUUAUUAAAACUAAUAUUUAUGAUCUCCUAUUUGAUGACAAUUUUUUUAUUUUAUAAAAAUUAAAAUACCAUUUAAGAAAAAAAUUGUUUUUGUAAAAUUAAAGCACCAUAUAAAUAAAUAAAUUAUUAAUAAUUAAUUAACUUAUUGAUAUUAUUUAUAAAACCUUUAUAUAACAAAUGCAUAAAAUAAAAUUGAAUUAAACAUACUAGAGCAUGAUAAAUUUAAAUAAAAAUAAAAUCAUUUUAUACUAAAAAAUUCUUAUUAUCUUGAUGGUAGGAGAUGUACUUAAAAUAAAACAAAAUUUAAAUUUAAUUUAGAGCACAAUAAAAAAAUAGAACAUAUAUAUAUAUAUAUAUAUAUAUAUAUAUAUAUUUAGUUUUUCCAUUUGUUAAAUAAAAAGUAAUUUUCCCUCCACACAAUUUCCUAAAAAACCAAACAACUAUUAUAAAAUCACUAUCUGUCACGAAAUAUAAUUUAAAUACGGCUUCAGGAAAAACAUUAAAUAAAGUAUGAAUAAUUAUAAUUAAUCAAAACAUAUAAAAUAAAAUAUAAAAUUACAAACUUACAUAAUUGAUACAAAGAAAAAGUUCAUAACUUUGUUUUUUGAAAAAUAUUACAUUUAUUUUUAUGUUAACAACAAAAUAACACAUAAUAUUUUUUAAAUAAAAAAAAAUGAGAGUAAAGGAGAAAUGAGAUCCAAAUUAAAAAGGAUGUAUAUAUAUAAUUUAUAUGCAAUAAAUAAUAUCUAGGAUUGUAUUUUUAAUUUUUUUUAAAUGUUAAAAUAAAGAUAAUAAAGGCAAUUUAAUUGUUAUUUUAAAAGAAUGGAGUUUAAUAUUUCAAGAAAGCAGUAUAACGAAAAAUAAAAAAUAGUAGAGACAACUAACCUUUUCAUUGGAGAGCACUUCAUCAUUAGUAGAAGUAUUGACACUUCUGGUGUCUUCCAUCCCACAAUCAAUGAUAUGUAACUUUAUGAGAUUGUGAAAAUUCUUGAACAUUGAAGGAGACAAAACACAUCUCUUGCUGAUAUUCUUACCCUUGCAUAUAAUAUAUCUUAGUUGAGGUAGUUUCUCUAACCUUAGGAUUUUUAACUUUGGGAGGAUCCCAAAAUCUAUCUCCUUCAACUUUGGAAGACUUUCUAGAUACAACUCCUCCAAAUUAGGAGAGAAUGAAACCUAUAUGAGAAACACAAAAUACAAUAUGUGACAUCAUCAAUUAUAAAAGUGUAAUAAAUAUAAAAAUAUUGGGUUAAUAUAAUUCAUUAACUCUCAAAUCAUAUACAAACUUUAAUAAUUUUCUUUUUAAAUUUAUUUUUCCUAUUAAUAAUUUCAAUAAUUUCACUUUUAAAUUUAUUGCUAUAUUUAUUUCUAUUAACACUUAACCUUUUUUUAUUUAAAUUAGAAUGAAAUUUACAAUGUUUCUUUUUUGUUAUGUUUUUUAUAUUGAUAUUUAAUGUUUUUAAAAUUAAAAAUUCCAUUUUUAACUUUAUUCUUGUUUUCAACUCCUUUAUAUUUUAUUUUUUAUUCACUAGUUCUUUUUAUUUGUUUUUUUAUUUUUUUGAAACUAAAUAAUAAAAUUAUUAACUUUGAUGGUUAUUUUAAAUCAAGAUUAAUUAUUCUCCUUAUAUGUAAUAAAAUUUGUUUUAAUUAGUUUCCUUGUAUCAAAUAAAAUAUGUUUUGCUCUUUUUUAUUUUCAUCUAACAUCUUAACCCAAUUUUCCCAAAAGUUAUUAAUUUUAACUAUUCUAAAAUUUAAAUAAAAUAUUAUUAUUUCAAUUAAAUUUUCACUAGUUCUCAUUUCUAAUUCUUUGCAAUAUUUCUUUCAAUUAGUACCUAUUUUUUUUCCUUUCUAAAUUAAAGUAAUAACUACCAUUUUUCCUUAUUUUUAUAUUAUUUCUAUUAACAUUUAUCCUUUUUAAAUUAAUUUUUCACUUUAAAAUUUUAUUUUUUUCAACUCAUUUGUAAUUUACUUAUUAUUCACAAUUUUUCUUAUUUUAAAUUAAAUUUUAAAUUAAUUUAAUAAAAUUAUUAUUAAAGAUCAAUGUACUCUUUUUCAUAUUUUUUUUAAAAAAUUAUUUUUAUCGUAUAUCUCCCUAAAUAUUUCAAGUAGUAUAAGAAAAAAUAAAAACAAAUUGGAAAAAACUAACCUUUUCAUCCAAGAGCAUCCCACAAUUAAUGAUACUUAAGUCUUUGAGGUGAUGAAAAUCCUUGAACUUGGAAAAAGAUAAAAGGCGUGGACAAUUACACACACUUAGGAUCUCUAAUCUACGGAAGGAUUCAAGUGAAAGUUGAUGAUGCCAUAUCAUCGUCAACUUGGGAAGACCAUCGAGUGUUAACUCCUCCAAAUUAGGGAAUGAAACCUACAGAGAUACAAUGUAAUACAUAACAUCAUCAAUUAUAAAGUUACGAUAAAUAUAAAAAUAUUCUUUAAACAUAAUUCAUUAACUCUUAAAUAUUCACAUGUUCACUUCUAUUAUAUUUAAAAAAUAUAUAAUUUUACAAGAAACUUUGAUAAAUCAAAUUAAAACGAAUCAUGUUUCAUAAAUGGUGAUCAAGAGCUUUGCUUGGCAAACAAUCAUUCAUUUUCUUUCAUCUAUCAUAGAUAAGUUCUAUAUGCAACCAUUUAUUAUUUCAUUUUAAAUCAUAUACACAUUUUAACAAUUUUAUUUUUAAAUUUAUUUUUCUAAUUUAUGUUUUCAAAUUUAUUUUAUUAUUGAGUCUAUAUUAUAGAUAUUCUCAUACUAAAUUACUUUUAUUUAUCUCUAAUCAUUUAUUUCUCUAUAUUAAAUCAUAUACACUAUUGGAUUAUUUCUUAUAAAUAAAUUCUACUAAAUACUUUAUAAAAUUUAUUUUUUCAAUUAAAAAUUCCUCUAAUUUCCCUUUGCAAUUCCUUGCAAUAUUUAUUCCAACUUGCACCAAUUUUUUCCUUUUAAAUUAAAUAAUACUUACCAUGAUUCCUUAUUUUAUAUUAUUUCUAGUCAUAUUUAUUGCUUUUAAAACUAAAAUUUUGGUAUUAAGUUUUUUUUUUUUCAACUCCUUUAUAAUUUAAUUAUUAUUCACCAUAUUUUAUUAUCUAAAAUUAAAUUUUAAAUUAAUUUGAUAAAUCUAUUAUUAAAUAUUAAUAUAAUGUUCUCAUAAUUUUUUUAUUAUUUUAAUGGAAUAUCUUUUUUCAAUAUUUCCCAAAAUAGUAUAAGGAAAAAAAAUGGAAAAAAACUAACCUUUCCAUCGAAGAGCACUACAUCUUCCCUAGGAGUAUUGAUAUGUUCCUCAUCUUCAACUUUGUUCCCAUAAUCUUGGAUGGAUAGGAAUUUAAGGUUGUGAAAAGCCGUGGAAGAAGAGAAAAGACACCUCACGCUAUCAUUCUUGUCCUCAUCCUCAUUGCACACAACACGCCUCAACUUAGGUAGUGUCCAUAACCAUAAGGAUUCUAACCUUGGGAGAAUCCUAAUAUUUUCAUCAAGUCCUUGAAGAUCAAACACAUGUUUUAGGGCUUCACAGUUAUCUACGUCCAUCUCUUUCAAAUUGUCGAAUCUCUGUAUCAAAUGAGACGGAAUAAGAUUGAGUAGGCAUGGACAAGAGUAAACUUUUAGGAUUUGCAAAUUGUAGAAGGACCCAAGUGGAAGUUGGUGAUGCCAUAUCUCCCUCAAUUUGGGAAGAUUAUGAAGUAUCAACUUCUCCAAAUUAGGGAAUGAAACCUGAAAUAUAAUACAUGACAUCAUCAAUUGGAAAGUUGUGAUUAACAUGAAUAUGUUCCUUUCUUUAAAUAUAAUUCAUCAUCUUCCAAAUAUUAUUCACUUUAAUUAUGUUUUAUGUUUUAAAAAUCUAAAACAAUCAAGGAGGACUAAAAAGAAUCAUGUGAAAAUCUUGGAAAAUUUCACCAAAAAAAUUGACAAGUUAUCAAUGGAGAAUAUAUUGGCUCCACUUCUCACAUAAUAUUAGCUAUUUAAUGGUGUGUUUUUUGUUAUCUUUUUGUUAAAAGAACAUAGGGAUGACUACAAUGUGGCGAAUGUGCAACCAUGGAUUACAUAGAUUCUCGUGCCACAAAUUAUUUUUAUUCAUAGCCAUCAUUUAUUAUUUUAAAUCAUAUGAACUCUUUAAUUUUUUUUUCCUAUUAAUAAAUUCUAAUAAUUUUAUUUUUUCCUUAUUAAUCAUUUUCAAUUUAUUUAUAAAACUUAUAAAACAUUACUAAUAUUUUAAAUUUUUUUUAUUCAAAUUAGACUUUUUCCAGAUAUUGAGUGAAUCCUCAAAUAAAAUAAUUUAUUAAAUUCUCUUCUCAUCCUUAUGUUAUCUCCUUUUAACAAACUUAUAAGGUGCAAUUAGAAAGUGCAUGUGGACUUUACCUAGUUUUUCUUUUGAUUUAUUUAUUAAAAAAAAGGUGAUAUGAAAAAAUAAAAAAUAAAAAAAACUAUGGAAAUUAGCCCUUAAUUAAACUUAAACAUACCUGAUAACUGAAAAAUGGCAUGUGGAUAUCAGGAUUGCCUUGGGAACAUGUUUCUUGCGAUGUCGUUUCCAAAUUAGAGCCGAAGUAGUCGAAAUUCAUGAGCUCUAGUAGAUCCCUAAGUUCCAAAAGUCGUAAUUUAGGGAGCAGUUGCAAGUCGGUCCCAACAUGAUCAACUUCUUUUAUUUCAAACUCCCCUUCACAUUCGAUUAUUUGUUGCAUGGCAUUGCAAUCAUUUAUUGUCAUUUCUUCUAGUUGGGAAAGGCCUCUAGCUGUGGAAAGUAAGAAGGGAAAUUUCAAUCCAUGACAUUUCUCCACAUCUAAAAUUUUCAAGUUAUCCAACGACCUUAGGGGAAUUGGGCCACGACAUACUUCUUCCAAAUUACUCAACUUUAGUUCUUCAGUUUUCUUCAACAACUUUCCAAUUCCAUCCCUCAAAAGUAAGCUUCUAUCAACCUGUUCCAGCUUUAAUGUUUUUGAUGUUCUAUAAUUUCUUUCCCAUGAAUAAACUCUGCCAGCAAAUAUUGCAUAUCUUGUCAAGUUCUCAAAGAACAUGUCUUCUUUUGGUAGCAACUCGACAGCUGGCACUUCUAUCUCUAUAGUUGUCAAAUUGCGCAAAUGAUUCAGCUCCGAUAAACAAGCAUUGCUUUCUCCAUCACUAAUUCCUUCAGCUGCCCAUUGAGUAAAGCUAGAUUUCAUGCACAAACAUUCUAAUCGAGACAAGCUUAAUAAGAUAUUUCGUGGAAUUACUUCAAGCUGCUUACAAUCAUUCAAAUCCAACAACCUUAGAUUCGUCAACUGCCCCAUUUCACUAGGCAGUUGUUGGAUAUCGGAACCCACCAUGCUAAGAACUUGUAGUUUCUUUAGCUCUCCAAUUAGAGCUAUGUCUCCCAACUCACACCGGUCUAGACGUAAUGUUCGAAGAUUUGGAAGGGAAUGAAGCGUUGAAGGUAGUGUUGUGAAAUGCAUUUCAGACAAGUCUAAAACUUUGAGUAGGUUCAUCCCUUCAAAAAAUGUGUGUGGGAUUUUCAAGGAAGGACCGUUCUGCAAUAGUAAAAAUUGAAGUUUCGGACAUACCAACCUGUGAGGAAGCUCAUACACAUCUUUGCAAUUUAAAGAGAUGUAUUUGGAUCCAUCAGUCUCUGACCAUUCUUCACCGUCUUCUCUAACUACAAAUCGAUGAGGAUCCUUGGAUGCAAUAUUUCUGGCAACAUCACGAACAACAUCAUGCAUCCUGACAGACUUGUUAUCAGCAUCCAUGAAAAGCAACCUCGAGGCUCCUCCUCCAAAAGGGUUUAUAUGAUCUUCACCGUCAAGUAACAAGCUUGAGGCUUUGAGGGUUCUCACCAAUGUAACUAGUUUAUUUCUUGCUUGCUCCAAUGACUUGAUGUGGUCAAACAAAUCCAAACCCAUAGCAUACCUUAACAAGCGAUCCAUUGAAAUAUCACCAUAGCUCAACCAACCACAAAGUAAGAACAAUGACUUGACUUCAUCACCUUUCAAAUGCUUGUAGCUCCACUUCAGACAUCCGUAGACCUUGUCAUCCACUCCGCCGAUGUUUGUUGGCGCAGCACUCCUCAGUUCGUCCAAAGCAUUCUCCCAUACAGCCACACUUUCAUCUUUUAAUGCAUUUGCAAUUGUUACAAUUGCAAUUGGUAGACCCUCACAUUCGUUAACUACCUCAAUUGCUAUGGGUCGCAGUUUAUCCCCCUCCACAGAAUCACCUGCUGUCUUCUUAAAUAAAUGCCAAGCUUCCUCUUUUGGUAGAUGUUGAAGUGGAAAACACUCUUUUGCGCCCAUGUCUUUGCGUAAUAGGUCUUCAUUUCUAGAAGCCAACACUAUUUUGCAUCCUUUCUGGUCAUCUUUAGAAGGAAUUCCAACUUCCUCCAAACUAACUUCCUUCCAAAUGUCAUCUAAGAUGAUAAGGAUCUUUUCUUUCUGCAGUCUCUGCUUCAGUUCAACUGCUCUUGUGGAUUCGUCCUUCCCCUUAAAUUCCAAGCCUAACAUGUCUGCAAUUUUUUGUUGAAUUUUAGCAAUUCCAUCUUGAAGUUUUUCCGAAUCUCGAGUCCAGGAUACAUCUAUGUAGACUCGUGUGGUGAACAGCUUCUCAUCUUCAGCUAGUUGGGACGCUUGUUUGACCAGCGUGGUUUUGCCCACACCGCCCAUGCCCCAUACCCCAAUCUUGUUGAUCUCAUCAUCUCUUAAUGCAUCCAUAACUUUGUUCACAGUCGAGGCUCUUGACUCAAAAGGUUCAUAAUUUUUAAAGGUUACAUUCCGUAGAGGGACACGAUAUGAUACGCCAUCGGGGAAAUUGCGGUCUUCUUGGACUUCAACAAUAACCUGCGCCUUCUUGUCUGCUUCCCUGCUUAGCAGGUACCGUGACUUGAGAUUAGGACACCACCCAUGGAAACAACUCUUGUUUUCAUCUUUCUUCAAUUCCUCUGCCUCCCCUGUAACCUCAUCUACCCGAUUCAGCCACUCCUGAACAAUAGGUCUGAUUUCAUCCCCUCUUCUCCUAGCUUCAUCAACAGUUAUCAGCACGUCAUCCCUCGCCUUCCCCAGCUUCUGAGCUUUGUUGUGGAGUUCAUCGGUAUAGCUCCGAUAGCAAAACAGAUAACCAAGAUGGCGUCCAAUUGGAGCAACCAAGUACUCUGAAACUUUUGCAGCAACGGCAUUAAUGAUCUCUGUCAUUUCGUCUCAGUUGGAUUUGUAUUUUUUUUUUUUUUUUUUUGGUGUGUGUGUGGUUUUGUUGGGAAAACAGAAUGGAAAUAAUGAAAAAAACAGAAACAAAUCAAAGCAGGAGCAAGAGGAAACUAAAAUAAGAGAGCGGAAGAAAUGGAAGGAACAGUGUAUUUGUUACAAGCAGAGAGACGGUCACCAACAAAAUGAAAAGCAGAAUCAGUAGCGAAUAUGAGUGAAGGUAGAAAAAAUGACAAAGAAGUAGGGAGUGAAGAGAUGGAGAAAGCUCAAGGAGUGCAUGCAAUUUGAUUCAGUGUGACAAAACGAGAGCAAAGGAAGUUGGUAUUUUGCAAGCAGAUCCUGAUGUAAGGCCGAAUGUGAAGAGUAGAUUACCAAGCUAUGAAGACAGAGGGUGGUUUUUUGUUUUUUUUUUGGAAUUUGGUUUUGUUGGAAAACAGAUGGGAACUGAGAAAAUAAGAGGAAAUUAAGAAGGAAAUGAAAAUAAACAAGGAAAUGAAAGGAGCAGAGUUUGGGUUCCAAACAGAGAGACGGUGAAGGAAACAGAGGUGAACGAGAGCCAAGUUAGGAAUGGAUGAUAAAACGGGAAAGAGGUAGUGAGUCGAAGAGAUGGGGAAAGACAA